GGGAGAAGGGUGAUAAAGUUUUUGGGGAGCGCUCAGCGCGACUACUGGCUGCUUCAUCACGGACGAUCCGGUCGCCAACGACGACUUCUUCCCCGACGUCCACGACCUCCUCGACGACAUGGCAAGCGAGGACACCGACCCCAAGUCCAGCGCUUCUGCUGCUGCUGUCCAGUACGUGUUCAUGUCUUUCCUGUUAAAGGUUCUGCCACAGUUCCUUGUUCUAUUCCUUGUCCUACACAUGUUAGGUUCUACUUCAUAUAUGCUACUUGCUAUUCUGUCUGCUUUAGAUAUGAUAGGCUAUGGUUCAUAUAUGCAGAAGCUAUUUUCCUUCUCUCUGUCAGAAUGCAUGACUUGUUUUAUCUCUACUAUAUUAGUCAUGCUUUAUCUAGUAUUUCUGUUAAUAAAAUCAUUCGGUAAAUUGCUCAUAUUUCCAACAGAAUAAUACUGGCAUCUUCCGGCAAGAAAAUGUCCCGCACCAACAUUUCAUCCCAUGACAUUGUUGCAGGAUCGAGGAGUUCAGAAACCCUUGUGAGUAGGCAAUUACCGUGGGGAGUCCAAGGUUUUCUCGUACCAUCUCUAGCAAGCCAGGGAUCAGUCCGAUAUUGAUGUUAGUCCCAUCCCCGACCCAUCAAACGAGCCCCUCUUUCAGCAGUGCAACCCCCUUCAAUAUACUUCGCCAUGUGUACGAAAUUCCUUGUCUAGGUUCAGCUUCCAGUAAAGAAGUUGCCGGAAAAUACUUGGCCUUAAGAACUCGAGCACACAAAAAGUCAGGGACAGUGAGCAUGCGCCAAGCCUGCCUCACCAACAUGGCAAGGUUAAAACCAUGUAGAUCACGAAACCCUAACCCCCCCUUUGCUCUUCGACCUACUCAGCAACUCCCAGCUUAACCAAUGCACUUUGUUCAUCUUCUCUUGUUGUCCCCACCAGUAUCCGCAAAUCAUAGAUCCCAUCUGCUCACACAAAGAUUUCGUUAAGUCAAAGCAUGACAUUGCAAAUGUUGGGACCGCUUGUGCACAAGCCUUUAUCAGAACAUCCUUCGCUGCCCUUGAUAGUAAUCUUUCAAUCCAUCCUUGUAUCCUUUUCCAAAUCCUAUCUUUCUGUGUUCUCGCUGCUCCCACAUACACUGGAAGCCCCAAGUACCUUUCAGUUAUUGCUGAUAUCAUUCAAAAUAUAAUUAGUUAGACUCCGCCUCCCCCCGUGUCGCCUCCUCUGAGGCGACUCGGGGGCCAACCCUAGCGCCACCGCCGCGUUUCCCCCUCUCCUCCCCUCCCUCCGCCGCCGCCUGAGGGCCUCUGAGGCGCGGGUGCUCGGCCCCAAUGAUGGUGGCGUCGGGAUCUGGCGCCUCCUCUUCGUUGGAGGGCCUUGGCUCCCUGGGGCGGCGACCCCGGCCGGUGGGCGCGGUGCAGCCGGCGGGCUCUGGUGGGCAGCCUCCCACGGCCGCGCGGGCGGCGUGGGGGCUGCGGACGCUGGCACAGUGGCGAGUGGCGACUCCUCGCAAUCCGUCAUGGCUCCAUGUAGAAGAUCCACCCCUGCUCCGACCUGUCCCGAUCCAUGCUGGCACCGAUCCUUGGCGGCUGCUUUCGGCGUCCCCUAUUGCCGGCCUGGCGGAUCUGGCGUGCGGGUGAGGUUCUAGGGGAAACCCCUGGCUGGCGCGGCGGCCUCCCCAAAGUCGACGCCUUUGGCGCCGAUCCCCUUCCUGGAGGCUUGGGGGUGGAUCCUAUGCCUUCCGCCUCCUCCUCGAGCUAUGGCGAAAGCUUUUGUUCCCCUGUUCUGGGCGUCGACGGCACCCUGGUGUCGUGCUCCUUCUUGAAGGCGGCGGCUGGGAACAGCUCUUGGUGGCGGGGCUGCUGGUGGUGUGGUGGCGGUGCGACUUCGGCCUUCUACUUGGUGCUGCGCCUUGCUUCGCGGGACCAGAGGACGGUUUCUUUGGUGGAGCGGUGCUUCAUCCAUACAUUGAUGGCGACGGAACUUGACGGCAUGGCGCAGUGCAGAUUCGGAGUUCGAUGUGGGAGGAUGGACUCGUGUAGGAGGACGACGCUGUCUGUCGUCAUGGUGGCAUCGAUGGCAGAGAGACCUGGCAUGGUAGAUGCAACAGUACAGCUCUGAAGAUAGACUCGUGGCAGGUGGCUGCGGCGGCCUCAUACCCGGCAGGCGUCCUGGUUGAGGAGUGCGCCGGACUGGUAGGUACCCCAUAUCAGGCAGGCAUCCUGGUUGGGACCUCAGGUCUUAGAUGUUUAGGUCUUAGAUGUUUAGCUUUGGCUGCGAUGUCUGUUUGGUAUUAGGCCCAGGCUAUCAGUGCCCCUUCAUCAAUUGGAUAGGUGUAACGACAGUUGUUGCUUAGACGGUGGCUUUAGUCUUGCUGUUAUAUGACUUUGUAAGGUUUUGUAAGAAUAAUUAAUAAAGUGACCGUAUGCAUCAUCCAUAUGCAGAGACUGGGGGUCAUCCUCCUUUUCUAAAGAAAACCUUUCAGUUCUUGCUUCAGCCCGUAUAUGCAACACCUCAAGCACCCUUUGCCGAUCAGCAUGCCUUGUAUUCUUACUAAAAAACACCUGAGUACUUAUCAAAAUUGAUUGUCUGCCCUGAGCAAUUCUCAUAUAGUUCUAGUACAUUCUGCAGAGUGUUAGCACUUUCGCCAUUGGCUUUCAUUAGUACUAACGAAUCGUCUGCAAAUAACAAGUAGUUGAGACUCGGAGCAUUAUUACUCAGUUUUAUGCCCAUCAAACUUCCAUCCCCGUCCGCUUUAUUCAACAAAGACGAGAACCCUUCAGCACAAAUGAGGAGAAGGUACGGAGACAGGGGAUCACCUUGUCCUAAUCCUCGCUAUGGGACAAUCACAUCCGUAAAAUCCCAUUCACCUUCACCUUGUAUGAGACCGAGGAGACACAAUCAUAAUUCUUUCAAACCCCAUUUUCUCCAUCAUUCUCUCCAAGAAAGACCACUCCACACUAUCAUAAGCCUUGCUCAUAUCCAACUUGACCGCUGCAAAACCUUCUUUUCCCUUUCUUUUAUUCUGUAGAUAAUGUGUGCACUCAUAGGCUAGCAGAAUAUUAUUCGUGAUGAGUCGACCGGGGACAAAAGCACUUUGGUUUGGGGAUAUAAUUUCAACCAGAAUUUGCUUGAGUCUAUUUGCAAGUACCUUUGACACCAACUUGUAGACCACACUGUACAAACUAAUGGGUCUCAAGUCCUUCAUACUCUCUGGAUUCUUGGUUUUAGGGAUUAGAACCACACAUGUAUCAUUCCAACCUUCGGGCAUUGGGCCUCCAUUCAAUUCACUUAGCACCUCAUGCAAGACUUUUUCACCAACAAUAUCCCAACAUUUCUUGUAUAGAACAGUGAGGGCAUACCAUCCAGGCCAGGAGCUUUAAGAUCUCCGAUACUAUCAAGUGCACACAUCACUUCCUUCUCGGUGAACUCCUUGCAUUAGCAAUUCGUUCUCAUGGCCGGAGUAACUGGAGGGUCAACGUGACUCAAGAGCUCAUCCAAGCGAGUACCUGCAACAGAAGUAAAAAAGAUUAAUAAAAUAGUUAGAAUAACAGAAAAUACUCACCAGAUGAUAAUUAAAGGAGGAGGACUGCAUGGUCCAUGCCGUUUGUACUCCUUGGAUGCAUGGAUGUGCGCUGCUGCAUCUGCAUGGAGGGAGAUUAACGUGUCCUCGUUGACCGAAGGUUUCGCUUGGAGAUUUAAUGUCACCACGAUCAAUGCCCACAGAAACGCCAUCGAUCUCACUCUCUACAAAUAUAUAGCGACAACUAAUGGCAUGCACCACGGCACAUCAACAUCACAGCGUCCAUCUCCAUCCCCAUCGCCAUAGAUAGUUGAUCAACACCACCAUGGCCAGCCGUUGCCUCUUGUCCCUAUUACCGAAAAAGGGUUUCCCCCGCUUUGUAUUCCAAAACAAACCAUCAUAAUACAUAUUGCAAUGCUGAGGCGAGCAGCACAUCAAGCCCAAAGAAAAAGAAAAAAGGAUUGCCUCUUGUCCCUAUUCAUGUGCCUCAUCCUCGUAGUCUCCUCGUCAAUGACUAUCGAGCCAGGACCAUGGCCUGAAACACCAACACCACCGAGACCCGACUGCAUCAAGUCUGUGACAGACACCCCGCAAAAGUGCGCCGGGCAGGUCCUCCAGGCUCUUCUCUACGGCGAGGUGCACAUCACCAAGGACUGCUGCGAGGUGCUCCGCAGGGUCGGCGAGGAAACCUGCAUCAUCAACGAAAUGUGCAUACAAAUCGGCUAGCUAGCUGCUAGUCCGUCCUCAAGCAAGAUACGGUUCAACUUCACCCCAAUCCUAUUCCUGGGUGCAUGUGCACCUAUUUUCUUUCAUGUUGAGCUCACGGAAAACCUAAAAUCCUCUGUUUUUUCUGUUUCAUAAAAACUUGUUACCACAUAUAUAGUAAAACACGUACAAGAGCAUCUUAUUAUGACUUGGUCAACAUAACGGUAACAUUAUAAUAGUCUCUCUGCUUCAAAAUACAAGUGUGUAUUAUGUUUUUAAAAGUCACACAUACAUACGGCGUCGACUUAUAAUAUCUGACAGCAUCCCCCUAAAAAAAAUAUCUGACAGCAUCUAUGGUGACUAGAUCAAGAUUUUCUCGUUUACGUACUUAAUGAAUUGUGGUCUAACCAAGCGGUUAUAUUACUCCCUCGCAGAAAAAUAAUAAUUAUAUAAGUCUUCCGCGACGCGCACAUCACCAAGGACCGCUGCGAGGUGCUCCGCGGGGUCGGUGAUGAAACUUGCACCGUUAACCUCAUGUGUGCCUCCAUCGCGCCUAUACUUACAACAACAUCUUUCUGAGAAACGCCCCCGUGUUUCUCCCGUGCGGCCGACUAAACCCCUCCGCUCCGCUUUCGCCGGAGCACGCCGCAAGGCGAAGCCACUGUGCCCGCUGCUCGUGUCAUGUGGUUGCGUCGGGAACGGCGGAGGCUCUCUAUUCUGUUGGCAUCGGCGGCACGGUGACGCAGCUGCUCAGAUCCAGCAUGUCCGGUACCGGAGACCUAUGAAUCUUUUAUACGUGGCGUGUUACCAGCUGUAGAAAAGUAGGAAUGGUUUUGGUUUCCCGAUUCUUUUUAUUAAGAGAGGCAAAAGAUCUGCCUCAUUCAUUUAACUAGUAGAGUGCCCGUGCGUUGCUACGGGCAACAAUGUAAUUGAAUGAAUAAAAUAAAUAAUUAAAUACGAUAAAUAAUGUUAAUGGAACAUUGUAGAAUGGCAACAUUGAUCUCAGCACACCGCAAGCUUAGUCCACUACUUAAUGGGUUCCAUAACCAAACUUAUCCAAAGAGGACGACAACAUGGCCUGCAUUCUCCAUUUUAGUGUUGCCAACGUAAGCAGACCUAGCUGCCCAAUAGUAUCUAACUCAAACACAAACUUCAUAUCAUAGAAUCUCCUUUAAGACCGCUCCAUAUAUUCCUCGUCUCCAUGUUCAAACAUAGCCACGAGGGCCUCAGCGACUUGAUCUGCUUUAAUGCACCCGCCUUCCAAGUGUUCCACCUCUCAGGAGCAAUUGUCCUGCUGUAAACAACUGUUAGUUGUUUCAUCUUCUCAGGUAGUCCCAUGAAUCCACUUGUCAGACAGUCCAAUCAAUCCAAAAGAAAUAAAAAUCAUUUAUAAUUAGUAAACAAUUAUAGUGGAAAAGGACAAACAACAAUAGGAUCUUGAAUAAAAAACUCCACAUGCACAAGUAAAUUUUUAUAACAGCAGAUCCUCUCCCAUUCUCCACAUUCGUUUAUGAAAGAAAUUCAAAAUAUAUAGUACCAAUCCAAGAAAAAUAGAGUCUAAAAGAACCGGAUCGUCCUACAUCUAUGGCAAAACUGCCUGCUUGCAGUUGAGAUAAUGACUUUCUCAAAAUGACAGAUCCUCCAAAAGUGAUAAAAAAGUAGGCUAAUUAAUGUUUUCAACUGAAGAUGGAUAGGAAAAAACUGAAGACGGCCAGGGCUUAAACCAACAUUUUUUGGCAUGCUGACUUUUAGCUCUAAUAAAAAAGAAAAGAACAAAGAACACAAUAAAAGUGGCAAAAGGAAGUAUGGUGCAAAAAACUCCAUGGCAAAACUUUUUAUACUGAUAUCCAAAGUUGCGUCACAGAUUAUGUAUUCUUUGUGUUGUUCUUUUUAAAACUACACGCUCGCAAGGAAGUAUAAAAACAAAAAUAUAUCAGUAAGUACAUACCUUGCAACAUAAGGGUCAAUUCAUUACAUUUUUUAUCUAAAAAGGCUUUCGUCGCACUUUAUAUAUAAAGCAACCACCACACAUUACAACCAGCAACAAGAAAGGAAAAGAAAAGAAAAAUAAAAUUGACAAGAUACAAACACUACAGAACAGCAAACACUGGCCUCAGAUCAUGCCAACAACGCGACUGCAACAAGGGGGCAAUUCGUCACAGGAGGAAAGCUACGCUCCAUCAACUCCCAAGGGUCCCUGUUGUCCCACCUUCCGUCGUUGUCUCCGAAGAGGGCACCCCUGCCCUCUUGUCUUGGAUCGAAGGACGCCGUUCCUCUCACAGGAACACAUACGCCGCCACCGUCUCCGACCAAGACCAAGAACCCCACACCACUGCCGAGCAAGAACACUACCGAAGAAUUGGCAGAGCACCACCGUGUCGAUCCCCUGACCCCUAUGGACUCCCAAGGUGGCACUUUCACGAAGUAAUCGAUGUCGAUGUGCCGUCACCACCCAAUCAAGAGAUUUUAGGCUUUCGCCGCCUGGGACCAGGGGGCGGAGGGUGGGAAGACGGUCUCGAUGUUGCCCACCAGAGGGAGAAACGGCGCCGAGAGCAUCGCUGACUGGCACCGCCAGUCAAGGGUUUCCCCUGACCCCGAGCCCGCACCUCCAUUGCAGCGCCAACCAUCCAAACAGGAUGCCCCGGGGAAACCCACAACCUGCUGGCAGAGAAAAACAGGCGCCGGAGCAGCCACUAUCUUCAGAUUGGGACCACGCCCGCCGCCGCCUCGCCACCCAGUAGGGCCAAGACGGUGCACCACUGCACCGACUCCCCCGCCCCCCGUAGAGGAAGGAGAGGCGCCCUCUUCAUCAGUGGUCGCCGCCACCGCAAGCCCUUGGGGUCCAGACCAGACGCUCUGGGUCAGACCCGUACCGCACCGCCGCGGAGCUGCACCGCCACUGGAUCCAUGCAUCCCCACCGCUGGACCCAACUCCCCCACGAGCGACGGCCCGCACCGCCGAGAUCCCGACAAGGGGAGGAAGGAGAGAAGCCCCGCCGCUGCUAGCGCCGCAUGGGCUUCGCCCGACGUACGCCCUCCGGCAGCAGCGAGGGGGAGGGAAGGNNNNNNNNNNNNNNNNNNNNNNNNNNNNNNNNNNNNNNNNNNNNNNNNNNNNNNNNNNNNNNNNNNNNNNNNNNNNNNNNNNNNNNNNNNNNNNNNNNNNNNNNNNNNNNNNNNNNNNNNNNNNNNNNNNNNNNNNNNNNNNNNNNNNNNNNNNNNNNNNNNNNNNNNNNNNNNNNNNNNNNNNNNNNNNNNNNNNNNNNNNNNNNNNNNNNNNNNNNNNNNNNNNNNNNNNNNNNNNNNNNNNNNNNNNNNNNNNNNNNNNNNNNNNNNNNNNNNNNNNNNNNNNNNNNNNNNNNNNNNNNNNNNNNNNNNNNNNNNNNNNNNNNNNNNNNNNNNNNNNNNNNNNNNNNNNNNNNNNNNNNNNNNNNNNNNNNNNNNNNNNNNNNNNNNNNNNNNNNNNNNNNNNNNNNNNNNNNNNNNNNNNNNNNNNNNNNNNNNNNNNNNNNNNNNNNNNNNNNNNGUCGUGGGAGGGAGGUUCAGUUCACAAGCAAUGACUAAUAGCAGUAACAUAACACCCCAAGUACCAAGCAAUUUACCUCUAGUCCUUUUGAUAACCAUGCAAGUGGCUUCAGGUUCACGAACACGCUGGGUAUGUUUAGCUCCCUCUAGUUCUUUUGACAACCAUGCAAGUGGCUUCAGGUUCACGAACACGCUGGAUAGGUUUAGCUCCGGUACAAAAAGGUUCAAACCUGAGAAGUCAAAAUUUUAAAAUAGUUCAACUAACAAGAGCUUGUGUACCGUGUUGGAUAGGUUUACCUCCAUCAAAAUCUUAAUUCUCUCAUAUUACUCAAGGAUGUAACUUAUUAGCUUCUAUAAAUCUCUAGAAUCAGCAACUGUCCUUGAUUUAUUAGGAUUAACACAUUUACCGGAAGAUGUAUUGUUGAUCUGCAUAAUUACUAAAAGAGCAAAAACAAACAUUCUGCAUAUAUAUCAUUGAAUCUGCAUAUUAUUAUCUCUACGUACUGACAAAACCCGUACGAGUUCAACACAGAGACACAUAAAAAAUAGAGAAUUAUGUUAUUGAUUGGCCAAAGAACAAGCAACAGAACAAUGCAUCUCAUGUCAAUUUCCACACCGCCAAUGCCGAGUCUCAUCCAUGGUUUACAAACAAUUUUAAAUAUAUAAAGAGCCAUCCGAGUUGGCAAGUAACAUCCAUUAAAAAAAUUAUGCUUUUCAAUGACAAUCACCUCCACAAGCAAAACUAUAAAAUGAAAUUUGUUGCAUCAUCAUUAAACCGUCAUAUGUAUACGAACGGAAUCAAUCGCGUGCUUGGAGAGGAGUUUGCUAGGGUUUUGAUCCAUAGAAGCAACGCGGAGGAAAAAAGGGACACAUGUGGGAGUAAGGGUUUCUUCUAUACUGCAACCAUGUCGGGCUCCGAUGAGCCCGGCGGCGUCCUCAGGAGGCCAGGAGCUCCACACCUUCCUCGAUGCCGCUGGCAUAGGUUUGAGUCUGUGGUGUCAAAUCGCUAGGUCUCCUGCGUCAGUGCCUGAAUUGUCAUUGUUGAACUGCAUGUUCAUCCACCUGUCGUUCUUGCAUGGCGUACAAGCAAGUUUGCUGACAAUAACUGGGUAUUAUGGAGCAGCGCAUACCUUUUUAUUCCCUAUAAUCAUUUUCCUUGCUUGUAGACAAUCUGAAUCAUUUAUACAGAAGCUACAAAUGUUGGUGCAAUCUAGCCGUCGUCUUCAUGAGUCGACCCCAAAAUGCAUUCCAAAGCUAACAGUUGGGUCGAUCGUAUCAUCCCUGUAAUGUCAUUACAAGAAAUUCAGUGAACUUCAAAUAAAAGCACAACGGUAGGACGAUUGGAUAAAGUGAGUAAUGCACAUGCAACAUCGAAGGUAAAUCUCUGGCAUCAAAACUUGGGUUUCCUGUGUCAUAACAAAAUAUGGUAUUGACACUUAAAUAUCUAUAUAGAAGUUCAGAAGUUGCUUUCAACGCUUAUCAUAAGAAUCCUUUUUACAAGAUAACUUGGGGCUUCUUACACCAUACCAAACUUAGUUCAACAGCAAACAAAUUAAGUGUCUAAUCAUAGCGAGCUAGUAGCCCUCUAAAUCCCACGAAUGAAAUAGGUACGACCAUGAAAGAUUUCUUUCUUUACUUGAUCAUUUUCAAAAAGCUUGUUCAUAUAACUGGAAACCAUCGCGCGGACUAUCCCUCGCCUAGAGCAUCGACUCUACAAAUAUUACACAUUUUGUCACUGGGCACUCCUGAAUCAUAAGGUACAGGCAUGGAGCACACGACGCAAUAGAGCAGAAGAGAAUGAUGCACCUGAAACUUUCGCACCACAUUAAGGUUCGUGGGAUUCUUGUCCGGUGAAACAACUUGGCCUAUAGGAACCCAAAUAUACCAGCACAACUAAAUUAGAACCAAUAAGGCAAUGCACAUAUAGCCAGAAUUUUAUAGAAGGAUCACGCGCCUUGUGAGCAUACACCAUUCCUCCAGCCACUUGUAAUGGCAGCAUGGAGCGCACAAGCUGGGCAGUUGAGAUGCAUCCUCCGUUGCCUCCGUCAAAUGCGCGGAAGGCCUCGGCAACCUGCAAGUGGUCUACUGAGAUAGAGGAGCGACAAGGUCAGAGGAGAAGCUGCGAAGGAGAGGUGACCUCGUCGAAGCUGUUACCAUCAGUGUACCAAUCUCGUCCCGUGCGGGGUAGGAGGCCGAGCGAGCGGGAGCGUGAUUAUCUCAAGCCUGCUAGUCUUGCCGCCGUCGACGUUAAGCAGGAUGUCCAGGGCAAACGUUUGAUCAACGCAAGCAACGCUAAUCUGCUGAUGGUUCAAGGCAGCACCCAUUCAUCAUUUAUAUACAUAAUAGUUCAUGCCUGCAGCCUGCACUGUAGGACAUCUGAUAGGUGUGCUCCUCUAAUUCAUUCAAUGAAAAUGAAAAGUUGAGUCGUGAAAAACCUCGGAAAUACAAUCUUGGCUGAACGAUUUCCAACGGAGAAGAAAUCAAUGAAAAACUUACCAGCCAAAACAGCAGCCCACGCGUCCGUGCCAGGGCUCGCCAUCGUCCUUUGACUAUACGAGACCAUGGAGGGAGGGGAGGGAGGACCGCGGAGCACGCGUCCAGCAUGGCACCAUGGGGUCGAAUAGCACGAGUCCAUAUCGAUGAAGGGCGGGAUGCGGGGAACCAAGCAUUGGCGAGGCGCGGUCGUGGAGGUCGAGCGGCGGCCGAGGAGUGGCCGGUGGAUCCCGAUAUCCCGUCGCACCCAUGCACAGUAGUGGAGGCCGGAUCCCGUCGUGAGUGGAGGCCGCGACCAUCGCGGCACCAGUGGAGACCGUGGUUAGGCGGUGUCGCAGGCGGCGAUGCGUUCAGAGGAGGAUCGGAAGGCUGCGGCCGCCAUGGCGUCCGUGGGGAACGGGGGCGGCGUCGUAGGUGAGAGGGUAAUAGGGUAGGGUGUGAGCGUGGGAAGGAUUAUGUUUCAUCACACGGUUUUUUCUGGGUUUUUUUCACCUGCUCCACGGGAAUAAAAAUGGGUGGGGGUGAGGGGAGGGAGUUGCGAUCGAUGGGAAGGGGAGUAGGGACGAACGAACGAACGAGGUAGGAACUGUGCCAUUAGGAAAGUUUGUUGUUCGAAAAGCCGAGGAUCGAUAAAUUAGGAAAGUUAAGAUUUGGAAUUGAUUGCGAUUUUAUUGUUUGGUAAGUGCUAUCAGAUCCUGCCUAUUUGUAACAUAUUUGGUUAGGAAAGUUUGAAAAGGUUAGGAAAUUUUUUAUUGGGAUAGUAAAAAAAUCAACAUGAGGAUAUGGUGGUGGGAGUUGGGACAAAAAACCCAGACGAAAGGGGUGGGACUAUUCAACCAACUCGUGCAUUAGAAGUAGAGAUAAGAGGAAUAGAGUUUAUGGUCGUGUUACAACACAGACAGCGCCGCAACAACACAAAUAAAGGUGACCAACUACUCUCGCAUCAUCAAGUAUCCCAACAUUCUAGCACCCACAGUUACCCAAAGCAUGGCCUCCUUCUUGAUGUUGGCGAGUAGGACCGUCGGUGGGGCACUCUUCUGACGUAACACUCGCACAUUCCUCUCGUUUCAAAUGGUCCAGGCGACGAACAUGGUGAGCGAGGCCAUCGCCUUCCUGUUGGGGGUAGAUGUGUAUUCAGAAAACCAGAAAAUGUUACUCCACCGAGUUCUGUCAACACAUUAUUUGGAACGUGGCUUAACGGGAUAGAGCCCGAAUUAGCGAGACAUAUUCGCGUAGGAGUCUGUACCUUGUUAUGGGCACUCUGGAAUUGCAGAAAUGAUUUGGUUUUUAACAGGACAACAUGCAUUCAUUUUUUGCAGGUUAUUUUCCGAGCCACGACGUUGAUCCGUUCAUGGUCGCUACUCACUCCGACGGAGGCCAAGGAGCGUUUGGUUACUGGAUCUAUCCGCUGGAAGAUGGUUGCUCGGGAUAUCUUCAACCGGUUUGGAUGGCGGUCAUGUAAUAGGAUAGGCAAUUAGUUUACCUAUCUCUCUUUUGCCAGCCGGUUGUGGCGUCCUUUAUUUGGCUAGUUUGGCUUCUAGCCCUUUUAGCUCUGUGUGAACUCCUUUUUAUUUUCAUUUGGAGACUUUAAGACCUUGUUGGAACCUAUUUAUUUGUUCAAUAAGAUGGCCGUAUGCAUCGUUCUGAUGCAGAAACCGGGGAAUCCCCCUUUUCGGAAAAAAAAUAUCAGAAAAUGUGAUACUACCAACAAUAUGCACCUCGCUUUUGUGGCGACUUGCUAUACUUGUAUUCAGUUUGCGAUAUUAGGCAGUUGAUGGGCUACAUAUCUAAUGCUCCAGUGCAGAAAAGAAGCCUUGAGGAAUUCUAUGCUCCAGUCCAGUCCAGUGUUUGUCCCCAAUUCUAAUGCUCUCGCUGUUGCUUCGUCUUGCAAGCAAGAAGCAGUGUCUGCAAAAGGGUCUUGUGUACUCUUUGAUGCAAUGAAUGAAUGCUUCAGGAUGUAGAUCCUGAUGCUGAACCUGAGCGUGCAGUCUGAAGCUGCGUUCAGAAAGACCGACUCUACUCUGGGUGGCUAGCUAAUUAACUAAGCUGCAAACAUUUCCAGAAUGUGAAAAAUGCCAACCACGCGAGAUACAGAAAUACUAGUCCAAUAUGUGUGCUCUGCCGCGGCUCUUUGGUCCGACGCCACACGGGAAUACAUAUGGUAAAUUAUCAGGUCUGAAAAGAUUUGUGUGCAAUUUGUUUUGUCAUGUAUUUAGAUAAACUUAUACCAGUAGUUCAGAACAGCUAGUUCUUACUCAUUUGCCAUGAAAAAGUAGUUUCAAAUUUAAAUAAAAUGGAAAAUCCAUUCAAACAUCAAUAUGUGCUUCUAACAAAAUUCCCAUACUUCAUAUUAGUUACUACUAGUAUUUGUUAAUGUCAUGUGUGGGUUGUUGAUAGGAUUUUCCUUGUCUUCCAUUUUUGGUUACACAAUCUAUUCAAUUUUUAAGAUGUGUUACUUACUUAUUCUUUGUUGCAUGCACAGCUAAUGACAUAAAAUUGGCUUCUAACUUCUAAGUGCUUAACUAUUUGGGAUAUGUUUCUCAUGGAACUUUCGUGGUGGCUUAGCGAUGACUUGUAAUUUCAACUCAAAAUGUUAAGUAGUUGGUGCCCGAUUAAAAUUUUGGAAGUAGCUUCUUUUUUGUGUCCUAGCUGCUGCACCUUGUGAAUCCUCGUUACUCGGCCCUUGCUGUAAGAGACCUGUUACAUUUUUCUUGCUUUUUCGAAGAGAAUCAGCCUGCGGUAAGUUGAUUGACUUGUUCAAGCUUGUAAACUGCUACUAGCUAGCUAGUGCCAAAAUUUUCCGUCAUUGCAAUGCCUAAUCAUGGAUGUAAUCUGAGCUAAUCAUUGGAUAUGAUAUAUGAUACCAAAUUUGAGGUCAGUUACAGUACUCCGUCAUUGUGUUACUACCACUGUAGUGCCCCCUACAACCUGUUCAGGUGUUCGAUCGAUCGAUCGUCCGAGAGCGCGCAUGUUUUUGGUGGCCACACCCUUUAUGUGGUAAGCCAGAACCUGGCAUCCAAGAACUCACCUCUCAACUAAAAUGGCAUAUGGCCAUGUGCUCUGUCCUAUUGUUGUAGUAUUUGAACAGUAUCAACAACUAAUCCUAUCGACGGUGGUAGAUUACACGGUUACGUUACGUGCUGAUCAGCAAAGCUGCAGUACGAUAAUCAAUAUAACUCAAAGCUACUUGAGGGGAUAUACAGGCAAAACAAAACCAAUUCUUGUAAAUACAUCAGUAGUCAUAGUACCGUAUUUCAUCAAGGCACCAACUGCUUAAUAUCAUGACAAGUCACACUACUCGGAUUUUAUUCCUGAAGAUAUCAACAUGAGCAUAGAGAUGGAGAAAAAUGAACAGUCAGUUCCUUAGUACUAUUAGGUUUCUACUACAUCAAGGCACUAACUGCCUAAAUAUCAUGAACUGAAUACAAGUACAAUAAGUCACUAAUAAGCCACCAAAUAUGAAAUUUUAUUUAAGCACUCAGCACAAGCUAAAUCAUGCUGUUAGACUUCAAGAAGCGCAUGCUCAAGCUAGUGCAAUACAAAAAAAUGACAAUUCAGAAGUAUUCCUAAUAAAUAGCAUGUGUACCGGAGGAUUCUGGUUAGAAACACCGCACAUAUUUUAAAAAUUCCAUUUUACUCAUAUUUUAUUAAACUACUUUCAAGAUUCUUUGAUAUCUAGUAUUCCCGAAGGCAUUAACUAAAUUAAUUUGUGAAAAAAAUGCAACUUAUAGCAGUCACAACUAAGCCACCAAAAAUAUAUAUGCAUAACAUGACAUUACAUAACAAAGUUUAGUAAAAAAACGGCUGCACUACAAGUACGGGCCAAAGAACGCGCUGAGCGCGGCGAAGUCGCCGACGUCACCGCCAUCCCCGCCGUCGUCCUCAUUGUCCUUCUCCUCCUUGACGCGGCCGCCCCGUCUGGACCCCUGCCCGGCGUCGCCCUGGCGGACCGGCGGCGGCGGCGCGUCGUCGUCGCUGUCGUCAUCGAGGACGACGACGCCUCCCUCGUCGCGGCCACGGCGCGAGCAGCGAACUGCUCGUAGGCGCGGCACUGGCGCUCCAGCUCCGUCCGCACCCAAUCUUCGCGCGCCCACUUCAAGGCCGCUGCGUCGUCGAGCUCCUCCGUCACCCCACCGGCGAGCCCUGGCUCCGGCUUCACGACGGCGAGCCCCGGCUCCGUCUUCGGUUAUCUCCGCAUGCCUCGGUUUUCUUAUGUAGUUACUUUGUGAUAAUCAUAGCAAUGAUAUUGUCCUUCCAAACCUGGAAAAGAAGUGUUUUUACAAGAGUAGACAACUGCCUUGGUUGAGGAGCUCCUUCUUGAUGAAGAAUAUGUACGCAUAGCUUGUAUGCACUCUUAGUAGUUCCCGUUCAAGUUAUAGGGGGGUUUGGAGAAUAAUGUUUGCUGCCUAAACAUCAAAGAGAGAGUAAACAAGAUUUUCAUUCCAAGAUUUAUGGUUAGGUUACCAUAGAUCUUUCAAAUUGGAGGGAUAAAUGUAAGGCUGGUGCUGAAUUAUGUGAUGAUGAUAAAAAGAGCUCCAAAUAGAACACCAUGGGGGAACUCCAUAUCAAUACAUUACCCUCGACAAGUUGAUAGAAAGAGUUAGAGUAAAGCAUAGGGCAAACUUUAAUAAUGGCAGUCCAAAAGGAAGAUUUGUGGACAUUAGGCCUAGCUCUCCAAAUGGAGGUGUCAUGGAAGUAUUUAGCUUUGAGAACUCUGGCCAUAAGACUUUCAAGGCAUUAUGCAAUUCUCCAAGCUGCAGAGAGGAUUAGGCUUGGAUGUUCCUUAUUCCUAACCCACCAUCCCUUUUAGGAGUGCAAAUACCCUUCCAAGCUCUCAGGCAUAAAGUUUUGCCUUUCCGCCAAAAGUUUCUUAUAAUAGCAUCUAAUUUGGCAAUCAGUUUUCUGGGCAGCUGAAGAUUUGUCAUGUAGUACAUCGAAAUAGAAACAAAGACGAAAUUAAUAAGAAUUAGGCCCUGUUCAGUGUCCCGGAGCUGGUGGAGCUACAGUUCAAAUUGACGGAGCUUCAUUUUCCUCGCUCCGCAGAUUCCGGGAGUUGGUGGAUUACCAGACAGGGUCCUAAUCUUGCAGCAUGAGAAACCUCUUCCUCACAUGUCCCUAACAAAGUUAAAAAAAAAAACUUGAUGGGCCUUUCCAGCGCAUGACAUAAUUUAGACCACUUGUGUACAUGGGCUGAAAGCGUUGAAGCAUCUCAUGGACUUGGGCCGGCCAAGCGUCAAGUAUACAGCAGAACCAACCAAGCAGCCAGGGCUCCAGAAUCUCCAUCACUCCGGCAAUGGCGGCAGUGGCUUUGCCACCAGCUAAACCUCCGUCGAUCUCGUCCACGACCAUGACCACCACCACCACCACCACCGCUACCGCCGCCGACGGAACCACCACCACAACCCUAAUCGCCUCCGCCGCCGGUGGCACCACUGCCAUCACAACCACCACCACGAUCAAAACCACCUCCGCCGCCGAUGGCACCACCACCAUCACAACCACAACCAUCACCACCACCGCACCACCAACCACCUCUGCUGUCGCCACCACCACCGUAUCCUCCCUCGGACAGGACCAGCUUGUCGAGAUCUUCCUCCGCCUGCCCAACCUGCCGGCCCUCAUCCGCGCCGCGCUCACCUGCCGCUCCUGGCUCGGCGCCGUCCGCUCCUCCCCGUCCUUCCGCCGCCUCUUCCGCGUCCUCCACCGGACGCCCCCCAUCGGCCUCUUCCUCAACAUCGACGGCGCUGCCACCCCCUCCUUCGUCCCCCUCCGCCGCUCAGAUCCGGAGGUCACCGCCGCCCUCCGCCGCGGCGACUUCUUCCUCACCUCCCUCCCAGUGAAGGCCGGCACGUUAACGACCUGGGGUGUCAUGGACUGCCGCGACGGUUACAUCCUCCUAUGGAACAAGCUCGAUAGGCCGUCAGUGGACAAGCCCUCCGUCGCCGUCGUGAACCCCAUGACCUGGGCCGUGGACAUCAUCCCGUUGCCCGGCAAUGUCAAGGCUGGGAAACGUCGCAAUUUCGCCUUCCUUGGUUUCCACCUGCUGUGCUCCGAUGAGAAGCCCUCGUCCUUCGGCGUCGUCUGUGUCUGCGGGGAUAAGCUAAGGGUUCGUCUCGCCGUCUUCUCGUCCGAGACGUGGGAUUGGGUUGUCCACCCGUGGGUGGAAAUCUAUGGACGCAAGAAUCUAAAGUUUGGUUCUGGCACACUCGUGGAUGGGUCUGUUUACUGGCCUUUCCAUGGCGAAGGGCGCAUGAUAAGGAUCGACACUGCGACCAUGGAUAUCACAUCUGUGGAUCUACCCCCGCAGGUGACGGUGGAGGGGUGCAAUUUCAUGGCUGGGGAGACCAAGGAUGCCCAACUCUGCAUUGUCUAUGCAUCUGAUGAUUUUGCUCUUCAUGUUUGGACCCGCGGUGUGGAUGGUGAUGGGAUUGAGAUUUGGGUGCCGCAGAAGACAAUUGGUCUGAGUGAAAUUGAUAGGAUCACUAUGGACCUGGAGGGCGACCUCGAAGUCGUGCAGGUUAGGUCUGGAUGCGUGUACUUGUCCACAACAUGCAUGACACCCGUUGGUACAUUCCGCUGCUGGUUCUUCUCCCUUUCACUGGAGACAAUGGAGCUUGAGUUACUGGUCGAGGGAUGCUUUGAUGGGGGUGCCUGUCCGUAUAUUAUGGCCUGGCCUCCUUGUUUGGUUGGUGAUGAUGGGAGCAUCGGACAUGAAGUUGAAGGUUCUCAAUGAAGCCUGCAGUUGUUUAUCAUAGGAGGCAAUUUAUGGAAGUUUAUGGGUAUGAGUUAAUCUUUAUUAUUUACUUUGUUGAUGCAAAAUAAUAUCUAAUUGGCAUUGAAAACUGGGAUAUCAUUCCUUUGUAUCUUAAGUAAUGGUUAAUCACAUUAGAAAGCUUUAGAUGCUUUAAAAUUAUUGGUUCAGUUCUGCAGUUAGUGAAUUUGAUGGAAGAUCAGAUUUUCGUCUACUGCAAACUUUCUGUGGGAUACUGCUAUGUUACAUUUGCAGCUAGGACUAAUUUGUUUCUGCAGUUUGUGUUUGUCCUUUAUUUGGAGAAAAACGGGACUGCUAGUUCUGGAAAGUAAUUAUAAUAUUCUGAACUUUCAGAUGUGCAUAAAGUUCGAAAAAUGAAAUUUUGAUAUGCACCAGUGAUUCUAACAAGAUUCCCUGUAUACGAAUUACUUUUUUUGUAACUGCAUAAUCUCUUAAGUUUGGAGGAUCUUUUUUCAGCCUUGUUUGUUCUUUGUUGUGCGCACAACUAGUAAUAUGCUUAUCUGUUAUUUUUCUUCUGAAUAUGUUCCCACCUUACUUUUGUGGUGGCUCAGUUGCGACUUGUUAUACUUGUAUUUCAGUUUACAAUGUUAGCCAGCUGGCCCCUUACUUGACUAGAUAUCAGAGAGUUUUGAAAGUAGUUACCGUUUGUUGCAUUAUUUCUUCAUCUGCUGUUUACUGUUUUGCUCUAUUUUAACUGCUACCAGUUUAUGUUCAGUCAUAAAAAAAUGUCAAGCGUCAACUAUGUUCAGUUUCUUUGGAGUAUAAGAUCACCUUAUUUGCAAGAAAGUUGUUGUGUUUUUUUUAAUUUUUUUGUUUAGAAGAGUGAAUUGCACAAGUUGCAUACUGAAACAUUGCACCAAAGGGUAGAAUUUACACAGACUAACACUGUGUUUUUGUGAUGCAAAAUAGUAGCAGGGGAGCUUGGCGUUUUUUGGCGAAGAGCAGGGGAACCUGCGGAUGGGUGGGCGUGCAACUGCAUAGGAAUGCAUUUCUGUUCAGUGCUCAUGUGAAGUUGGGAAUCAGCAUGAUGAUGGAUUUGUAGAAAGACUGUAUUGCCUAGAUUGUGGUCAAUGCUCAGAAUGAUGUAGUGAGUUUGUUGCUUUGCCAAUUGCAAUGAAGUGUAGUGUCAUGCCAGAACGUUCAAUAACUGAUCAUCUCUCUCCUUUUCGAUUAUUUAAGAGCGUUCAGCCUUCAGUAUGCUGCAUUCAGAUGCACCAUUUUGCGGCAAAGAACCAGGUUCAAGUGAGUAGUGAUUUCACUGGCAGAGAUGUGAAUUUUGAAUGGAAAUUCCAGCACCUAUGAAUCUUUGGUAGGUGGCGUGUUACCAGCUGGGGAACAAGUAGAAAUAGUUUUGGUUUCCUUGAUGUGCCGAAAAUCAGAAAAUAAAAAAUAUGCACCUCGCUUUUGUGGCGACUUGCUAUACUUGUAUUCAGUUUGCGAUAUUAAGCAGUUGAUGGGCUAGAUAUCUAAUACUCCAGUGCAGAAAAGAAGCCUCGAGGAAUUGUGAUGCUCCAGUCCAGUCCAGUGUCUGGCCCCAACUAGCCAGGACGCUGUUGCUUCUGUCUUGCAAGUAACCGGUCAAAAAGACGGCAUUUCUACACAAUGGCGCUAGAGCAGCAACAAGCAGUGCCUGCAAAAGGUCUUGUGUAAAUUGGACUAGUACUCUUUUGAUGCGAUGAAUGAAUGAAUGGUUCAUGAUGUAGAUCCUGAUGCCGACCCAGAGCGUGCAGUCUGAAGCUGCUUUCAGAAAGACCGACUCUACUCUAGGCGGCUAGCUAAUUAACUGAGCUGCAAACAUUUUCAGAAUGUGAAAAAUGCCACACCGGAAUGUUGUGGUAAAUCAUCACGUCUCGAAAGAUUUGUGUGCUCUGCCGCGGCUCUUUGGUCCGACGUCCAACGCCACACCGGAAUGUUGUGGUAAAUCAUCACGUCUCGAAAGAUUUGUGUGCUCUGCCGCGGCUCUUUGGUCCGACGUCCAACGCCACACCGGAAUGUUGUGGUAAAUCAUCACGUCUCGAAAGAUUUGUGUCCACUUUAUGCAAUUUUUUUGCCAUGUAGUUGGGUAAACUUAUAUCAGUAGUUCAGUAUAGCUAGUUCUUACUCAUUUGCUAUGAAAAAGUAGUUUUAAAUUUUAAUACAAUGAUAAUUCAUUCAAACAUCAAUACGUGCUUCUGACAAAAAUCCCAUACUGCAUACGUGCUUCUGACAAAUAUCAUGGAUGUAUCAAGUCACGUUUUAGUAUUAGAUACAUCCGUAUCUAGAAAAUCUAAGACAAGAAUUUUGGGAUGGAGGGAGUACUAGCAUUUGUUAAUGUGAUGUGUGGAUUGUUGAUAGGAUUUUUCUUGUCUUCUGUUUUUGGUUACACAAUAUAUUCAAUUUUAAAGAUGUCUUAGUUAUUCUUUGUUGCAUGCCCAGCUAAUGACAUAAAAAUUGGCUUCUACUCCCUACGUAUCAAAAUAUAAGACAUUUUCUAGGCUAGUUUAGCCUAGAAAAACGUCUUGUAUUUUGGUACGGAGGUAGUAAGUGCUUAACUAUUUGGGAUAUGUUUCUCAUGAAACUUUCGUGGUGGCUUAGCAAUGACUUGUAAUUUCAACUCAAAGUGUUAAGUAGUUGGUGCCUGAUUAAUAGUAUUGCAAGUACGUAGUUUCUUCUUUUUUGCGUCCUAGCUGCUGCACCGUCAAUCCUGCAUGUAUCCUCGUUCCUCGCCCUUGCUGCAAGAGACCUGUUCCGUUUUUCUGAUGAAUCAGCAUAUUUCUGGGAAGAGAAUCAGCAUGCGGUAAGUUGAAUGACUUGUUGGAACUUGUAAAGAACUGCUAGUGCCAAACAUUUUCCGACAUUGCAUGCAAUGCCUAAUCAUGGAUGUAAUCUGAGCUAAUCCUUGGAUGUGAAAUAUGAUACGAAAUUUGAGGCCAGUUACAAUACUCAAUCACCAUGAAAGGAGAUCCUAAUCAAGGUUGGUAGCCAACAUAAGACACUAACCGUUGAAUCGGACAAGUACGAGUGCUGAUAUCUCUGUGACCGACCUCACCUCGUGAUAAGAGCAUUGUUGGAGCAUAUCGAUCUUCAUACUAGUAAUAUUUCAUAUCAUUGGCAUUCACAUUCUGGAAAGUCGGUCUUUCUUAAAGCAUACAUUCUGGGUCAUCAUACAUUCUGAAGCAUUGCAACAGAAGAGUACAAGAGUUCAGACAGACCCUUUGCAAGUUGAGGCGCCGGCGCUGCACCUUGAUGCUAUAGCUAGCAGCCUCGUGCUCUAUCAUGGAGAAAUGCCUCGAUGAUCGCCAGGGCCAGGAGUGGCGCUCCCUUCAGAACUGGUGCCGUGUAUCAUCAGAUGUGCUAACGAGGAGCUCUGGGUGUCGAGGCCUGAACUGGGGUGGUUUCACACCCCUAGAAUAUAGGGUGUUUCUUAUUAAUAAAAUGGCCGCAUGCAUCUUUCUGAUGCAGAGGCCGGGGGAUAACCUACUUUUCGAAAAAAAGGACAAGGUGUUUGUUUGCCUGGACUCGAUCGGUGUCGGGCCAAGACCAAGACCACUGUAGUACCCCCUCCAACCUGUUAAGGCGUUCAAUCAUCUGAGUGCGCGCAUGUUUUUGGUGGCCACACCCUUUAUGUGGCAUCCAUAGGCACCAAACAAACAAACUUGCCCAUGUGCUAUGAGCCUAUGAGUUAAGUGGGAUAUGGCCAUGUGCCCUGUCCUACUGUUGUAGUAUUUGAACAGAAUGAACAACUAAUCCUAUCGCGUUAAAGAGUGGUAGAUUAUAGGGUUACGUUACAUGUUGAUCAGCAAAUCAAUACGAUAAUCGAUAUAACUCAAAGCUACUUGAGGGAAUACACAGGCAAAACAAAACCAAUUCUUGUAAACACAUCGGUCACAUGACAUGAAUUCCAUUCCUAGUAAAGAUAUAACAUGACCAUAGAGAAUGGGAAGAAUGAACAAUAAGUUUUAUAGUACAAGCCACCAACUGCCUAAUAUCAUGACAAGUCACAGUACUCGGAUUUUAUUCCUCAAGAUAAGCAUAUAGAGAUGCAGAAAAAUGAACAGUCAGUUCCUUAGUAUUAGGUUUCUAGUCCAUCAAAGCACUAACUGCCUAAAUAUCAUGAACUCAAUACAAGUAUAAUAAGUCACCAAAUAUGAAAUUUUUAGUUAAGCACUCAGUACAAGCUAAAUCAUGCUGUUAGCUGGGCAUAUGCAGCAGAAACAACCAAACUUCAAGAAGCCCAUGCUCAAGCUAGUACAAUUAAAAAAAAAUGACAAUUCAUAAGUAUUCCUAGUAAAUAUUAUGUGUACUGGAGGAUUCUGGUUACAAGCAGAGACACAUAUUUACAAAUUCCAUUUUACUCAUAUUCUAUUAUUACCACUACUUCCAUGAUUCUUUCAUAUCUAGUACUAGUAUUCCCCAAGGCAUCAACUCCUUAAUUAAAAUUGCGAACCAAAAUGCAACUUAUAGCAAGUCACAACUAAGACGCCAAAAAUAUAUAUAUGCAUAACAAGCCACAAGCAAGUUGUUAUCACACAAUUAGCAGAUCUUACUAGUAAAAGGUAGUAUGUAUUAAGGGAAUUCUUGUUAGUAGCACAGAUGCGUGUCCAACGAUUCAAUUUAUUCAAAGAUUAUUAUAAUUAAUUUUCCAGGCACAAAAGUAGAAACUAGGAGCCCUGGUUUCUCUCUAGAAAUAAACAACACAAAUUGGUUACUGAGCCCUAGCAGCCGAUGCAACAUAGCAGUAUUCCACAAAAAGUAUGCAGCAGAAGGAAAUUUACACUUCCAUAAAACGAGCUCCGAAAGGGAUGCGCUCUCCACCUAUAUAUCUGAACUCAUAGGUGAGAGUUCCCUGAAAUAAAUCUCCGCGAGUGAAAUCACUACUCCCCUGAACCCAUCUACUAACCAUUCUGAAACCAUCGCCACAAAAUGUUGUGUUUGAAUACAACAUCCAGAAGGUUCAACUCACCAUAUCACUGAAUGUUCUGAAACGACAGCAGAUUACACUGUUCAUGGCAAUUGGCAAAGCAGCAGACUCACUAUAUCAUUUCGAGCAUUCACCACUCACUACCUGAGUCAAUCUGGCAAUACAUACUUUCUACAAACCGAUCAAAUCAAAUGCAUCUGGUCUGGUUCCCAACUUUACACCAUCAGUCAACAUAAAUGCAUUCGACGCCGAGCACACGACUUUGCAGUUACCGGUCCGCCCACAGGUUCUCCUCCUCUUCGCCAAAAAACGCAAAUCUCCCCUGCUGCUGUUGCGUCACAAAAGCAGCGUGUUAAUCUACAUCAAAUCAGCGUCUUACUCUUGGGCAAAUUCUACCCUUUGGUGCGAUGAUUCAGGAUGCAACUUGUGCAAUUCUGUUCUUCCAAAAAUAUAACUAGGAAACGCACCAAGUUUCUUGCACCAAAGGGUAGAAUUUGCACAAGAUUAAUGAUUAAGACACAAGAUUAAGGUGGUCCUAUACUCCGAAGAAACUGAGUACAGUUGACUCGACACUUCCAAAAUCAGCUUUCUUGCAACAAGGUGAUCUUAUACGACAAUUUUCUGAAAAACUGAACAUAAAUUGCAGGUAAUAUAGAAAUUAGGUCGGUAGCAUACUAAAAAAUAAUUAAGCACUUAAAAGCUUAUUUACAUUAUUAGCCGCGCGCACUAACAAAGAACAACAAAAGUUGAAAGACAAGAGAAUCUGCAGCCUAAAAGAUGAAGAGAUUGUGCAGCAAAAAGAACUAGAAUUGUAUCGAUAACAGCUGCAUAUCUGAAAGUUGAUUUCAUCCAGAGUUUAUUAUAAUUACUUUCCAGAACUAGCUGUCCUGUGUUUUUCUCUAUAUAAAUGAAAAACACAAACAAAAAAAAUUAAACGAUGGGGCCUGGCAGCAAAUAAAACAUAGCAGUAUUCCAUAGAAAGUUUGCAGCAGAUGAAAAUCCAAUCUUCAAUAAAAUUCAUUAGCUCCAGAACUAUACCAACGGUUAUCAGGCAUCUAAAGAUUUCUAUGAGCAUAACCAUUGCGUAGGAAGGAUACAAAGGCACGAUCUUCCAGUUUUCAAUGCCAACUAAGUAGAUAUAAUUUUGCGUCAACAAAGUAAGUAAUUUAUAAUGCUAAUUAAGCUCAUACCUGCAAAUUUGCAUUAAUUUCCUCAUAUAAGACGAACAAGUGCAGAUUUCAGUGAGAAGCUUCAACUUCAUGCCCAGUGCUGCUCCCAUCACAACCAAUCAAACAAGGAGGCCAUGCCAUAACGUACGGAUAGGCACAGUCCCCAAAUGUCCCGUGGAUGAGCGACUCAAUCUUGAUGGUCUCCAAUGAAAGGAAUAAGAACCAGCAGCGGAGUAUGCCAACAGGGGUAAUACAUUUCAUGGACAAGUAGACAUAUCCAGACCUAACUUGCACAACCCUAAGGUGGCCCAGCCAGCCCCGAGUUACCCGACCAAUUUCUUCACUCAAAGAGAGUAUGUUCUGCGGCACCCAAAUCCCAAUUCCAUCACCAUCUACACCACGGAUCCAAACAUGGAGGAGGAAGUCAUCAUGAGAUGCAUAGACAAUGCAUAGGUGACCAUCCUUAGUCUCCCCAGCCUUGUAAUUGCACCUCAAAACGUCCACCUGCAAGGGUAGAUCCACAUUGGUGACCUCCAUGGUGGCUGUGUUGAUCCUUAUCAUGCGGUGUUCGCCAUGGAAAGGCCAGUAAAUGGAACCAUGGACCAGCAUGCCAGCAUUGUACUUGAGGUUGUUGUCACCACCGAUUUCAACCCAUGGGUGGAUAGCCCAGUGCCCCAAUCCCAUGUCUCCGACGAGAAGACGGCAGCACGAACCCUAGACACGUCGACGCAGACACAGACCACCCGGAACGACCAGGGGUUCUCCUCACAAGACAGCAGACGCGAACCAAGCCAGGCGAAACCACGGAGACACCCUUCCCUGGCAUCCUCGGGCAACGGGAUGAUGUCCACGGCCCAGGUCAUGGGGUUCACGGCAGCAACGGACAUCAUGUUCCAGUUCCACAGGAGGAUGUAACCGUCGCGACAGUCCACGAUGCCCCAGCCCAUGGGAUUGGGCCAUGUAUACGUGAUAGCCCGAAUAAAUUAUGAAAAAUAUAUCCUUUUCACGGAAAUUAUGAAAAUUAAUGUAACAAUGGAUAUAUGGAUAUUCAUUUGGUAUUAUUUAUAUAUACAUAUUUUUUAUAUAUGUUUGGUCAAACAUAAGAGGCAUUGGUUUUUGUAACUCAAUUUACACGCCAUCUAUCUCGGGAAGAAGGGAGCAUAUAGCAAUGGGAGAUUUUCUAAAAGCAAAAGAAAAAAACACAGUGGGAGAUCUUCUCAACAAAAGAAAUUGCAGUGAAACUUUGCCAUAUAAUGUUCUGCUACUUGAAUAUAACAUACUGAAACUUGAACUCGAUUAAAUAACCGGAGAAGAGAUAAAAGGUUCAGUUGCUGAAUGUUCUAAAAUGAUAGGCAGACUCACGGUAUCAUUCUGGGCACUGGCCACUACUCGAGGCAAUACAUUGCAAAAGCAAGUAUCCUUUGUACAAAUCUAUCACAACAAAUGCAGUUGAUUCCCAACUUUCCUCAUGAGCAGCCACCAACUUUCCUCAUGAGCAGCCACCAGAAAUAAUGCAUUUCGAUGCCAAGCACAACGACGACUUGCCACCCGCAGAUUCCCCUCCUCUUUCGCAAAAACGCAAAUAUCCCUGCUGCUGUUGCAUCACAAAAGCAGUGUGUUAAUCUUGUGUGAGUUCCUACUCGGUGCACUGCUUCAGGAUGUAACUUGUGCAAUUCUACUCUGCUAUCUCUAUACUUGGAAGAAACUGAACAUGGUUGACACUUGCAUUUUAAAAAUCUGAACGUAAAUUGCAGUAAAUGUAGAACAAAACAGUAGCACCGAGAUGCAGAAAGAAUGCAGCAAACAAUAACUACUUUCAGAACUCUCCGAUAUCUAGUCAAGGGAACAACUGGCUAACAUUGUGAACUGAAAUACAAGUAUAACAAGUCGCAACUAAGCUACCAUAAAAAUUAGGUCGGGAACAUAUCCCUAAGAAGAAGAAGAGGCAAAUAGUUGAGCACUUAAAAGCCAAUUUCUUAUUUUAUGUGCGCACAACAAAGAACAGCAAAGGUUGAAAAACAUAUCCUCAAAAAUUAAGAGGUUGUGCAGUGGAAGAAAAAUGGAAAACAAGAAAAUUUGCAUCCUCAAAGAUGAAGGGAUUGUGAUGUACAAAAAAAGUAAUAUGCAUAAAGGGAUUCUUGUUAGAGUCACAGAUGCAUAUCUGAAGUUAAUUAUAUUCAAAGAUUAUUAUAAUUACUUUCCAGAGCUAGCACUGCUGUGCUUUUCUCUCAAUAAAUGAGAGAACACAAACACAAACAGUAGGAACAAAUUGGUCAAUGGGGCCUAGCAGCAAAUGCAACAUCUUCUAGCAGAAUUUUACCAAUAGUUUGAAAUCAUCUAAAGGUUUCUAGGCAUAACCAUCAAGAUAGAAUAGCACGAUCUUCCAAUUUUCAAUGUCAACCAGAUAUUAUUUUGCAUCAUCAGAAAAGUAAUUAAUAGUGGUAAACUCAUACCGGAAAAAUCCCAUUCAUUCAUUUCCUCGUACGGCAAACAAGUGCAGACUUCAGCAAGAAGCUUCAACUUCAUGUCCAGUGCUCCCAUCAUCACCAAUCAAACAAGGAGGCCAGGCCAUAUAAUACGGAAAGGCACAGUCAUCAAAUGUGCCGUGGAUUAGUAACUCGAUCUCCAUGGUCUCCAAUGAAAGGUAGAAGAACCAGGUGCGCUGUGUGCCAGCAUUAGUCAUGCGUGUCAUGGAGAAGUAGACACAUCCAGACCUCACUUGCACAACCCUGACUUGGCCCUCCAAGCCCCGAGUGACCCGAUCAAUUUCCGCACCCAAAGAGAGCAUGUUCUGCCGCACCCAAAUCCCAAUUCCAUCACCGCCCACACUACGGAUCCAAACAUGUAAUCAAUAGUUGUGUGUGAGGGUAGAUCCACAGAGGAGGCAGUGUUGAUCUUGAUAAUGCGUCCUUCGGCAUAGAAAGGCCAGUAAACUGAACCGUCCACCAUCGUGCCUGCACCGUACUUGAGGCUGUUUUCACCACCGAUCUCCACCCAUGGGUGGACGGCCCAACCCCUUGUAUCCGACGAGAAGACGGCAGCACGAACCCUAGAGACGUCGGCGCAGAGGCAGACCACACGGAACGACCGGGGAUUCUCGUCGGAAGUCAGCAGGUGGAAACCAAGGAAGCCGAAAUCGCUGAGACUCCCAUCCGCGACAUCAUCGGGGAAGGAGAUGACGUCCACAGCCCAGGUCAUGGGGUUCACCACAGCCACGGCCCAGAGAGUAUUCCAUAGGAGGACGUAACCGUCGCGGCAGUCCGUGACAGUCCAGGCGUCGUCCAGCGGGAGGGAGGUGAGGAAGAAGUCGCCACGGCGGAGGGCGGCGGUGACGACGGGAUCCGAGCGGCGCAGGGGUGCGAAGGAGGGGGCGGUGUCGUCGUCCACUUUGAGGAAGAUCCCGAGGAGGGGCGCUGGGUGAAGGGCUCGGAAGAGGCGGCGGAAGGACGGGGAGGAGCGGACGGCGCAGAGCCAUGGGCGGCAGGUGAGCGCGGCGCGGACGAGAUCCGGGAGGUUGGGCAGGCGGAGGAAGAUGUCGAGAAGUUGGUCUUGGCCGAGGGAGGAUAUGGUGGUGGUCCCGUCGGCGGCGGUGGCGAGGGCAGUGGUGGAGGGGAUGGACGGAGGUUUCGCUGCUGGCGGCGGCGGCGGCGGCUCGCUGGACAUUGCUGGAGAGUGGGUGGAUGGAGAUUCUGGAUCCCUCUGGCUGGUCGGCUACUUGUGUAUAGUACGCAUGGCCCAAGCCCAUUAUAUAUAGGCUUAAUGCUUUGAGCCCAUGUACGCAAUAGUCCAAGACUCCAAGUAGCCCAUGCUUUGGAAUUAAACAGAGUUUUUUUGUGUGCACCUAGUACUACUAUAAAAAAAAUAUAGGUUAUAGGUUUUUAUAUCAGUUACUCAAAAAAAAACUCCUAGCAGUUACUCAAAAAAAAAAACUACUAUAUAACAGUGAUAGAUUUUCCUGAAGAAUAAAGAACAAUGGGAGAUUUUCUCAAAAAAUAACAGUGAGAGAUGGAUUUUUAUGGGAUGAAUAUAUAAUCAGGUCAUGAUAAGAAAAUCAAACAAGAAGGGUACUCGCAUGUUAAAUUUUAGGGGCACACAAUAUCCCGAAAAGUAAGGAAACAAGUGCGACUAUAAAUUAAGUUUUCUGUUCCUCACAUCAUUGUGUUUUCUUGUGUCAUGAAAUAAACACAAUACUUACAACCUCUAUGUUGCUUUGGGAUGCUGUGUUGUCAGUAAUAGAAUACAAAGUACUCUAUAAGACUAAUAUGAUAAUAUUGAUAUACUAUCAAAUAUGGGGUUGAUAUUUUUACAAUUUGGAUCCCAUCACAAUCCAGUCGACACAUAUGCCAAGUUCUGUGUGUGAUCAUAUAUUCGCACGCACAACAACGAUCACACAGUCGAUCUUCAUCUUACACACGGAGCAACAUAUAAGGUGCUUUGAGAGGCAGGCAGAGCCACUGCUAAAUUACCUAAGGUGCAGUAGUACUUGAAGAUUAUUUCUUGAUGGAGAGGGUGGAUCACCCCCUUCAUAGAACACCCCCUUUACUCAACUUCUUCGGUACCAUAAGAUUGGUAGAAGCUCAUGAACCUCAAAGUGAAUUCUGCGAUGGUUUUAGUUAGGGUCGUCUAUUUCGGUAGGCUACAGUUCAGAAGUCAACCGAAUAGAAAAACAUGUACCUUCAAUCUUCAUGAAGUAUUGUAUGGCUUCCCCUUGGUCAUGGCCUUCCACGACAAACUGUUCUAUACUGAUAUCCAAAGUUUCAUCUUUAGAUCUGUAUUCUUUGUGUUGCUCUUUCUGAAACUUGUAGCCUGCACACUGCGCAAGGCACAAGCAAGCAGAGAAACAACACAAACAUCAAUAUAUGCUACAUGGUAGUCUAGUUGGGAGAUGAAAACUAACUAUCACACCACAGUGGAGAUGCUUGUUCAUCAGUAUAUGCUCACAUGGUCAAUGCAUAGCCUCAUGGUGAUGCCCCAUGUGCCAUGUAGGAUCGGAUGUCAGGGAAAGUGGGUUUGGAUAGGGAAGCGGGAUCCUCUGCAAGAGGCAGGUGCUUGGGAAGAAAAAGUGUGGUCUGAUGUAAAAAACUGAAAAGGUUGAAAUGAAGAGUAGAGAAGCAUAUGUAUUAAAGUUUCUAUUUUCUAUUUCUUGAUGAGGCCCACUAGUAGUAGCUUGCGUUGGGGAGAAAAAAUCAAUGUAGUUGUCUCACGCUACUUUUUCUCAUGGGGCAUCUGCAUCCAUAUGUCAUCACUGUACAUGCCCUAACCUAGUGCUGCAUCUCAAAAGGAAAAGGAAAAGGGGACAGUAAUGAGCAAUGAAGAGGCAGAGGCCGGGGAAGUGAAAUUCUCCCCCAAUUUUGGGCUCCUCCCACCCUAGCCGCUCCUUCUCCCACCCUAGCCGCCCCUCCUCCUCCCACCCCAGCCGCUCCUCCUCCCACCCUAGCCGCCCCUCCUCCUCCCACCCCAGCCGCUCCUCCUCCCAACCCUAGCCGCCCCUCCUCCUCACCCCCCUCUUCCCUUCCUCGCCGCCGCUAAGGCAGCCGCCGGGCAAGCCCAGGGCGCCAAGGAUGGUGGCGGCGGGGCCUCGGUUGCCCUGCAUCUGCAUGGGGAACCCCGGAUCUGGAGCGGCGGCUCCAUUGGCAAGGCACGGCCGGCUAGUAGCCGUGCGGGCGGUGGAUCUGGUGUGCCGGCCGCGCGGGCGGCGGGAUCCGGUGGUCGUUGGCGGCCGGCGGCGACUUUUGCGGCGGUCGAUCGGUGUGCGUGAUCCGGUGCCUCGCCUCCUCCCCUGUUCAGCAUGCGGGCCAGCCUGGUCGGGCCGCGCUUCCUCUUGGUCGCCGGUUCUGUACAGGAGGCGCUGCUGGUGGCGGGGAUCUAGUUCAGGUGAAAUCCCUGGCCGGCCAUGACCGGCCGCGCCGACGGCGACGCCUGAGGGCACCGUUCCCCUCCUUGGAGGCGUCGGUAUGGACUGAUCUCCUCACUUCACCUUCCCUAACAUGUAAUGGGAUGAGCGAGUUCUAACCAACGACCUAUUGUAAUGGAACCUAUCCACCGCAACGGAUCGUACUUGGUAUUUCAUUUCAACUACUAAAGUAUAUCACCUCUAAAAUAAAAAGUGCACAUUCCGAAUAUAUUUUCAUUUCUCUAGAUUUUCAAAUUUAAAAUUAUUCGGAUUCAAACAAAUUUUUAGAUAAAUUGUUUGAAACAAAAUUACAUACAUUCAUUCUGUGCUAUAUUUUCUUUUGUCUAGAUUUUUUAAUCUAAAAUUAUUUGAAUUCAACCAAAAUUUAUUUAUAUAUUUCGGAAAAAAUAUACAUAAAUUCAUUCUGACCUAUGUUUCCUUUUAUCUAGAUUUUCCAAUUUAAAAUUAUUUGAAUUUGAACAAAACUUCCCUUGAUUAAUUCGUAGGAAAUUUACAUACAUUCAUUAUGAACUAUAUUUAUUUUAUAUAGGUUAUUCAAAUAAAAAUUAGUUGAUUUCUCUGAAAAAAAUUACGCACAUUCAUUCUGACACAUAUUUUAUUUUAUCUAGAUUUUCAAAUUAUUCGAAUUCAGACAAAAUUUUGUUCGUUUGUCCCAAAAAAAUACGUACAUUUAUUAGGCACUAUGUUUCCUUUUAUCCUUAUUUUCAAAUUUUAAAUUAUUUGAAUUCAAACAGAAAUUAGAUGAUUUGUCCAAAAAAGAUGUAAAUUCUUCUUCACAUAUAAUUUCUUUUAGCUAGGUUUUUGAAUACAUAAUAAAUUAAGUUUAUUUGUCUGAAAGAAAUUUAUGUAUAUUCAUUAUGAACUAUAUUUUAUUAUCUAGAUUAUUCAAAUUCAUUCAUAAAUUAGUUGUUUUAUCCAAAAAAAAUCUGUACAUUCAUUUUGACCUAUAGUUUCUUUUAUCUAGAUUUUCAAAUUUAAAUUAUUUGAAUUUGAACUAAAAAUUACAUUAAUUCUGCACUAUAUUUUGCUUUAUCUACAUUUUUAUUUAAAAUUACUCUAAUUCAUACAAAAAUUUAGUUGAUUUGUCCAAAAAAAUAUGUACACUCAUUCUGCAGUAUAUUUCCUAUCUAGAUUUUUAGAUUUAAAAUUACUUGAAUUCAAACAAAAUCUAGUUGAUUUGUCCGAAAAGUUUAUCUAGAAUAUAAGUAAUUUUCGUAAAUAGAAAAAAAAGAAUACAUAAGAUAAAUUGUGCUUAUCUCUUUAAAUGUCAUAGUGGUCGGAUGGUUGGCGCUCGCACACGCGGCGAGCUUACGUGGUCAUAGGUUAGAACCGAUGCCUUCCCCUUUUCUCAUUUGGUUUCUACUUUAACUCGUACGGUUUAUCUUAUACUAUAAAGCUAAUUGUGCUAUAUAAACGUCAAUAGUAAGGAGGUCAAGUGGCUAAGCGAGGCGAAUCAUAGCAGGUCGUGUGUUUGAAUCCUGCUGCCGCUCUAGCACUUUUCAUUUUAUUUGAGGGUUUUCUGCAUAAAUAAAUAAAAUGCAAGGGUGUUUUUUGAAAAAAACAAUGCAUGCGGAAUACCCACUGCGUCAGCCACUGACAGUGGGCCCCUGCCAUGUUUUUUUUUGCGGGGCAAAUUGGGAAGUUUUAUUCAACAGAAACCACGCCGGCAGCAUCUGCCAGGAGGCUAGUUACAAGUAAACUAGGAAUAGAGUCUAACCAACAAUCUGUUACAUCCAUCGUGCUAGCUUGCUUCGCACGAAGGUGAGCAGGAAAAUUUACUGAUCUCAACACAUGUUGAAUAAGAAAAAAAUUAAAAGAGCUGGCGUGCUCCCCAAUCUCGUCAAGAAUCGGCGCCACCACUGAAAAAUCAUGGCGCGAGUGCCAGAGGUUAACAACCUCUUGGCUAUCCGUCUCCAAGAUGACUUGAUCAUGCGAAAAUUACGCCAUCUCGAAGAGCCAACGCUUCAGCCAGAAGAGGGUCUGUGAUUCCAUAGUAUGGCUUACACCAUGCAGCCUUGAAAGCAGACGGAGAACGUGCUACCCCUCCAACCCCUCCUCGGCGGGACUCCAUGGAAAUGCUACCGUCGACGUUGAUUUUUAUCCACCCAUCAUCCGGCGGCCUCCAACCAUGACCAGGCAAGAUCCGAGCAUGAUCUUGAGGUAACUCUAAAAUCGCUAAAGCUUCCUGUAUGUGCUUCAUGGACCGAACAGGAUCAAACUCUCCUUUGUCAUGUGUGAUGUUGUUGCGUGAAGUCCAAAUAGCCCACAUAAUAGACACAAGUUUUGCUCUAUCAGAAUCUGAAAACAGAGACUCACACAAGACAUCCUUAACCCAAGUAAGAGGGUGCAGGUCUGGUCGCUUAACAUGCAGCCACUGCGGGGCUUCGUUCCAAAACCUUCUCGCAUGGGUACAGUUCAGUAAUGCAUGCAUCAUAUCCUCCUCUGAACUCAAACAGAUUUUGCACCUGCUCUCGCUGGAUAUAUGCCGAUAUUUCAGUGUACUUUCGACGGGAAGAAUCCCUCGCAUCACGCGCCACCAGAAGACGCGAACUUUGGGCAGCACUUUGAGUUUCCAUAACCGAGACCACAACUGUUUAUCCAUCUCCGAAGUAUCUGUAGUCGUCCCUUCUUCUAGAGCUUUAUGCUUGUUCUGAAUCAUUAGAGAGCGAUACGCUGAUUUUACAGUAUAAAUCCCGGACCUCUCAGGCGCCCAAGCAUAGAAAUCAUCUCCCCCUCUAGUCCUCAAAGGGAUAUUAAGAAUUGCAUCCGCAUCUGGAGGGAUAAAGGAUUGUCUUAUAACUUCAGAUUUCCAAGUCCAAUUCUCAUCAUCAAUAAUGUCUGCUAGCCAGCUGAUUUGUGCAUCGCCAAGACGUGCAACAGGUGCCCUUGUCAAUCUAUUUGGGAUCCAUUUAUCCUCCCAUAUAGACACUGUUGUGCCACUUCCGAUAUGUUUGAUUAGCCCAACAUUCAAAGCUUUUUGCCCUGCUAUGAUUGCCCGCCAUGUCGCCAACGCGCUUUUGGGGACGCCGGCAUGCAUGAAAUCACAGUUGGGGAAAUAUCUUCCUUUCAAUACUCGAGCACACAAGGAGUUGGGCUCUGUCAUUAGCCUCCAUCCAUGUUUACCAAGGAGUGCUACGUUGAACAUCUGUAAAUCUUGGAAGCCCAUCCCUCCUUUAAUCUUUGGCUGUGCGAGAGACUCCCACGACAUCCAAUGCAUUGAACGCCGAUCAAGAGAGCUACUCCACCAGUACUUGGCCAUAUAAGAAGCCAACUUUGCACAUACUUUCUUUGUUAGCUUGAAACAGCUCAUGCUGAAAGUAGGUAUAGAUUGGGCUAUAGCUUUUAUUCGCACCUCUCUUCCCGCACAAGAAAUCAUCCUCUCGGACCCCCCCUUGGAGUUUGCUUCUCAACCUCUCUCCAAUAUGGUCAAAAAUUCCACUUGUUAUUCUCCCUACGGCAGUUGGCAGCCCCAGAUACCGCUCACUGAAAGCCUCAACACUGAUGCCCAGAAUCUGUUUUAAUUCUUGCCUGACUGGAGCCGAAGUGUUUGGACUGAAAUAAAUUGAGCUUUUAUCCUUAUUAACAGCCUUUCCAGAACACUUCCCAUAGAUCCUUAAAAUCUCAUUUAAACGGUGAGCACUAUGCAUCUGGGCUUGCAUGAAAAUAAGGCUAUCGUCUGCAAAAAGCAAAUGAUUGAUCCAUGGAGACCGAUAGCUCACCCUGAUCCCUUUGUCAACUUGUGUUCCACCGAAUCUAUUCAGCAAAGAUGUGAAACCUUCAGCACAAAGUAAAAACAAGUACGGGGAUAUUGGAUCACCUUGUCGCAACCCACACGUCGGUGUAAAAAAAGGUAGCAGCUUGCCAUUGACACGCACUGAAAACCUGACCGAAGUCACACAUUUCAGGAUCAAACGGACAAACUCUGCACCAAAACCUAGCCGCAACAUAAUAGCCUCAAGAUAAUGCCACUCUACAUGAUCGUAGGCCUUCAUCAUGUCCAACUUUACGCACAAAUCGCAUUGCCCCCUUUCUUCCUUCUCUUUAUAGCAUGCACACUCUCGUGCGCAAUUAAAACGUUAUCGGUGAUCAAGCGGUCGAGGACGAACGCACUUUGUUCUUCUCCAAUAAUUUCACCCAAACACCCUCUAACUCGGUUUGCAAUAGCUUUUGAAGCAAUUUUAUAUAGAACCGGGCAGAGAGAUAUUGGACGAUAUUGAGAUAUCUUAUGCGGAAAACGUACCUUUGGGAUUAGAGUAAUCGACGUAUCAUUCAUACCCGCCGGAAGUUCACCUCCAUUCAGAAAAUCUAGAACUGCCCGGACAAUAUCAGCUUUCAGAAGCUUCCAAUGGCGUUGGAAAAACCCGGCAGUAAACCCGUCCACCCCUGGUGACUUUGACGGCGCCAUUUGAAACAGAGCAUGCUUAACUUCGUCCUCUGUGUAUGGUUUCUGAAGCUCAUAGUUCAUAGCGUCCGUAACACGAUUAGGAACAAAAUUUAGCUGAAAUCCUUGCGAUGUAUAUAACGCUUGAUAAAACGCCUGAACUUCAGCACGGUCCUCCUCGACAUCUGCACACUUUGAGCCAUCUGCUCUUUCAAGAUGCUCAAUUCUGUUCAUGCGCUUUCGUUGAGCAGCCUGGGCCAGGAAAUAACCCGUAUUUCUGUCGCCCUUACGUAGCCACGACACCCUUGAUCUCUGACGGGACCAAAUCUCCUCUUGUUUAAGAGCUAGUCGCAAUUAUUUAGUAACUGAUUUCUCCUCCUCUGACGGCCCCCUACCCACUGAUUGGGAGCGUAGACGCUCUAGUUUUUCUCGCAGUUUACGGACUUUGCGCGUCAGUGAACCAAACUCCCUCGCUCCCCAUGCUGCCAAGUUACCUUGCAACGAAUUGAGAGCUUGGGAUACUCCCUGUAGACCCUGACCACCAGCACCUCGAUGCCAAUUAUCCAUCACCAAUUUGUCAUAAUCGACAUGCGUCUGCCAAACAUUCUCGUACCUAAAGGGUUUCGGCCCUCUAGUUGCUGAUGAUAUAGAAUGCUCACGGAUAUCCACAAAAACAAAGCUGUGAUCUGACUCCGUAGCAACAAUAUGACAUACCUUGAUAUAUUCAAACAUAUUAACCAAAUCCAGAUUUCCAAAAGCCCUAUCAAGACGAGCUUUGACAUUUGUUCUACCCGACUGCCUAUUAUCCCAAGUAUACUCCACUCCCGACCAUCCAAGAUCCGUGAGUGAGCAAUCAUCCACUGCUUCCCGAAAAGCCCUCAUUUGCCACUCUGGUCGCAGCGAAAGAGAGAAGUGUUCUGAACCAAAAAGAGUUUCAUUAAAGUCACCGAUGCACAUCCAACCAUCAUGUUGAAUUGCAAACAAAGUCCUCAAGAACCUCUAGCUAUGAUGCCUGUCCUCCGCGCGAGGCGCUCCGUAGAAACCGGUCACUCGCCACGCCCUCCCGUCGCCCCCCUUACGCCUCACAGAAACAUCAAUGUGACAGGAACUGUAAUUCUUAAGCUCAACGUCAAAGUCUUGGGACCAAAACAUGCCAAUCCCUCCACUAAGACCUGUACUAUUCACUGCAAAACAGCCCGCAAAACGUCAAAGUCUUGGGCCCCUGCCAUGUUGGCAAGCCAAGCGUGCACAUGAUACGGUAGAAAGCACCGCAUAUGAACGGAAAGACAAGUUAGAUGACCAGAAACACGUAUUUUACAAGUUUAUGCAUCAAACUGACCGUCGCGUGCAAGUUCUGUGACUUGUGGUGUAUUUACCUCCUCUUUUGCCUGCAGGCUAAUUGGAGCUAACAACUUGGAGUAACCACAUUCUCUCUAAUUCUGUGUGCAACCCUACUCUGAAUUUCUGAAUUAUAUGUUGCCUAUUAAUUUGGCUGUUUUUUGAAUUUCUGCAUGCGACCCAGGUGCUACCAUGUUCCCUGAUCAUUUUCUUACUCUGAAUUUUGUGUGGUACCAUCUUCUGUACAUGACAUGCACUCUGAAAUUCAUAGUAUCUUGUGCAGUCAGUAUUGGGUGUAUACUCUUGACUUCUGAAGUGCCACUGAUGUAAAAAUUCAUAUGCCCAGUGCUACAUGUAAGCUCCUCGAAAAGGUGGAUCUUGAUAGAUCCUUUUAUGACCCUAUAUAUGCAUACUGGUGGGUGGGGCCGUGUUUUUAUUGGUAACCAGCACAUAUGCCCUUGCGUUGCAAUAGGAGAUAAAAUAGUAUGCAUUUAAAGUCAGUGAGAAUUAUCUGUGCAAGCAAAACCAUGUGUGCACACGAAAAAGAAACAUUUAGAUUCUCGGUGUCGCCGCGUGUGAAGGAAUCAAUCCGCUAUUUUUCCAUUCAUUAAUCGAGGGCAUUUAAGAGUUUUGUUACGUCAUCGUACGCCAGAGAAGGCCCAAGAGUUAUUCAAUCUACAUUUUCUUUCAGUGCUUUCAAUCAAGGGGAUUUCAAGGUAUGAAGUUUCUGAAUAUUCUAGGAAACAUGAACAAUUUUAAAAAAAUUAUGUACACUUUUGAAAAAACGCAAACAAAAUAUGAAAGGGAACAUCUUUUAAAAUUCACAAACAUUUUCUGAAAACACCAACUUUUUUUUUAUAAAAACAUGAACAUUAUUUGAAUUUGUGAACAUUUUUUCAAAGCGGGAAAAUGUAUUGAAAAUUCAUAAGAUUUAUAAAAAAUGUGUAUCUUUUAUACACAAACAUUUUUAAUUGUGAAAUUUUCACUAAGACAAGAAUAUUUUCGAAUUUGUACCAUAUUUUGAAAUUUCAUUUUCUUUUGAAAUCUCAAACAAUUUUGAAAAAAAAAUUGGAACAAGGGAAAACUUUUUGCAGGUUCCGAAUAUCUUUCAAAAGAGCUAAUUUUUGUUUUUUGCUUUAUUUUUUAAUUUUUUUGCUUUUAGGUCAGCAAAAUUAUAAACUUUCUGUUAGUGCCAUUAAUUUUAGAAAAAUUAUAAACUUUCUGCAGCAUCACCGUAUUCAGGGGGCACAUAGUUGUCAUCGUACUCUUCUUUUUCGUCGUCUUCCAUCAUAACCCCUAUUUCUCCGUGCCUCGUCCAAACAUUAUAGUAUGACAUGAAACCCUUGUAAAGCAGGUGGGCGUGAAGGAUUUUCCGGUUAGAGUAAGACAUCGUAUUGCCACAUUUAGUGCAUGGACAACACAUAAAACCAUUCUGCUUGUUUGCCUCAGCCGCAUCAAGGAACUCAUGCACGCCCUUAAUGUACUCGGAGGUGUGUCUGUCACCGUACAUCCAUUGCCGGUUCAUCUGCGUGCAUUAUAUAUAAUUAAGUAUCCAAAUUAAUAGAAGUUCAUCAUCACAUUAAAACCAAAGUACAUACAUAGUUCUCAUCUAACAACAUAUAGCUCUCCAGAGCAUCUAAUUAAUUAAACCAUACAUUGAAACUAUGUAAAACAUUUAAAUGCGAAAACAAAGACGAUCAUAAUCGCAACCAAGGUAACAAUUGAUCCAACGGCAUAAUGAUACCAAGCCUCGGUGUGAAUGGCAUAUUUUUUAAUCUUUCUAAUCUUCAAGCGCAUUGCAUCCAUCUUGAUCUUGUGAUCAUCGACGACAUCCGCAACAUGCAACUCCAAUAUCAUCUUCUCCUCCUCAAUUUUUUUAUUUUUUCCUUCAAGAAAUUGUUUUCUUCUUCAACUAAAUUUAAUCUCUCGACAAUAGGGUCGGUUGGAAUUUCCGGUUCACAUACAUCCUAGAUAAAUAAAAUCUAUGUCACGUUGGUCGGCAUAAUUUUCAUAAACAACAAAUGAACCAAUAGUUAUAAAGAUAAUAUAUAUACCACAUCCGAAUCAUAGACAGGACGAGGGCCGACUGGGGCGAAUACCAAAACCAUCGCACUAUAUAAGAUGCAAUAAUAAAAGUAAGAAAAUAAUACAAGUAUCUAUGUAAACAUACAAGUAAGAAUAUUUUUUUCUUUCAGAAAGAAGAUAAGAACAAGAGGCUCAUCACGAUGGUGCCGGCGAUGAGCUCGACGCGGGUGAUCGACGGCGGUGAAGACGGGGACAGGGCGUGACGGACCGCUAAACCUAGACAAAUAUUGAGGAAAAUGGAGUUUGGAGGUCGAGCUUGGAGAGGAGAAAGCUUAAGUAGUGUGGCUCGGGCAUUCCAUCGAACACCUUGUGUGCAUAGGAGGUGAGCUAGAGUACCACCAAGCCCUCUCCCCCUCGGCCAAAGAAAACAGAGCGGUGUGCUCUGCUCUGUCGCGAGGGGGUAUAUAUAGGAACCACCACUGGUCCCGGUUGGUGGCAUGAACCGGGACUAAAGAGGAGCCUUUGGUCCCGGUUCAUGCCACCAACCGGGACCAGUGGUGGUGGGCCAGGAGCGAGGCCCAUUGGUCCCGGUUCGUCCCAUCAAUCGGGACCAAAGGUCCAGACGAACCGGGACCAAUGGCCCACGUGGCCCGGCCGGCCCCCUGGGCUCACGAACCGGGUCCAAUGCCCCCAUUGGUCCCGGUUCUAGACUGAACCGGAACUAAUGGGCUGACCCGGCCUGGACCUUUGCCCCCUUUUCUACUAGUGCAUGUUCAUACCUCCUGUAUAUCCAUGGAUGGCUUUAUCAUGCUCAUAGUUUUUUUUCUACUGUUCUCUGACAUCUUGGUCUGGCUGCCUAGCAAGACAUGGGGGAUACACAUAUGUUGUUUUUUCCUCAGCAUAUUCCCAAAAGUUGAAUUCAUACGUCCCAUUUAUUCUGUAGCAUAUCCUGUUUAAUUCACAUGUUCAUUAAAAAAUGAAUUGCCAGAAAAUUCUGGAUCAAACUGGGCCAGACCUGGCGUGAGUGUGGAGUGGAGAGAAAGGAGUCGGCAUCGGGGCAGGGCAUUCCGCGUAUAUAUCCAGCCCCCAUGUCUGAGGGUCGACGUACCGAGCGGACCAAGAACUGCCACCAGCGCCGACGCCCAUUUCCUCCCCCUUCGGCCAUGGAGAUGCGCCCCCUGGCACGAGCUUGUAAACGAUUGUCCUUUUCUAGACGGAGACCCACCGUGACAUGCAGGAAACACGACACCUUCGUGUCGCCGUCCAUGUUCAUGGUGUCAUGCUUGGACAACCCCUGUACUUGACCAUCCACCGCGGCAUGAACUAGAUCGACGUGUCCGCAAAUCAUGAACAUGAUGACCGUGCCCGGCGACAUGGGCGCUGCCAUCGAGGUGAGCAGCAAGUGGUGUUCGAGUUUACUGAGAAUGGCGCACUUAGUGAGUAGCUGCACGCCCAGGGCAGGGAAGUGCACGUCGCGCUGGAUUUUGGAGGCGGGCUCAACUACAUGCACAACUACACCGUACCGACCCGGAAAAUAUCGUGUGGAGCUUAGGCUUAGGUGCACCUCCUUAUCUAGCCAUCCGUCUUUGCAUCACGAUUCGUGCAAGAACUUUUCUGUUUUUUGUUUCUUCCAAAUAAAACAACAUAUGAACUUCAAACUUUACAUCACAACAAAACAUUCUAACUAGAAUGUGAGAAAUUUUUCACGCAAUAAGUUAGUUGUCUAGAAUAGAUCUCAAAGCUAUAUUGGAGGGUAUCGUAUAGGAGGUGUUCACGAGCCUAAGCUCUAAAAAUCCGCGUCCCGACUGACCCUCCCUACCUGCACAAGAAUCUCAAGAGCAGCAACAUUCUACUUGAUGCAUGUACUUUUCUGUGUAGUAGGCACUCCUCUUCGGCUGCUGUCAAAAUUUCUGAAAAACUCAACUAACACAUGCUGUGAAAGUUUCUGAAAGAUUCAGCUUCAUCAGGCGUCGUUGCUGUAUUUAAAGUGCAGGUCGGUCCCUCAAACCUGACCGAGCUUUUGCCUCGCCGGUCCGGUGCAGGAAAAGUUGGCCGAUGGUCAAGGUCUGCCACUGGGUGCCUCGGCAAGGUUCAACGGUGGCUCGGUUAGGACCAGACCGGACUGGACCGUGUCCACCGACCAUGUCCCAGAGAGGUGGCCAUGUCCAGGGAUGCGCGUGCAAACUGGAGAGGAUGGAGUGGUCGAAGUUGGACUGCAACGACACCGACGAGCGCAGUCGCAGGGGCACCAGGAUAGCGCUGCCGGUAGUGAUCGAGAAGCGGAGUCACGGGAGCACACAAAGAGGAGGGGAUCUUUGUAUGUGGGUGGCCACUGGCCAGGCUUGGGGAGAUGUCAUGGCAGGGGAGUCUGCCAGCACAAAGACGCUGUCGCGUGAUAUCUGGACUGUGAUAAUUAGGGUUGAGGGAAUAAUGCUCGACAUCCUAAUACGGAUGUGGCUCUUUAUAUAUAUAGGGAUAUAACACAUGUACAAAUACAAUAUACGGUUACGUACAGAAGCCUAUGUAAAUAAACAGUCUAACACCCUCUCUUAAUCUUAACUGUGGCCUGAAGAAGCAAGUUAAAAUUACACCUACAACCUUUAAUGUGAGUUUAUACGUUCCUAUACCUAACAUCGAUCAGCUGCUGUGCUAGUCAUUUGUGCGAGCGAAUCUUUUCAUGGAUAAUGCGUUUCAGAAAAUUAAUUUGAGUGUGAGACAUCAAGUCAUAUUUGAACUUCUGUCCAUCGGAGAAGAAACACAUGCUUAGCGGCCGGUAAGCAAGCAUGUGGUAUGACUGAAUCAUUGCUACCUAACUAGCUAGUACGAGUACGUACUUAAAUUCGGUUAUCAAGUGCACAUCGGUGAGCGAAUUAACGAACCUAAUAAAUAAGUUAAAUAUAGGACGUAACAUAUCAAUACAUUAAAUUAAGAGGUAAAUACACCCAGAGUCAUAGAACCUGCGUGCAACGGUUAGUUUGGUGCAUAAAUUUGCAAAAUACUUGUUUCCGGUCAUCUAACUUGUCCUCCCGUUCAUAUACUAUGCUUUCUACACUAUUCGUCCGUAAACCAUGCACGCGUGGCAUGCCAACGUGGCGGGGUGGCGCUGUCAGUGUGUAAUCCGCACGCACUUUUUUAGAAAGCCACCUUGCAUUUUAUUUAUUAAUGGUGAAAAUCCUCAGAUAAUAAAAUGAAAAAUGCAGGUGAGGUGCCUAGGAUUUGAACCCACUGCCUGCUGGGUUUCGCCACACAUAGAUUUAAUGAGCACAUUUUUUUACAUAAGAUGGAGCAUACGAAUUAAAUUAGAAAUCAAAACCGGAAAAAGGUGUGAACAAAGGGGAAGCCCCGUUUCGAACCUGCGAUCGCAUAAGCUCGCAGAGCGUGCGAGUGCCAACCAUCCAUCCACAAUUAUAUAGACUUAAAGAGAUAAACACAAUUUAUCUUAUGUAUUCUUCUUUCUUUUUUUCUAUGUAAGAAAAUAACUUUUAUUCUACCUAAACUUUUUGGAGAAAUCAACUAGAUUUUUUGUUUGAAAUCCAGUAAUUUUAAAUUUCCAAAUAUAGAUAAAAGGAAAUAUAGAGCAGAAUGAAUGUACGUACAUUUUCCGGACAAAUCGACUAAAUUUAUUAAAAUUUGAAUCAUCUACGUAAAAGAAAAAAUAGUUCGUAAUAAAUGUACAUAAAUUUCUUUCGGACAAAUCAAUGGAUUUUUUAAUUCAAAUAAUUAUAAAUUUGAAAAUCUAGAUAAAUAAAAUAUAUGUCAGAAUGAAUCUACAUAAAUUUUUCGGACAGAUCAACUAAUUUUUUUGAAUUUGAAUAAUUUCAAAUUUCAAAAUCUAGAUAAAAGGAAAUAUUGUCACAAUGAAUAUACGUAUUUUUGGACAAAUAAACGAAAAUUUUCUUUUAAUUCAAAUAAUUUCCAAUUUGAAAAUCUAGAUACAAGAAAAUAUAGGUCAGAAUGAAUGUACAAUCUACUAAAUUUUUGUUUGAAUUGAAAUAAUUUUAUACUAAAUAAUCUAGAUAAAAGAAAAUCUAGUGCAGAAUGGUUGUACGUAAUUUUCUUUCAGAAAAAUCAGCGGAAAUUUUGUUUGAAUCCAAAAAAUUUAAAAUUUAAAAUCUAGAGAAAGAAAAUAUAGUUCAGAAUGUGUACUUUUGUUUGAAAGAUUAUAUACGUUAGUAGUUUGUAGUUAAUACAAGCAGAUCAGGUGGGUUGGUUAGGAGGUGUGCACUAACGUGACAUGGCGCCUGUUCGAUCUCACACCGACCCAUUUCUUGCAGCCUAAUGUUUUAAAACCAUACACUGACUUGUAUGAACUUAAAAACAACUGAGGGUGUUUCUGCAAAAAAAUCACGUGCACUGCCCUUCAGACACUCCCGGCCACUGACAAUGGGCCUUGUCCAUGCAGUUUUUUUUUUGCAUGGUUGUCCACGCUGUUGACGUGCCACGCAAGCAGCGAAUACACCCGUGUACAGAAAAUAGGAUCGUAUUUGUACGUCCGUGCAAGUUUGAUGAUUAGAAAAACAUAUUUUGUAAGUUUGUGCACCAAACUGACCAUCCCGCGCAAGUUCUAAGACUCCCGGUGUAUUUACCUCUUAAAUUUAUAAAACACUCAUGCAAACCAAACAUGGAAGUAUGUAUACCACCUAAUCUUUUUUCCACCAUUACAAUUUUUAGCGCACAAGGGUGGCUGCCAGUUGCCUGACGUUUCAGUAUUAUAAAGCUAUUCUUCUAAACAUAACUAGUGUUGACACCUGAUUUUGGCAUGAUACAGAGUGAAAGGGUUUUCAACAUGAGAAAGUUUCAUAUCGUCGAGUGGAACGACUUUGAUGUUUAGGCUAUCGCCAUUCGACCUCAUCUCAGUGGCCGAAGCUGUACUCCGAGUGACAAAAUUUAAUGUUCUGCGUGUUUUUCGGCCGAUUACGCCCUCAAUGUGACCUUAGAUAAAGGAGUGCUCUAAAGGAAUUGUCUUCGUCUCGUCGAGACGAUCGAUUUUCAUAUAUAAUUUGUCUCAAUCUGAGGUCAUAUGCAAAAGUUAUAGUCAAUACGGUCUGGACAGGCCAGAGACCAAAAUACUACGCUUGACACCAGACACAUGUUGAUGAAUGUCUGAUGCAAUGCGUGAGAAAUUCGGCCUUCAAGACGGCCUUGAAUUGAAAAACCUUCAACACGGAAAAGUUUCGUCUCGUUGAGCCGAUCGAUUUUCAUAUAUAAUUCGUCUCAAUCCGAGGUCGUAUGAGGCGCGAAGAGACAAGACAAGAUCAAGCUGUGUUUUCAGUCGGAUAUCCGAGUGAAAAAGUUUACCAUCCGAGUGAAAAUGUACGGUCGAGUGAAAAUUUACCGGUCGAGUGAAAGUUUGCUGACCGGAUGAACUUAUUAUUAUCCAAGUGGAAAUAUAGUCAUCCGAGUGGAAAUAUGGUCAUCCGAGUGAAAUUGUCCUCCAGGUGAAAAUAUUCCGAGUGAAAAGAUUACCAUCGGGACGAAAACUAGCCGAUCGAGUAAGUAGUGCCUUCCGAGUGGAAAUAUAGUCAUCCAAGUGAAAAUAUAGUCAUCCGAGUGGAAAUGUAGUCAUCCGAGUGAAAAGUUCAGUCGGACGAUCCGAGUGAAAGUAUCUACUAUCCGAGUGGAUGAGCUCAAAUCCGAGUGAAAUUGAACAUGUGCUCGAAAGUUUAUCAAAAUGACCUCGGAUGAAGAAGUGUUCAAUACAGAAGUUGUGCGUAUCAUCAAGAUGGUAAACUUUGAUUUUGGAGUUAUCAUCAUCAGAGAUAGUAUACAGCCUACAAAUUCACUACGAGACUCGGAUAAUUCAGUCUACUGCAAGACCGAGUCCGACUAGAAGAUAAAGAUGACCUCGAAAAGUAUUCAAGAUGGCCUUAUUUGAAAAAGUGAUCAACAUGAGAGUUGUUCGUAUCGUCGAGGCGCACAAGUUUGAUAUUUGGGCCGUCUUGAUCGGAGAUCAUAUGCAAGCCCGGCGGCCUGCGCAAGAAGGAAGACAGAGUUUGGGCCAGAUUCAGACUGAAUCCGAGUUGGAAUAGAAUUAGGACUCUAGGACGUGAAUUGAUGUAAUUUUUCUUAUAAGGAAAGACUAGAUGAAUCCUUUACUUGUACGGGAAGUCCAGCCGCCUCUUAUAUAUGUUGGGGGUGACGGCCGAUUGCACAACACACAAUCGAACAAAUCAUCUACCACUUUUUAUCUUUUAUCUUUUCUCCUUCUCCCUUGUUCUUCUUCUUCCUCGUUCUUCGUUCGUUCUUCUUGUUGCAGGGCGGCGAACCUUGAGGCCCUAGGGGCGAUCAGGUCGACCUAGGGCAUCCCAUAGCCGCCGCGCGCCCUGACGGGGUCCCUACCGGGCGUGUGGGGUUUUGGGUAUAUAAAAGCGUCCGCCGGAUUGUCUUGCGUACCGCGCUUCCGGCGGGUCUCCUUCGACGUGAGCUGCGGUGCAUCACCCUCGGCAUUGGAGGUACACGUUGACGUGUUCGUGUGCGAACACAAUUUUUGGCGACUCCGCUGGGGAAGAAGUUCAAUCAUCAUCAUCCACCAUGUCCGAUCUUCCCAAGCCAUCUGAGGUAGACGCCGAUAACAUCAUUAAGCCCAGUCUUGAUGAUAUAUCGGCCGAUCAUCGCCAUGUCUAUGAGGAGUACAAGAAGGCGCGCGAGGAGAAGGACCUGCAGGAGGUCCUUGCAAAAUUCAAGAAAGAUCGCCAAGGCAACAUCACUCUGAUUGAAGAAAUCAAGUUCCCUCCUCUUCAAACUGAACGGGUUAAACCUUCUGUAAGUACUGCCUUUUCUCCUGAGCAGUGUGCUGAGAUUGAAAGUCGUAUUACUGAUGGUAACAAUCUAGUCUAUCAAACUUUCAUAGAAAAUACUAAUGCUCAGAAGAAUAUAUCUCAAUCAUCUAGUGGUAAUGAUGGUGUAGCUGCUAGUGUGCAAAACCCUAAUCUGUCUUUGCCCAUCUCAUCGGCGCCUCCCAUGCCGAUGACUUAUUAUCCUACCCAAACAAAUCAGAUUGUGGCUGCACCCAUUAAUCCUAUUAUGAGCAUGCCAGGUUCGGUGACAACGCCGAACCAAACCCUACCUACAGCUACAUCCACUCGACCAUUACCAAAUUAUGGGUCGACAUACAUGCCACAAUUCCUACCUACAGCUAGUAACCCUGCUCCUCCUAUGCCACUGCCACAAGCUGCAUCGUCCACUAUGGAUGAUGGUCUAGCUAAUCUUAGAGAGGAGAUGGCUAAAAUGCUUCGAGAGAAUUUUGGAGUUGAGUUACCUCGGAAUCGGAUUUACCAAAAGCCGUACCCCGAGUACUUUGAUGCCAUCCAGUGCCCUCCAGGAUAUAAGAUUCCAGAUUUUGUUAAAUUUAAUGGAGAAGGCACAAAAACCACAUGGAAGCAUGUUAGUCAAUAUUUAGCACAAUUGGGUGAGGCGGGCUCAUUGAAUGAAUUGAAAGUGCGUUUAUUUCCUUUAUCAUUAACUGGUACCGCAUUUUCAUGGUUUUCUUCUUUACCCCAUGGUUCCAUUUGGGUUUGGUCGCAGCUAGAGCAGAAGUUUCAUGAUCACUUUUAUAGCGGCGACAAUGAAAUCAAGUUGUCACAUCUAACAUCGGUUAAACAGAAGCAUGAUGAGUCGGUCUCCGAUUACGUCAAGAGAUUCAGAGAAACAAAAAACCGGUGUUUUAGUUUGGUGAUAACCGAGAGGGACUUGGCAGACCUAGUGCUGAGUGGUUUGAGAACUCCCAUUAGAGAAAAACUAGAAGGCUACGAGUUCUUAAAUAUCAACCAAGUCUUACAAAGGGCUUUGGCUCAGGAAAGCCGAAGCAAAGACCUCAAAGAAGUGCAUAGGUACAAAGACGAUCGUCCAAAGAUGAAUAUGGUGGAAUAUGACAGUGAUCACUCGGACGAUGAGGGUGAUGUUUUUUCUACUGAAUUUGUUUGGCCAUCUAAGGCCAAGCCCUUUACUUGCAAUGAUCUGAAACCGAUUCAUAAGAAUCGUGAUGAAGAGAUGAAGUUUACUUUUAACAUUGCUAAGUGUGAUAGAAUAUUUGAUGCUUUGCUGCAGGCUAAGAUUAUUAGAAUAUCUCAUACUUUACCGCCGUUUGAAGAGCUAAAACGGCGUGCUUAUUGCAAGUAUCAUAAUUCUUUUUCUCAUGCUACUAACGAUUGCAAUGUUUUUCGACGACAGAUACAAUCGGCCAUUAAUGACGAACGAUUGAACUUUUCUGAGAUGCAAGUUGAUAAACAACCUUUUCCAAUGAAUACCAUGGGUUUGGAGGGGAAGAAGCUACUCAUUCGGCCGAAGGUAGCCGAAUCUGCUAAUAAAGCUAACGUCAUUGUUGGUGAGCCCAGGAAAGAUAAGGAGGACAACAAGGUCUUGGGGAGACAGGUUGUGCUAGGUAAGCAACCCGAUGGUAAGGAAGUGAUCAAAAUCACCAUCAAGAAUCUUACACUCGGGGGGCAACUACAAGUGCAAGAAAAUGCUCGUGUCAGAUUUGUCAAGCCCAAGAGUCCAGAAGUUGGCAAGUGGAAAAGGAAUGAAGCUAAAGUGCAGCGCAAGCGGAUCAAGCCAACUUUUGAUAUGUUGUUGUCCAAGUACACCAACCACUCGGCCGGUUCUAGCUUUAAUCGGCCGACUCAUCUGAAGCGACCAAGGUCACCACCAGCUGAUAUAUUCAGUCAGUAUAUGAAACCGAGUGGACCAAGGGUGCCGUUUCCAGAAAAGCAUAUGCAAUCUGUUUGGGAUCGACUUGACUAUUCAUAUAGAGGCCGACUGAACAUUGGUGGCUAUCAGUCGACUGGUCAAAACAUGCGACCGGAUGGAAAUUAUCCGAGUGUAAGAAUGCACCCAGGUGGAAGUUAUCCGAGUGAAAAAAUGUGGCCAAGUAGAUUCCAUCCGAGUGAAUUCCAUCCGAGUGAAUUCCAUCCGAGUGGAUUCCAUCCGAGUAAAAAGGUGCGCCCGAGUGGAAAUUUCAUGCAUCUGGAAAGUCGAAAAGAAUGGCGUGUUAAAUCACCAAGUGUUUCAGCAAUUGAGUCGGCAAAAGGCAAGGAGAAAAUGAAUGCCGACUCACUUAUCUUGGGCACCGAAACAUUCGCCAUACGACAGCCGAUUGUGCAUAGCAAUCCAACUGAGCCGAUACUUGCUAUCGCGCCAAAGCACUCGGCCAAUGACCAUGAAGCAAGCACCAUCCAGGUAAAAACGAGAGAUCCUAAAUACACUCAGCCAAAGUGGUGUCCUCCAGGGCUAACAAAGACACAAAAGAGGAAACUACAGAGGUUAAGGAGUCAAGAGAUGGCAGAAAAGGAGGCCGAGAAACAAAGGGAUAAGUUGUUCAAUGACACUCGACCCAUGGUUCCAGCAAAACAAGUGUGGAGGCCUAAACAAAUACAAGAUACAAUAGCUUCUACAUCUAUCAUAGCAACACCUACAUCACCAAAGGAGGACGAUGCAACAGAUAUCACAUCGUCUGUGACACUUCUUACUUCUCCUUCACUCGGACAAAUUUCAGAAUCGGUGGAUGCACUCGAAGAGGAGGCUGAUAUGUUGGACUAUGAGUCUACGCCGGUUCAUGAAGGUAUGGAUAUCAAUAUGGUGUAUUACUUACCUGCUGAGUUUCGUGCUGUAGAUGAAGAAGGGGAGGUGGCUCAGCUAGAUUUUGGCCCUAAAAACGCAAUAUUCGAGAAGCCAAAAGAACCAGUAACGCAUCUGAAACCAUUAUAUCUUAGAGGGCAUAUCAAUGGGUCGCCGCUCACUCGGAUGCUUGUUGAUGGUGGUGUUGUGGUAAAUCUUAUGCCCUAUUCGGUUUUCAAGAAAUUGGGUUUGCCUGAUCAAGCAAGACCAAUAUGGUGCUCAACGGAUUUGAAGGCAAAGAGAAGACUGAAGCCAAAGGUGUGAUGUAUGUGGAGCUUACAGUCGGAAGCAAAACUUUGGCUACUGCAUUCUUUGUCGCUGAGGUGCAAGGUAACUACAACGUCAUACUAGGCCGUGAUUAGAUUCAUGCAAACCAGUGCGUGCCAUCCACUAUGCACCAGUUUUUGAUUCAGUGGGUUGAUGAUGAAGUGGAAGUCAUUCAUGCGGAGCCUGUGUUGCUUUGGCCGAUGCAUCGGUGGAUUGGCAACAUCCCAAUGCUACUUGCUUGACGGGACGUGACUUAUCAGAGUUUGAUUUUCUCAGCGCGACCAAGAAUGGUUUUGUGCCCGUCUCUUUAAAGCCGACUGAAUGCAAUCGGCUCCAAGGUAUGAUAUGUUUAAAUGGAUUCUAGCUCCGAGUGGUUACAAAAACGUCUUGUGCAAUAUCGAUCCAGUGAGAACGAUAUGUAUGAGUCUAUAGAGGAGUUGGAUGACAUGGAUAAACUUGGACAAGGUUUUACGUCGGUCGAUCCAUUAGAAGAGGUAGAUAUUGGAGAUGGUUCAGUCACUCGACCGACAUUUAUAAACAAAAAUUUGAAAGCCGAUUGUAAAGCUAAGUUAAUCGAGCUAUUGAAAGAAUAUGUUUGUUGCUUUGCAUGGGAAUAUCAUGAGAUGCCAGGGUUAAGCCGAGAGCUAGUGGAGCAUAGGUUGCCUAUAAAGGCCGGUUUUAGACCUUAUAAACAGUCGGCCAGAAAAUUUAAUCCGAAAACAUAUGACCGGAUCAAGGAAGAGAUCGGUCGACUGCUUGAAACUAAUUUCAUUCGACCCUGCAGGUAUGCCGAGUGGAUUUCUAACAUUGUCCCAGUGGAGAAGAAAGGAUCCGGCAAGUUGAGGGUGUGCAUUGAUUUCAGAGAUUUGAAUAGGGCUACACCCAAAGAUGAGUAUCCUAUGCCAAUAGCCGAUAUGCUUAUUAAUGAUGCUUCUGGGCAUAAGGUUAUUAGCUUUCUAGAUGGUAAUGCCAGAUACAAUCAAAUUUUUAUGGCCAAAGAGGACAUGUACAAGACUGCUUUUCGAUGCCCUGGUUUCCUUGGUUUAUUCGAGUGGACAGUGAUGACAUUCGGAUUAAAAAAUGCUGAAGCCACAUAUCAAAGGGCUAUGAAUUUGAUUUUCCAUGAUUUACUCGGUAUCAUACUUGAAGUUUAUAUUGAUGAUAUUGUUAUCAAAUCGGAUGCUUUUGAAUCUCACUUGGCCGAUUUGCGUUUAGCUUUUGAAAGAAUGAAAAAGUAUGGACUGAAGAUGAAUCCUUUGAAGUGUGCUUUUGGCGUGUCAGCUGGCAAGUUUUUGGGUUUCAUUAUUCAUGAAGAUGGCAUAGAGAUUGAUCCCAAAAAGAUAGAGGCUAUACAGAAAGUGGAGGCUCCAACAUGCAAGAGAGAUAUGCAAAAGUUCCUUGGCAAGGUCAAUUAUUUGAGAAGGUUCAUAGCUAAUCUGUCAGGGAAAGUUGAUGCAUUUACUCCUAUCCUUCGGUUAAAGAAUGAUGCUGAUUUCACUUGGGGGGCAAAACAGCAAGAAGCAUUUGAUAUGAUCAAGAAUUAUUUGUGUACUCCUCCGGUGAUGAGAGCACCCAAGCAUAGGGAACCCUUUAGACUUUACAUUGCAUCAGAGGAAGGAGUUAUUGGUGCUGUUCUAACUCAAGAGACCGAAGGAAAAGAGCAUGCCAUCACUUAUUUGAGCCGCCGCUUAUUGGACGCAGAGACAGGGUAUACAUAUUAUUGAGAAAUUAUGUCUGUGCUUAUAUUAUGCUUGCAUAAAACUGAGACAUUAUUUAGUGCCGAGUGCUUGUGUAGUAGCUUGUCAAACCGAUGUCAUUAAAUACAUGUUGCAUAGGCCAAUUCUUAGUGGUAGAAUUGGCAAGUGGGCUUAUGCUUUGAUUGAAUAUGAUUUGGCUUAUGAAUCUCUAAAAUCCAUGAAAGGCCAAAUUGUUGCUAAUUUCAUUGUUGAACAUCGGAUUAAUGACAAGAAUGAUGUUGAUAUGAACCUUGUUUCAUUAGUACCAUGGAGAUUAUACUUUGAUGGUUCAGUUUGUAGCAAUGGCCAAGGUGUUGGUAUUGUUUAUAUAUCUCCUCAUGGUGCUGUUUUUGAAGCCUCGUGCCGCUUAGAAUAUUUUUGCACAAACAAUCAAGCCGAAUAUGAAGCAUUGUUAUUCGGCUUAGAGAUGUUACUUGCUAUAGGUGUUACACAUAUUGAGGCUUACGGUGAUUCGUUACUAGUAGUGCAGCAAAUAUGUAAAGUCUUUCAGUGUUUGGACGAAUCACUUAAUGUUUAUCUUGAUAGAUGUCUGGAUAUAAUUUCUACUUUGGAUUGUUUUAGCAUUGCACAUAUAUCUAGACAUGACAAUUGGAAAGCAAAUGAGUUGGCACAACAAGCAUCUGGAUAUCAUGUUGAUCAUGGCAUGUUUCAUAUUUCUCAAAGUCCGAUGUCUUGUCUUAUUAGUAUAGAAGAGGCCGAACCAGAACCCACUGAUUCGGUCAUUAACAAAAAAUCUAGUGCAGACGACAAUUCCGACUGGAGGAAGCCCAUUGUUGCUUACUUGCACAAUCCGAGUGAAAGGGUGGACAGGACUGUUCGGCGUAUGGCUUUCAAAUAUACUAUAAGGGGUGAUGACCUUUAUCGCCGAACAGUUGAUGAUGUUCUUUUAAAGUGCUUGGAUGAGGACCAAGCAAGAGUUGCUAUGGGAGAGGUACAUGAGGGCAUUUGUGGUACUCACCAGUCGGCUCCCAAGAUGAAAUGGUUAUUACGAUGUGCUGGGUUUUAUUGGCCGACCAUGAUUAAUGAUUGCUUCAGAUAUUAUAAAGGGUGCGAAGCUUGUCAAAAAUUUGGUGAUAUUCAAUUGGCUCCUGCUGCUAUGUUGCAUCCUAUUAUCAAGCCGUGGCCUUUCAGAGGAUGGGGUUUAGACUUUAUUGGGCAGAUUCAUCCAUCUUCGUCAAAGGGGCAUCUGUUCGUGUUGGUGGCAACUGAUUAUUUCACUAAAUGGUCUGAAGCAGUACCUCUCAAGAACAUGACACAUACGGAGGUAAUUCAAUUCAUAACCGAGCGCAUUAUUCAUAGAUUCGGUAUUCCUCAAACGUUAACUACAGAUCAAGGUUCAUCUUUUAUGUCACACCAAGUCAGAGAGUUUGCCGAAUCUUAUAAUAUAAAGUUGCUCAAUUCCUCUCCGUAUUAUGCCCAAGCUAAUGGACAAGCCGAGUCUAGCAAUAAAAUUUUAAUCAAACUCAUCAAGAGGAAGAUUGAGGAUAAUCCAAGGAAAUGGCAUGAGUUGUUGUCUGAAGCUUUAUGGGCACAUAGAAUUUCAAGGCAUGGUGCUACGAAGGUGACUCCAUAUGAGCUAGUAUAUGGUCAAGAGGCUGUUUUACCAGUGGGGGUAAAUUUGAAUGCUUUGAGAAUAGCCAAACAAAAUAAUUUAUCGGCAGUAGACUUCUAUAACUUAAUGAUGGACAAUAUUGAUGAGGUUGCCGAUAAACGUUUGGCUGCUUUAAAGGCCAUAGAGAGAGAUAAGUUGAGGGUGGCAAGAGCUUACAAUAAGAAAGUCAAGUUGAAAAAUUUUCAAGUUGGUGAUCUCGUCUGGAAAGUGAUUUUGCCGAUUGGUUCAAGAGAUAGAAAAUUCGGGAAGUGGUCUCCAAGUUGGGAAGGUCCUUUUAGGAUUACAAGAGUUGUUCCCAGAAAUUCAUAUUUGGUGGAAUCAAUACAGGGGGCAUUGUUACCUCGAGCUCUCAAUGGCAAAUAUUUGAAGAAGUACCACCCGAGUGUGUGGCAGGAAGCCUAAGUAGGCAAUGGCCGAUAUACAAUUAUCUCCCUUAGCACAAACAUGGCCGAUACAUAAUUAUCGCCCUGAGAAAAAUAAAUGGCCGAUGGAGUGUUGACAUCGUCCUUAGAACGAACACUAUGCAUAUUAUUUUUCGGCAUGCAAGCUUUGCCGAAAAACAGGGGGGCAUGUGUUGACACCUGAUUUUUGCAUGAUAUAGAGUGAAAGGGUUUUCAGCAUGAGAAAGUUUCAUAUCGUCGAGUGGAACGACUUUGAUGUUUAGGCUAUCGCCAUUCGACCUCAUCUCAGUGGCCGAAGUUGUACUCCGAGUGACAAAAUUUAAUGUUCUGAGUGUUUUUCGGCCGAUUACGCCCUCAAUAUGACCUUAGAUGAAGGAGUGCUCUAAAGGAAUUGUCUUCGUCUUGUCGAGACGAUUGAUUUUCAUAUAUAAUUUGUCUCAAUCCAAGGUCAUAUGCAAAAGUUAUAGUCAAUACGGUCUGGACAGGCCAGAGACCAAAAUAUUACGCUUGACACCAGACACAUGUUGAUGAAUGUCUGAUGCAAUGCGUGAGCAAUUCAGCCUUCAAGACGGACUUUAAUUGAAAAAUCUUCAACGUGGAAAAGUUUCGUCUCGUUGAGCAGAUUGAUUUUCAUAUAUAAUUCGUCUCAAUCCGAGGUCGUAUGAGGCCUGGAGAGACAAGACAAGAUCAGACUGUGUUUUCGGUCGGAAAUCCGAGUGAAAAAGUUUACCAUCCGAGUGAAAAUGUAUGGUCGAGUGAAAAUUUACCGGUCGAGUGAAAGUUUGUUGACCGGAUGAACUUAUUAUUAUCCAAGUGGAAAUAUAGUCAUCCGAGUGAAAUUGUCCUCCAGGUGAAAAUAUUCCGAGUGAAAAGAUUACCAUCGGGAGGAAAACUAGCCGAUCGAGUAAGUAGUGCCUUCCGAGUGGAAAUAUAGUCAUCCGAGUGGAAAUAUAGUCAUCCGAGUGGAAAUGUAGUCAUCCGAGUGAACAGUUCAGUCGGACGAUCCGAGUGAAAGUAUCUAGUAUCCGAGUGGAUGAGCUCAAAUCCGAGUGAAAUUGAACAUGUGCUCGAAAGUUUAUCAAAAUGACCUCAGAUGAAGAAGUGUUCAAUACAGAAGUUGUGCGUAUCAUCAAGAUGGUAAACUUUGAUUUUGGAGUUAUCAUCAAUAGUAUACAGCCUACAAAUUCACUACGAGACUCGGAUAAUUCAGUCGACUGCAAGACCGAGUCCGACUGGAAGAUAAAGAUGACCUCGAAAAGUAUUCAAGAUGGCCUUAUUUGAAAAAGUGAUCAACAUGAGAGUUGUUCGUAUCGUCGAGGUGCACAAGUUUGAUAUUUGGGCCGUCUUGAUCGGAGAUCAUAUGCAAGCCCGGCGGCCCGCGCAAGAAGGAAGACAGAGUUUGGGCUAGAUUCAGACUGAAUCCGAGUUGGAAUAGAAUUAGGACUCUAGGACGUGAAUUGAUGUAAUUUUUUUUGUAAGGAAAGACUAGAUGAAUCCUUUACUUGUACGGGAAGUCCAGCCGCCUCUUAUAUAUGUUGGGGGUGACAGCCGAUUGCACAACACACAAUCGAACAAAUCAUCUACCACUUUUUAUCUUUUAUCUUUUCUCCUUCUCCCUUGUUCUUCUUCUUCCUCGUUCUUCGUUCGUUCUUCUUGUUGCAGGGCGGUGAACCUCGAGGCCCUAGGGGCGAUCAGGUCGACCUAGGGCAGCCCAUAGCCGCCGCGCGCCCUGGCGGGGUCCCUCCCGGGCGUGUGGGGUUUCGGGUAUGUAAAAGCGUCCGCCGGAUUGUCUUGCGUACCGCGCUUCCGGCGGGUCUCCUUCGACGUGAGCUGCGAUGCAUCACCAUCGGCGUUGGAGGUACACGUUGACGUGUUCGUGUGCGAACAACUAGUACGGAACUGUCCUUUGUUCGAGUAUUAAAUGGAUGAUGUUUUUAAACGUUACUUGACCAUUCAAACAGUAUGACAUUUUCCAUUAUAUUCUUCUACACAACUAGUACAGAACUAGCCUUGGCACGUCAAAAAAAUCCUUCCUACACAGUUUUGAGAACGUGUUUGGCAGCUUUAGGGAAAGCGCAUUGGGGUUAAACCAUUAAGGAAUCUACUAAAUUACAUAUACAACGUAUCAGUCUGUUAAAAACGAUGAGGUCAUGUCUACCAAACAUACCAGCGUAUAUACCACCUAAUCUUUUUUGCGCCAUUGCAAUUUUUAGCAACGGUUGCUGGUCGUUCUAAUCUAACCACAUGCCGUUGCCUCUUCUUUCUUCGUGCUCUGCGUGUCCUGGCAAAUACUCCGUACUUCGCAUGCACGAGCACCGGAUGUGCCUCGUAGCUGUCGCAUCGCUCUCAUGGGCGGCGUGUGCUACUGCACUGAGAGGCGACCUUCUUUCUCCUCCUUGCAAGACACAAUCCACAUGUUGGGUGCAAGGAACUUCGCCUCCUACUUUUUUUAGAACGAAGGCUCAAGAGGAGCCCGGCAUUGAAUUAACAAAGCCAAUAACCGGCCAAGAUUACAACUCCAAAUAACACCAUACAUCAACUAAAGAAAAUAAAACAUACAGCAAAGAUACAGGGGCGCCAGGGAACAGCUCGCAAUGCACAUACAACAAGCUAGUUACAAAGAUUGGCGAAAAGCAUAUAGCUUGGAGAUGCCACUAUCCUCUUGCACGCCGAAAACCAAGGCGAAAGCGAAGUCCUGGUCAGGAGAGUGCACCGACGACGAUGCAAGGCACGCCGUUGCCAAAACCUGGGCUUGAAGAAAGACACAUCCAUCCAGAUCCAUCGUCAAAGAAGGCCCCUGCCUCCUCGCCUGGCUCGAAGGCGCCGCACCAUUGAGCGAUGGACAUGCUCACCCUAGAGCCUAGAUGAAUGGCCUCUAAGAAACCACUUGUGCGGAACCAGGCAUUCCCGACAUGCCGACGACGAACUCACCUAGAGCAGAGCAACACCAAAUGCCAAAGUUCUGACUUGGAAGAGGGCGAGCGGUCAGAAUGCACAAAUGGGCAACAGCUAGGGCCAAGACCAAAUUGGGAGCUUCGGCUCGCUCGACGAGCUGAAGUUCAGCCACCGUAGGAGGGGAACCCUAUCCCCUCCCGUCCUGGAAGAUCCAAGGGCACCGGAGGAAUUAACUGCAGCCCGGCGAAGAGCACCAUAACACCUUGACCCAGCACCAAGGAAGACACCGCCACCGUUGGACGCACGCUGCCGCCGCCGACACACUCCACCUACACCACAGCGAAGCCCACAACCCAUCUUUGUUCCCAAAACAACGCCUUCAAGAAGGUUACGACACCAAGGGCGUCGCCGCUGCCCAACAAGAUUGAGGAUUUCUCCCGGGAGACAAAGGGGAGGGGGAUGGGGAGCAAGACCUGAAACGGCGCCUCCGGGAAGGUGCGCGGCGCCCGCGGGCGUCGCCGCCGUCACCGCCGGCAAGGCUGGCUGGGGUUUCCCCCGGUCCUGCAUCCGGACACCCACUCCCACCCGAGCAGACCGAGGCCCCUCGACGGGGCAGGCCGGAUCUGGGGAGGGGAGGAGCUUGCUGGAGAGGGAGGGCAGUGGGGACGACCAGAUCUGACGCAGCCGGAGCACACGCAGCCGCCGCGCGCUGGCCCGCAUUCUUCGGGGAUCUUGCCGUCCACACGGCCGAGAACCGCCGACCUGCGCCCGUGCCACCGGAUGCCGAAGCCGGCGACGCCUCACCAGCCGGGGCCGCCGCCCCAGAUCCAGAAGCCCCCCACGGACAAGGCGAGGCGGCGAAGGCCCCGCCACCACCUUCAUCGACUGCGCGCCAAGCUUGCUCGGCGUCAGCAGUCUCCGGCGGCGGCGAGGGGAGGGCGAGCAGGGGAAGGAGGCGACGGGGGUAGGGUUUCGCCCCUCGGGUCACCCGAGCGGGGCGACACGAGGGAGGGGGGAAGGUAGGAUCUUGCGUCUGUCUGGAAAAUUGACCUCGGGCUUGGGUCGGCUGUAAGUUUAAGCCAUUAUCAGUACGAUCAAGGCCUAGGUUCAGCGGGAAGACGGAAACAGUGACCCAAACCAGUACAAUCAAGGCCGCACUGACCUCAAUGCAAUGACGAGUAAGGAGCCAAGUUUUAAAUAGCUGGCUAUAGCCCAACUAUAGCCUUUUGGGGGACCUCCAGCUACGAUUAAGCCAUUUGUAGGCUAAAUGAGAAAAAAACCCGCUAAUAGCCGGCUAUAGCCCUAUUUAGCAUCUAAUUAGCCCCUAAUUUAGCCGCUAAACCUCCUAUUUUCUAAAAGAAAUCUUCUAUUCUUCUUUUUAUCUCUUGUUUUCUGAAUUUCUGUUCAAUUUGAUUCAAUAAAACUUAUGAGUUGAAUAGUUGAAUACUUGUUUGCGUUGAGCCGUUGAAUAGUUGAAUGAGUUGUACCUUGAAUCAUGUUUGAGUCUUUUACCAAUGCUGAUACCCACAGAGCUACAUGGCAUGUGUGGUCGGAGAAACAAGUGUGAUCCAUACCACUAACUCUGACAGGAGAUCAAAGAGUAGAAAUAUAAGAAAUAAAAAGUAAAUAAAUCAAACCAAUGCAGCGUGCACAUACGAUACAUGGCCUCACUGCCUCGCAUGCAUUUCUGGGUGAAAAGUUGUAGUGAAUGCUAGAGUUAAACAUAGCAAUAGGUAGGGUAGGCACCACCCGAACUUAGGUAUAUAUGAACCCGCUUUUUAAAAUACAUUUUAAACAUGUUUUAAAAUGUCAAAAAGUACAAAACAAAAUUUCACGCGUACCCCUUCGCAAAAUAUGUGCAGCUUAUAAAAUUUGACGAAAAAUGCCUUUUUAUUUUGCCUUUGUAUAGAUGAUGAAUUUUAUUGCUUCUAAAUAGUGUUUCACAACAUGCUUUUUGUUUUUUUUCUUUGCACAUGCAAAAGAAGUUGUUUAAUUCUUCUAUGAAACUUUCUAGUCACACGUAGAACAUGGAGGGAGAUGAAUGUGUGCUACUUUUUUUCAGAAAUUUUCGUCAUUUAGAAAUGUGUUUCUCAAAGUGGGUUGAUAUGUACUUUUUCUCAUAUAUAAUGCUUUUUCUGAAGUAGUUCAUAUGUAAUUUUUCAGAAUAUUAUCCCGUUUAACACAUCUGAGCCCCGUGCCGCUCCCGCGAGCGGCCCGGGCACAACCCUAGGCGGCGCCGCCACCGGUCCCCACCUCGCUCGCCGCCGCCGGAGGACGCCACCGGGCAAAGCCCAUGCGUGCGGCGGCGGCAGCGGGGCUCUCCUCCCCGUCCUCCUCGGGCAUUUCAGGCGGCGCGGGCCGGCUCGGCCUUGUGGAGGUGCAGCGGCGUGGCUGUCCGGCGCGGCUUCAUCAGGCUGGAGACGGCGGCUAGGGGUGUUGCGGGCGUGCUGCGGAGGCGUGAAGGGGCGGCGGUGGUGCCCUCUGGCACCGGGCGGCGCGGAUCUGACGAGGGCGCGCGGCUCCGAUCUGUUGUAGGUGCGCGUGAGCGGCGGGAGUGCAGGGGGCACGGGUGGAGCUUGAGCUCGCAUGGUGAUCUCCGCUGUUGCGCGGCUGCUCUAGCUCCCGGUAUGCAGGGGCUCGGGCGAGCAAGUUCAAGGGGGCGGCCUGCGUGCGCACGGAUCUGGCGCAUGGCGGGGGUGAGCUGCAACUGCAGCUCGGCUGUGGCUGUGUAGGCGUGAGGCGGCACGUGGUGGCGGCCAGGCGUGGCCGCGCAGGUUGGCGGAGGCCGCGGAUCUUGCGGCCCAGCGCGUUUGAGAGGUGCAGCGGUUGCUGCACGACGAGGUGGAGCCGUUUGACGUCGACCGGGGGAUUGUGUGAUGUGCAGUGCUUCGGAUCUGCUCGGAUUCGGAGGUGUGGAGGAGCUCCGGGCGAAAGUCCAACACCGACUUUGGGUCGGUGCCGGCAACAGCGGCGCCAUGGCCAUGGUGCCGUUCCCCUUCUUGAAGGUGUUGCCAUGGAGCUCCUUUACACGACUCUCCGGGAGAAAUCUCUAGCUUCGAAUGCUCGAAGUGGGCGAUGAUGGCGGCCACGUCGUUUCCUUCUUUGAGGCAUCGCCUUAGAGAGUCAGCAUAUUACGGUUUGCAUGGAUCUCUUCAUCGGCGGGGACAACGGACGUCGGGGCGGCGGCUCCGUGUGGUUUCUGAUUGUGCGCUGAGAUGGCGAUCUCGGGAACAAUGCGAGUGGCAGCUCUAUGAGGUGGGGCUCUAUCUCGACAUUGGUUGGGUGGCAUCCUUGUACCGCUUGGGCGGUGGGGGUGUCGGCUCGGUCGAUGCACCCUAGAGGGGGCGGUCUAGCUUUAUGUCGGGGCGGCGGCCCCGAAUAUGGUGCAACGUUCGUGGUCUGCGAGCGGUUGCCCUGAGCAGCAUGGGCUGCGGGCAGCUGGGUUGUGCGGUGUUGCUGCUCGAGAGGAGCGGUGGUAUGUCUGGGCGGCGGCCCCGGAAGGCGGUGCCGGUGGAGUGCGCUGGACGCGACAGAGCGGUGGAUGUCGGGGCGGUGGCCUCGAGAGGAUCACUAUGGGGGCCAGAUUUCUGUGGCAAAGAUGAUGGUGGGAGCGAUGUCGGCGAUGUGGCAAUGGUUGUUGUAGUCAACUCUUCUCCUGCGUGUCCGCAGUGUUGCCUCGGUUUUGUUUGUUGCUGUGUUGUCGAAGCUGCAACGACGGGGCCCUGUGGUAUACGAUGACUGGCUGCAAGUGGCCCGUUCGGCGAUUUUCCGUGGCGCCAGCUUUCGCCGGGUUUUGUCCUUCUGAAUUCUCCGUCUGAGUCAGAGUUGCGUUGUUGAGGUUGACAUGUUGUCGAUGAGGGUGGGCUUUGCUCUCUGUGUCAGUCUUUGAGAGUGGGCUUGGCGCUUGUUGUUCCGGUUUUUGUCCGAUUUUCCGUAAUUAACUGGGCAAUUCUCUUCUGCUUAAUUAAUAGAUGAGGUAAUCUUUGCCUCCGUUUCAAAAAAAAGAAUAUUAUCCCAUUAGAAAUGUGUUUUCUUAAGUUUGUUCAUGUAUGUAUUUUCCGCAAUAAGUGCCCCAAUUGUGGUGCAAAUUACAUAUUCAUGGGAUAGUGAUUGCGUAAUAACACGAGAAGCUUUCUUAUGCUAAUUUCAAGUAGAUGCACAAUGGACACUUGUCAUGAAUCAUUUCUCUGUUAUCUUCAUAACUUAUUUUCGCCAAAAUUACUCUGCAACGUGAAGACAACGCGCGUGCAUGCAUACUAGUACUAGUGGCGUGCCACUUUGUUCGCAAUUUUAGAAAACCAAUUUGAGUGUGCGACACCAAGUCGUACUAGAACUUCUCUCGGUCAGAAAAGAAACGUGCUUGGCGGUAAGCGAGCAUGUCGGACUCUGUGUCAUUGCUAGGUACUAGCUAUUACGCAUCUGCGGUUAGGUCACCGGUCGCCUAUCGUUCCAAUAUUAGAAAGGUGGCCGUUCUGAACGAAUGCAUGCAUGUUCACUUGACCUUCCAAAUGAGUCCCUUUAGAAUAGUAUACUAAGGGCAUGUACAAUGGUGCUAUCUUAGGAGUGCCACGUAGGAUAAAUGAUGAGGUGGAGGAGAGGGAACUCAUAAGAGAAGGCUUGUCUUCUCUUAUUUAAAAUAAGACAAGAGAUGAUCUCUUAGCACAAUAUGUCUCACCACAUUUUUAGGAAUUGCUAGUUAUUGAAGAUAAGGUUAAGAGAUGAUCCAUUGUAGACAUUUUUCUUUGUCAUCUUUAAAUUACAUGCAAAACUUAAAAUAAGACUAUCUUAUCAACCAUUGUACAUGCCCUAAAAUGUCAUUCUCAGAAAUCUCAGGAAAUAGUGCCAAUUCGCCGUGCUCGCAGCAGUUUUGCCCUUAAAACAUCCACUUCAGCAAAUGUGCUUUAGCAUUUGGCUAGCUUCAGCAACUUUCCACCCUGUCUCUAUCUAGAACAAGUUAUACACGCAUUCCAAAUUUCCGCGCGCGUAGUGUGCCAACAGGCUAAGAAGAGCUAAUCCCUUUGCGGUCGAGCGGAAGCUCCCACGUGGUGAUCCCCACCAACAGCCCCGUCUUUGGCGGCGGCGGCGCCAUCGCACGGGACCCAAACCUCAAACUGGAUCAUCCAUGUGAGAGCUAAAAGAUGCAAAUGCAAAGUCAAAAGAAACAAUUUUGGGUCGAGUUUAGAGCAGAUCCUUUUAAGCCGCAAUCCCGUAAAAUCACCGCGCAAAACGCGUCCAAUUUAGGUCACGUACCUUAAAAUGAGUCUCCUAUCUCUUAUAUUUAAUGAUUUGGGGCCAAAUUUAUGAUUUCCCUUAACCCAAACAUGGUUGGUGAGAAGAAAAUUUCAGCUCCAACCGUCACCGGCCCGCCCACUACCGUGUGUCCGUGCGCGCUGCCACCCCAUGUGUCACAGGCCCACCAUCAUGUGCUGCCGACCUAGCAUCCCGAGUUUUGUCACCUCCGUAUUCGCACGCCGCCGUGCGUCGCCGACCUAGCGUCCCAAGCAAGGAGUUGUGGGCAGGGGCCGGAGCAGCAGGGCGACUGCUUGGGCCAGCGGUGCGGGCAGCAAGCAGGGUGGAUGGAGUAGGGCAACAGGACGGGUUACCUUAAAAUAGUUUUAAGGGGUACCUUAAACGGAUUUUAAGUUACGGCGUUUUAAGGGGUCUGCUACCUGAGCUACCGGUGAGGAGGCGGGAUAGCGGCAGCGGCGACGGUAGGGUUUAGGAGGGUUGAUCGUCGAGGAGAGAAAUAGUUAACCACGCAUGCUGGCCGGGAUUUUGUGGGCUAUAGUUUAUGGGACUUAAGUCCGAGGGACAAAUAUAUACUGUGCUAGCCUAGCUUUUUAUCAUUUUAUUAAACUUGGGCAAGCCUAGCUCAGCUCCGGACGAAAAGAAAAAGCAAGCUCUAAAUAGGGAGAGCACCUAAUUCAGGUGUACUCCUUCGGUAGCCCCCGCAAGUGUCAUUUAGCGUGGGCUGGGAGCACGCCACUUGGCGCGCUCUCAGCCGUCACCACGUGUCGCGCUCUAGGCGUUUCCUCCGUGUAUAUUUUUUAUUUUUUUGUACGUGUCUUCGGCUUGUAGAUGAUUUUUUUGUUCUUGUUCGGCUUUUCUGUUUCCCCCUAUUCUUCUUAGGUUUUGGAUGAAAACAUUCAGAAAAAUUGCUCCAAAACAAUAUGUUUUUUUUAUUUCCUUCUGCGAGAGGCACAUAUUUAGUUCUCGUGGAGGCACGAAUUUGUUUCCGCUAGAGACAUAGUCGUUCCUCUCGAUAAAGGAAAAACGUGUUUUUUCCUUCCGCGAGAGUCACUGAUUUACUUCUCGUGGAGGCGUGGAUUUGCUUCUUCGAGAAGCACGGUCAUGCCUCUCGGAAAGGGAAAAAACACGUUUUUUUUCCUUUCGCGAGAGGCACGGAUUUGCUUUUGCGAGAGGCAGGGUCAUGCCUCACGGAAAGGAAAAAAACGUGUUUUAGCUUUUUCCCUUCCACGAGAGGCACAGGUUUACUUCUCGUGGAGGCACGAACUUGCUUCCGCGAGAGGGAAGGCGAGAGGCACAGAUUUUUGUCUUCCGCGAGAGGCACAGAUUUGCUUCACGUUGAGGAACAGAUUUGCUUCGCGAGAGGCAAGGUCAUGCCUCUCGGAAAGGGGAAAAACGGGUGCCCCUUCGAAGGGGAAAAACGUACUCCCGGUUGGUUUUUUUUUGUUCGGUUUUUUUGGUGAAUAAAAGUUCAUUGAAAACUAACAACAUGAGAUCUAGUUUUGAAAAUAUCAACGCGAGGAAUCCAACGGUGAAAAUAGUUCAAGAUUUGGACGCACAAUUUAAGAGAUAAAAUAUUUUGAAUAAACGAAUCUAUGAAAAAAGGAAAACUCUCAGGAAGUAACAAGUGGCGCACAUGCCGCACUCCACAUGUUACAAUCUGACAAGGUGGGAAUGAUCUUUGCAAGAUGUACUCUUCAAUUGGUGAUUUCACUGGCGGGAACGAUGAGGACUAGUGAGUACGGCAUGGGCAAACUCCAAACUAUUGAGUACGCCUCAUGCUUUGAGCCCAUGGGCCCAUGUACGCAGCAAGUCCAAAGUUUAGGUCGGCCGUAUGCUUUGGAAUUAAACCCAGGUUUUAUUUUGUUUGAGAAAUAUGAGUAAUAGGUUUUUUUGUGAAAAGAUGUGAGUAAUAGGUUGAAAAAUCUAGAGUGGUUGAUUGCUGAAAGUAAGUAAUUUCUCUUUUGAAAGUUUUGAAACACAAUUUCCACCUUUUCACAAGCUUCCACCUAAGUUUGUUUCUUAUCACGUAGCAAUGAGACAGGAAUGUGUAGUUGAACUAGCACAUAUUCCCGUGGUUGCAACCGGAGAUAUUUUUUUGGGAGAAGCAUAAGGAGAGAUAAUUGAUGUGUCCAUCAAAACAGUCUCCCAGCGGUGGGGCGACAAAGGGAGGAGUUGCGGUGUUCUCGCGAGUCAUGUUGGCCCGCAACAUCUUGAUACUGGUGGGCUUGGUCAGAGUGGCGGCGACCACCCAACUCGUGCCCUUUUUUCCUUUGGGUCCGCUUCCGUGUCGAGGUUGUGGUUGCCUCCUCAUUUGGUGGCUGCACGGCGACCUUCGUGGCAUAGUUGCUUCGACCAUUCUCUCUCCUAUGAAGACAUAACCAGACGGAUUACUAAUUGCAGUGAAUCCCAUUUCAUUGGCAUAAUUAGCGCAUAACCAGGUAGUUCUUGCUCUACCAAGGUUUAUUCUCUUUAAUUAUUUUAGCGUUCACUUGCCCAUAUUUUUUAACCAAAGUCAAACCAACAUACUCUCUUUUAUUGGCAUGUGCCCACACUUUUUUUAGUUAUAGCCAACCAACAUAUUCUCUUUUAUAGUCAAAUAGCACGUGAGACGCACAAUAGUUCGUCAUGUUUGUAAGGCACGAAUAAAAAACCAAAACACCGAUGAGUUGAAGGAUCAAACUCACGACCUCAAAAACACGACCACGUGUUGCUAGUCACUCGAACAAAUAUCUCCUACUAACCAAUGGCCAACGCGAAUGUUUAAGAACAUAUUGCAGCGUCAUAUUCAAUUUUUUUGUACUUUUAUGAUCUGUUUUGAACUUUUCAAAAAAAAAGUAAUAUCUAUGAACUGCCAAAUAUUCUAUGAAAUAUGAACAAUUUUUCAAAACCAGAUUUGUUUCUAAAUAUGAGGAUUUUCAAAAUAAUUUCUAAUUUUUGGAAAAAUACGAACAAAACUUGCAACAGGAAGAUUUCUUAAGAUUCACAAAAACAAAUUGAAAACAUGAACUUUUUAUAAGAAACAAAUAUAUUUUUUAAUAUGUGAACAAUUUUUCAAAACCAAAACAUGUUUGAACAUUCAAAACAAUUUUCAAAAAAUUGUGUUUUAAACAUGAGCAUUAUUUUGAAUUUGUAAAGAUUUCAAAAAACAGGAAUAUUUUUCGAAUGUGUAUUAAGAAACGGUAUAAUGCGGUGACCUACGAGCCCUCACAGCACUGGUCGUCCGAUUGCUGCAUGUCCCGAUCUAUCUGUUGGGCCGCUGCUCGGCAUUCCCUAUUUGACGCUGCAGGCGCCCGUUACAGGUCAUUUUGCUAACGGGUACAGAGCGCAAUCCCUCCCGCGACUGGGCCGGCCCAUCUAAUUUUUCUUCUCUGUUUUGAUAAAUCGCAAAAAACUUCAAGCAUUAGUUGGGAUUCGAACCAGCGACUUACUGGUUCUAACAAAGCAGCGGUAACGACAAAACCAAAUUCUCUGGACGUGACCGAUUACCUUCUUUUCUUUAAUUAUUUACUGUAUUUUCGAACGGUUUUGUUUCGUUUUUCUUGUUCCUUUUCUUUUUAUUCCUAUUUUUCUUACUCUUUUGAUAAGUGCGCGAACAUAGUCAAUUUCGCUAUUUUAAACAAAAUUGAUGAACUAGUUUUCAAAUACGUGAACUUUUUUAGAAAAAUCGAUGAACUCUUUUCCAAAUUUGUGAACUCCUUUUUUCAGUGUCGAUGAACUUUUCUCAAUUGAUGAACUUUUUUUUCAAAAUCCGGGUAACAUUUUCGAAUUUAUAAUAAAUAAAUUUGAUGAACUUUUUUUAUGAAAACUGAUGAACAUUUUUCAACUCCAUCAACUUUUGUUCAAAAUUGGGUGAACUUUCUUUAUAUCCAUGAACUUUUUUUCAAAAUCUGGUUAACUUUUUUCAAGACCGGGUGAACUUUUUCCAAAUCCGUGAUUUUUUUAAACAAAUUGGUGAACUUUUUCCAUAUUCAUGAACUUUUUUCAAAAUUGAUGAACUUUUUUCGAUUUUUCUAAAAAAUUAACAAACGAUGAACUUUUAAAAAUUCUGAAAUUGUUUUCCAGAAUAAUUCUUCUUUUUACAAAGAAUUUAUAAUAGGAGUAAUACAAGGGUCAAUUAGCGUGUUUUCGGAUAUCACCCAGCGAAGUGAUCGUGGUGCAGUGGUAAGGCGCUAGGUAAGUUGAAGAUACCAUGUCAAUUCGUAUCCCACUACCCGCAGACAAAAUUGUCUCGCUUAUUUUUUCUGGCUGGACGGAGUGAUGCUGGGCCGGCCCACUACAGGUCGCCUUCGAGCACCAAGUAGGCUACGCGGUGCUGAGGGCGCCGAACAGGACCUCCCCCGCUGCUCCACAGAGAUAACGAAAUCACUAAUUAAGGAGUACUCGUUCCAAAGAACACUUCACUUUCCCAUGUCGCGACAAGUGGCGCACAUGCAGCGCGCCAGUUGUCGCAACCUAGGAGUUUUCCCUUUUUUCGUAGAUUCGUUUAUUCAAAACGUUUUAUCUCUUAAACCGUGCGUCCAAAUCUUGAACCAUUUUCACCAUUAAAUUUCUCGCGUCGAGAUCUUCAAAAACUAGAUCCCAUGUUGAUAGGUUUUGACGAAUUUUUUUUCACAAAAAAAACCGGACAAAAAAAACUGGGCGAAAAAACCGAACCGGGAGCACGGUUUUUUUUCCUUUCCGAAAGAGGCACGCCCGUGCCUCUCGCAAAAUCACAACCGUGCCUCUUGUAGAAGAAAAACUGUGACUCUCGUGAAAGAAAAAAAAACAGAAAACACGUUUUUUUUCAGUUUCCGAGAGGCACGGCCGUGACUCUCGCGAAAGCACAACCGUGCCUCCCGCGAAAGCAAAACCGUGACUCGCGAAAGAAAAAAACAGAAAACGCGUAUUUUUUUCCUUUCCGAGAGGCACGGCCGUGAUUUUCGCGUAAGCACAACCGUGCCUCUCGCGGAAGCAAAACCAUGACUCUAAAAAAAACAGAAAACACGUUUUGUUUUUCCCUUUCUGAGAGGCACGGCCGUGACUCUCGCGAAAGCACAACCGUGCCUCUCGCGGAAGCAAAACCGUAACUCUCGCGAAAGAAAAUAAAACAGAAAACACAUUUUUUUUCGUUUCCGAAAGGCACGAUCGUGACUCUCGAUAAAGCACAGUCAUGCCUCUCGCGGAAGAAAAACCGUGACUUUCGCGAAAGGAAAAAAAAAGAAAACGCGUUUUUUCGCGCAAUUUUUUGAUCGAAAAGCUAAGAAAGAUCGGGGAAAACCAAAACUUCGAAAAAAACCCGGAAAAAGACCGUUUAAAAAGCCGAAAACGCGUGCGGAAAAAUAAAAAAAUAAAAUUCGAGGGGAGCGUUCAGAGCGCGACACGUGGCGAAUGGCUGAGAGCGCUCCAAGUGAUGCUGAUCGUUGUGAGGCUCCCGAAGGAGCGCUCGUUAACUAGUUGCUCCCCAGAGAUAAUAUCUAUACCCGUUGUUGUUGAUCGGGCCGGGAUUUGCUUAUUGGGCCGGCGGACUGGCUUUAGCUAAUGAAAAUGUAAACCGUGCAUGUAGCCCAAAAAGUAGGUGUAUUCUCGCAGCCUGUGCAUGCGCCUUCGACCUCUCCACACCCACAAUAAUUAUUUUCUCGAAAAAAAACCACAAUAAUUGUCACGUAAGUCGUUCGAUCGACUCAACAAGGAAAGGCAUCUGAUCAAUCCCCUAUCACCUGACUCAUGCUUUACUCUCUGGUUUCUACACUUGUUUGAAAAAGGGUGUCAAUUAUCUUGCCGUCAAGUCUGAAGAUAAUUGCUCUUAUGUAUCGCUGGAAACGCUUCCAUUUUUUUGUCAGGUCACUGCAAACGCUUUUCUAUUCACACACUGUUGGAAAAUAUUUACCUACACAUUUGGUGAAAACAGUUUAUUUAUUUAUUUUAUUGUCUUGCGUGUGCUGCACAUGUAUGUCCGCCUUUUCACACUUCAGCCCCAACAAAGGCAUGACAAGAAGUCUGUAUAUGUACAUAUUAUCUACAAAGCAAUAAUAGAUUUAGUAGUUCAAAUUGUGUGCUUCUUUGGUGGUGUCGCUGGCAUAAUCAAUUUAUCAUUUUUUGUGUCUCUCAACUGCUAAGGUUGGGAUGUCUAUCUCAUAUAUGUACCUGCGAGCCUCGGGCAGUGGUGGUUUGUUUCCGGAGGGUGCAGCGGUGGCUGAUCUUCCGCGCUUUGUCGAACUGCCGAUGUUGGCAUUUGUUUCUUCUUCUUUUUUUCUUUUGGGCUUGAUGUGUUGCUCGCCCCAGCAAUGCGAUGUGUACCAUGUUGGUUGCUUUGNNNNNNNNNNNNNNNNNNNNNNNNNNNNNNNNNNNNNNNNNNNNNNNNNNNNNNNNNNNNNNNNNNNNNNNNNNNNNNNNNNNNNNNNNNNNNNNNNNNNNNNNNNNNNNNNNNNNNNNNNNNNNNNNNNNNNNNNNNNNNNNNNNNNNNNNNNNNNNNNNNNNNNNNNNNNNNNNNNNNNNNNNNNNNNNNNNNNNNNNNNNNNNUAUGUACCUGUGACAGGAAGUCUCCUAUUGUGUGAACAAAUAUGCUUUUCUCAUAUUCUCAGAAAGUGAAAGUGAAAGUUUUGACUAACUAAGAGUCUGGUUUCCAAUAGCCCCACUAACUAUGAACCUCUUGUUUAAGAACCAUUAAAAAAAAUCAGAAACCACCUAGAGGUUUUAUGCCUUUAACAGUUAGAUGGCAAGAAAAGUGUCAACAUAAGUAAAUCAGUUUUCACUAGCACUCAUUGUAUAAGUUGUACCAUCAUUUUAUUUACUACCUGAUAGGAGAUGUAAAGAUGCAUCUCAAAAAAUCAUUUCCUGAAAAUUGUCACUCAUUAUAUAUGUCUAAAAAACCAUUAUUAUAAUUUCCUUUACUCUACAUUAAUAUUUUAUUUGUUACUAUCUCAUAAGAAAUGCUAUCCGUUGUGAAAAUUGUCAUUUCCUAUAUGUCUCUUUGAAAUAAACAAAAUAUUAUAUUUUUAGACUAGGAUUUUGAUAACAUUGUGCAAAAAUAUUGCUCUAUGUUUUGAAGCAUUUAUAUAAUAUUUGUCAUUAUUUUUGAAAACUGGACAAGCGCAGCAAUGCGCGCUAUCAUGAUUAGUCAUUUUUUAAAUGAAAUUUAUUUUGAAAAUGUCUAAAAAUUGAAUACACAAAACAAUUAUUGAAAAAAUGCGAACUUUUCUUAUUUUGAAAAACAAAUUGGAACGGCUAGAAAAUUUUAAAUUUCCAAAAAAUUCAAAAUAUGAACAAAAUUUUGAAAUUCUGAAGAUUUUCUGGAAAUAAAAAAAUGAAUUUCUGAAAAAAAAUCUAUUUAUGGAAAUAAGGAAAAAUAUAAAUAAACUAGGAAGGGAAAAAGGAAAAAAGAAAAGAGAAAGAUAAAUGAAAAUAAAUAUAAAAAUAGAAACAGAACACAAGAAAGAAAAAUAAUGAAAAUGGGCCGGCCCAAUCUUGGGCGCCCUAUGGGAAGCUCCAACUAUUUGCCGCACUGUGAGGCAAAAAGGUUUCCCAGAUGUGUGGGCAGUAAAUAAAUGGGUUAGCUUUGCUGGGCCGCAACGCGCGCCGCCAUGUACGGUAUUCUGGACAAAACUGUUUUUUUUUCUUUUCUAGCAGAUGGACGAGCAAAAUAUAGUACCACCUUGGACAGAAAAAUAUUCUUUUCGCUACUGAACGGAUCAAAAAAUCAGAGAAAUGCACCUUGCUUUAUUAGUAGGUAUAGAUAAUCAUCAGGUCAACACCAACAUAAGAAAAAUGUAUUUGCAUGUUACAUAUUCAUGGAAUGAAAUGUCCGGUAAACUAAGCAAGAAAAUGUGUCUAUGAAGAAGGUGGCAUGUUGCUAAUGUUAUUGUGUUUUUGGGUGAAACGGGUGCACUCAACCACGGGAUAUCCAAUGCAAUAUCAAAGCAUUGCCGUGGAGCUUGAACAAAAAACAUAAUACAUUUCAGAAAAGCAUGCAGAAAAUAAUUUGGACAAAAGCUAGUUUUAAGAGAGUUUAAGCUCUGAUUUCUAGAGAAACAUACUAUUUUUCAAAAAACACGCAAACACAUAGAGUCACAACAACAGCAAAAUAUGUCGCCAUGUGCCAUAUGUAGGUCUCACCUAAACCAUCUACAAGGUAUCCAACUUUAUCACCUCCAUAGUAACAAGCUUAACCAUCAUUGUCACUCUUUUAUCUCCCUUGUCAUGCUCCCUAGGUUAAUUGCCGCCAUGUGAUACGGGAAUUGUCUGUCAUGGGUAACUGCCUUGUGUGGCUUGGUAUGUAAGCUCACAUAAGGAGCCAACACUUAGCUUUGUGUACUUCCACAUUCCAUGCCAGAGUUUAGCAGCUUUACACAAUCCAAAUUCGCAGGAGUAAACUAACAGGGUAUAAGCUCACAUAAAUGACUUACCUAGGAAGCUCACUGCUAUGUAUGUGGCUUUUGGCUACCAUGCGUAUGGGAUGGCCGGGUGGUCAAGGACAACAAGGGUGGUGUCUGCAUGAGAGAUGAAUUUGUAUCGGCUAAAUAAUCACCUGGUCAAUACUGACAUGGCAAAGUCAACAUAAAAAAUGUAUUUGCAUGUUUGAAUGAAGUGUCUCAAAAACUAAGCAAGCAAAUGUAUCUAUAAAGUAUAUGAAGNNNNNNNNNNNNNNNNNNNNNNNNNNNNNNNNNNNNNNNNNNNNNNNNNNNNNNNNNNNNNNNNNNNNNNNNNNNNNNNNNNNNNNNNNNNNNNNNNNNNNNNNNNNNNNNNNNNNNNNNNNNNNNNNNNNNNNNNNNNNNNNNNNNNNNNNNNNNNNNNNNNNNNNNNNNNNNNNNNNNNNNNNNNNNNNNNNNNNNNNNNNNNNNNNNNNNNNNNCGAACACGACAUUCAUAUGGUUUUUGUUCCAGAGCGAAUGAUGCUCGAUGCUGCGAUGGUAGGGGCAUGUGCCAAGAUUCGUGCGCCCAGAUCCAACGGCUCCAAGGCUAUUCGCUGGAAGUAACUUCACAGGGAACGUCGGCCAGAUAAAAAAUUCUAAAGAUUUUAAUGUCAUCUUGUUUAGAUAGGCAGUAUCCUCUAGGGAGUGACUAAUCAUCAGAAAUUCUCACACAAUAAAAGAAACACUAAACCUGGCCAAUUUUUUAAAAGACACUAAGAAAAUGUGAAAAUAUAAGGAUGGCGGCAACAAGAAAAAGAUAUUAAUUUUACUCCUUAUAAAAGCAAGAAAGAAACUAAGAAAAUGACACACUUUUCAUGAUUGAACCCCGCGCGCGCACCCACCUGUAGGUUGGUACAAACAAUGAAAACAGAGAAGAGCCUGUUGAGAGGGAACAAAAUCAUACCUGGAAUCUUGAAAUGAAGAAGACAAUGAGAUCAAUGAAGAAACAAUAGAAACUUUUGUUGGGAAUGAGAUCAAUGAUCAAUGAAGAAAAUGAGGAUGAGCUUGACCACAGUGCACUGCACAAAAAGGUUUCCUGGAAUUCAUUCUCAACUAAGUAUUACAUGAAGAGACAAGCACACGGCCUGUACAACAUAAGCAUCUUCAGAAAAUUUCAGCUCAUUCUCAAUGAUGUAACAAGACUCUAAAUCCGAGAAAAGGAGUAAAAAGAAGUAGUACGUGGUAUUCUAGGCAAAGAGCGACUACAAACAAGAACAUAGGAGAAGGUUUUAUGUGGUGCAAGUUCAUACUGAGAAAGAGGAUUACUCCGGCAUUUGUUGCAAGUUUGAAAAAUAUAUGACAUUUUGUGCUCUCAUAUUCUGAAAGUGAUGCUGCACUUUGAGGUAGAUAAGAUACCAGAUAAAUACAUAAUAGACAGAUGGCGGAAAGAAGGAAAGAAAAUGAAUAAACCCAAAGGUUCCACUUUGAUCAGCUCAGGUACAAUGUCCUUGGAAUGAAGUUAAUGCAGCUGGGCUCGAACGGAUCAAAAAAUCAAUACAAAUAUGAGUACCUGUGAACAAAAAUGGACAGAAUUAAACAACAUUUUAAUACUAUGGACAGGGAUCAAGAAGAAGAGAUGGAUGGACAUGGUAUGCAAAUAGAGGAAUGAAGCAAUUCCAACAGGGCAAUAGGAACCCUGACCACUAUGGCGCAAAGCGGAGGUGACAGUUCGACUAUUGAGCUAUUGAAUCCUGACGAGUCACACACAAAUACUACCACAACUUAGCAAUUUGUCUAAACUCCCUGAUUGGAUAAGUGUUUUUCAGGCACUGUAGUUAAAAAAAUGAAGUGAAGUUUGCAGAAGUUGAACUUCAUUUUAAACGAUAGCCAUUGCUAGAAGAACUAAACAAAAAGUAGGCCCUUUCGUCUUUGAGACACAUCGAUCUUUCACAACUAACGCACAACCUAGCCGACCCGUCUCCUGGUAGAUGUCGAUUUCUUCAUGUGUGUUGAGAAAAACUAAUUCAGGGGCGCUCUAAUUUUUUUUACUGCUCGACUGAUCCCUGAAAAUUUUGACUUUGAACACACCUUAAUUGAAGGCACUACAACGCAAAAGAAAAUCGUCUACUGAAAAAUGAACACCCUUGAACCUGCACUACAACAAAAAAGAAACCUGCACCAAAAAACAACCAGUGCUCAUGCAGGAAAAAUGCCUGAACAUAAAGAAAGCAUACUGAAAAUUAUAAUAGCCAAUACAUAACAGGUAACGGGAAAAAUUCAGGUUCGUCCAUUUUUUCGCGAGGUAGGUCCGUCCGUUUUAGCGUAAAUAAAUCACACAAAAAAACUGUAAGCUUGCUCCCAAAACUCGGGUCUGAGAAGCAAAGCCAUCUCCAUAAUGAAGGAAUUACUUAAGCUUAAUAAUGUACAGACCAUGCUAAAAUACUGAAUAAUCUAGCAACAAAAACUAGCACUCAUUCACUAAACUGAAAAAUGAUAAGUAGAGAAAACAUAGAUUGUGCGCAUGUUUUCAUGAUGGAAGAUGCUGACUAAGAAAAAGGAUUCAGAACAUUCCUUCAUCCAUGCUUACAUCAACAGAAAGCAGCCGAAAAUGCCGCCUGAAUCAUUACUAAACAUUGCAUAGACCCUCCCACAAAAAUCGAAUCACCGGCAAAUGCCUACUCCCACACCAUCUGAUUAGUGGUGAAGUUGUAACUCAACACUUGGUAGAACCGGAGAUCUACAUCCAGAAAAACAAUGAGGCGGACUUGGCGAUGAAAUUUGGGGACUGACUGACACGCGCGCAUAGGUGGCUUCAAAAUAUUCGGGAUCGUUUCUCAUGAACCACUCAAAAUUACAUGGGUGAACUAAGCUACCGCAAAAAGUUCCUACCCAAAAAGCAGCUAACUGAACAACCCCUGCGACUACAAAUCAAACAGGAAAGAGGCAGACCAGAUAGAACAGACAAAAACGACUGGAGACAAAUUUUAAAAAAAACUGAUCCUCUAUUUGUAUACACUAGCACAUAUGCCCAUGUGUUGCAAGGGAAGAGGUAAUUGACAUGUCCACUGAAAUGUCCGUCAGCACGGCCCAACAAUGUUCAAAUUGGGCCCGGCCAUGGCGGAGAGGCGCAUACUAAGGUCUAACAGAAAUUCAUGUCAGUAGUACAUUAAGAAGCAUGCUACACAUACAAUAAUUUUGGUACUUUAUUUUUACAGUGAUUCUGGUCUUAAAGAACUUAAUUUUCAAAGAAAAUAUCAUACCAAUGAAUUAUUUGUAAGUUGAAGCAAUGUUUGAAAUUUGCACCAAGUCAUGAGAAAAAUCUCAAUAAAAGGAUUCUAUUAAAUACGUUUUAUGCCAUCUUUACAUAUGCUUGAAGAUUAAUAAAAAAAGAAUGUAUACGUCUUAGCAAAACUACCCUAGUUCAUUGCAUGCAACUCGACACUCAUAUAGCGCCUCGCACCGUUUGGUUGUGUUAUUUCUGUUGCACAUAACGGUCACACACUGCAUAGCAACACAUAUAUGCGUCCCCCUCCCAUGUCCCUCGGUAUUAGUUCCUUCUCAUUAUUGCAUUGAAUGCAUGCCAUGUUCUUGGUCUUAAUACCAAUUUCUUUGCAUUAUUCUCUCCUCCAUUUUUUUUGAAUAUCCCAUCAUUUUUUUAUCCCCACUGGUCACGCCCUUUAUUCUCUCCUUUUUUUAUUACUCAUAUAUGCCCAUCGAAGCCGAUCAUCCAUACUCUCUCCAAUCCAUAUAGGCCCUCCUAACAUACUUCAUAGAUAUAAAGGCUAUAUAUUAGUUAUAUUGUGUGUUAGCAUUUUCCAAAAUACACCAUUGCAAUUAAUUAGGUUAAUUAAGGUUAUGCAUUAAAAAUAAUUUUAAAGUAGUUAACAUGAAAAAAUAAUAGCACGGUUGGAAACUACGCAUUUUUUAUCAACAUACAUAUAUAAAAAUAAUAAUCUGAGUUACGGUUGCAAAAUUAUAGUAUGAUAAUAUUUAACAUCUCUGUAAAUAAUAAAAGUAGGGACCUAGACAGACUGAAAACAUAGCGAAUUGGGCCUACUGAGGCUAAAUGCGGAAUACUAACCAGCGCCUAGGCGCGCCAGAUAGCGACUACCGCAGUUGGGCGAAGCCCAACAGAGAAAGGGCAAUUAAUAUUGAACCGCGGGUUAUUAAAAUAAAAAAAUCAGGGGCUAUUGUGUAAAAAUGCUGACGGUGAACGAGUAGAAACGCUCCGUCCCUCCGAGUAGGGCGUUUCGGUGCCCAGGCUCAUCUGCAUCCGGUUAGAAAAAAUUCGUAAAGAAUUCAGAAAAAUACAAAAAAUUCCAAAAACAAAAUCUGCGGUAGACAAUUUGAUGCGUGAGACCCGCUCUAAGUUUUAAGUCAUUUGGACAUUUGAGCAGCUCUCAGCAAAAAAGACAAAUCGGGCCAAAACAGUACGUGAACAGUAAACAUUUUUAUAGACUCUCAAUUUGUCUUUUUUGAUGAGAUCUCCUCGGAUGUCCAAAUGAUAUGAAAAUUGGAGCGCACCUCAGGCAUUAAAUUGUCUACCACACAAAAAAAAUUGGAUUUUUUAGUAUUUGUUUUGAUUUUUUUCAUCAGCGCGGGUGCAGAUGAGCUCGGAUGCGGAGAUGGAUUUUCGCCGUCCCUACAUACUUUAUUAGUACGUUAGGUAUAGAUGUAUGACGUUGCAUUGCUACAGAGGACAAGCAUAUUUGAUAUCUUCUUGAUAUUAGAAAAAUGUUGUUAAAGAAAUAGUUGCAUCACAUAGCUUUGAAAUUUCUAUAAUCAAUUCGAGGAGCACAACAUGAAUCCGAACUUCACGUCAAUGCCCACGGUGCAGCCAGGACGUGAAGCGGAACCCUCUUCCGCGAGGUGAUCCCAGGCGCCUCCUCCAUGUCCACCACCUCCUCCGUCCCGCCCUCCGGCAGCGCCCAGUCGAACCGGCCGACGAGGUUGGCAAUCGCGAUCUCCACGAUGGACAUGGUGAAGUUGAUCCCCGGGCACACCCUCCUCCCGGAACCGAACGGUACGAGCUGGAAAUGCCGGCCCCGGAAGUCCACCUCGCCGCCGGUGCCGAGAAACCUCUCCGGCCGGAACUCCUCCGGAGACUCCCAGCUGCCCGGGUCCCUUCCGAUGGCCCAGGCGUUCACGAUCACCAUGGUCUUGCUCGGCACGUCGUACUGCUGGAUCCUCGUCUGCUCCAUGGCCUCGCGGGGGAUCAGCAGCGGCCCCGGAGGGUGCAGCCGCAUCGUCUCCUUCAUCACCGUUUUCAGGUAGACCAUCCCCUGUAAAUCUUCUUCGGUGAUCAUAUCGGAGUUGGUGCUUACGGAUCUACUCCUUAGCUCGUCUUGUAGCUUUUCCAUGGCCUCCUUGUUGCGGAGCAGCUCUGCCAUGGCCCAUUCGAGCACGAUGAUGGUGGAGUCUGCCCCUGCCCCGAACAGAUUCUGCGUGUCCGGCAGGAAAUACGACGUGAAUUUUUAGGUAAAGUCACAGUCAGUCAGUGAGUGACUCAUUCAGUGCGCGUACCGCUAGGAGCCCCUUCACGUUGUCCCUCGUGAAUCGCCGCUCCGUGGACGCGCCGCCGGUGCCGGUGCCGGAGGUGUUGUUGCCGAGGGACAGCAGCACGUCGACGAAGGUGCUGUCGUGCCGCCCCAGCGCGUCGCCUCCGUGGACUCCGCCCAUGCGACUCUCCGCGGCGUCGACGAUCUCCUCGAGGACGGCGUCGAUCCUGUCGAACGCCUUGCCGACCUUGGUGUCGGUGCCGUCCAGGGCGCCUACCCACGCCAGGCUAGGGAAGUAGUCGCCGACGUGGAACGUGCCGAGCAGCGCGUUGCCCUCCUCCAGCAGCGCGUCCACCUUGGCGCCCCACCCGUCGGCGCGCGUGGCGGCGCUCGCCCCGAACACGAUCCGCCCGAUCACGUUCUUGGCGAACACGGCCAGGAGCUCGCUCAGGGGCACGACGCGCGCCUGCCGCCGGACCUUGUCCAGGAGCGCGCCCACCUCGUCCUCCCGGACGGCGCGGUAGGCGCGCACCCUGGCGGGGCUGAGGAGGUGGAGCACGCAGGUCUUGCGGGCGCGCAGCCAGUAGGGGCCGUGCGGGGCGAAGGCGACGUCGGUGCAGCCGUAGAAGAGCUUGGAGGGGAUGGCGAGCGAGGGGCGGGUGGCGAAGACGUGGUCCUGCGCCAGCAUCACCUCCCGCGCGGCGCCGGCCGAGGACACGACGACGGCCGGGACCUGGCCGAGGCGGAGGAGCAUGACGGGGCCGUGCGCGGCGGCGAGGGCGGCCAGCGUGCGGUGCGGGAGGCGGCCGCCCGCGAGCUGGUGCAGGUUGCCCACGAGCGGGAGCCGCCACGGGGAAGGCGGCGGGGCGGACUUGGAGUGAUGGGAGCGAGCAGCACGGAGGAGUAGCGUGCAGCACAGGAUGGUGGCCACGGGGAGGAGGAAGAGGAGGACGGCGUCUUCCAUGGCCGGCCGCUCUCUCGUGGACCCGUCUUCCAUGACGGGGUUGGCAGUGUUAACUGUUGACAGGACAGGAGUGGUGCGGCUGAUGCCCGGCCGGAUUUGACGGAUCGAACAUGGAGCAGCAGCAGACAACUACUAUUACUAUGAGAAGAAAGGUGGGAAGCAGAAGCUCGAUAAUGGCCACACCGAUCGGGCAUGUGCCAUUUAAUACUCUACGUGCGGCACUGUGUAUCUUCUAGGUAAUGAUAUGAUUUUCAAUGUUGCACUCUGAUCAGCAUGUGCUGCAUGGGGGACGCCCGUGCACAUGCAUGCAUGGGAGGAAUCAUUACAGAUCUCCACUAGCACUACAAACCCUCAAAAUAAAAUAAAAAUCUCCACUACUACGUCCCUCCCAAAUAUUAAGGGCUAAAUCUAUCUCGAUGCUAUAUCCAUAAGAUCUUAUAUUGAUCCAUGUAAAUUUUUGUUUUAUGCUUGUUCUUUAUUUUAUUUUUCUUACGUAUUGUGUCACUUGAGUUUCGGUCAACUGAAACCUAGCUACACUAACUUCAACAUGAAUCAUCAAAACGGCCGUCAUGAAAUAUUCGUGACACGUCCCGAAAAUGACCGCGAACAACUUUAGGGAUUCAGAGUUUGUCUUGGGGUAAAGACUUCUUUGUUUUGUUGAAUCAGCAAUGGAGGCCAUCCAACCGGAAUUGUCAAAUAAAGAGGAUAAUAGAUUUUCAUUAUAUUUUGGAAUAAUAUUUAUACAUAGCAAAAGGACUGGGCGUUGUGGUUCUAAGUCUGACAGUAGAAUAGGGGGUAUGUAUGAAGAGGCAAGAUCCUAGCUACGGUGAAGUUGUGCACGUGAGAUUUACGAGUUCAGGCCCUUCGCGAAGGAAGUUAGAGGGGGUGCGAACCCUUGUGCCUGAGGAGGGGUGGCUUAUAUAGAGUUCGCCAGACCCCUCCGGCCCUCACUUACACAGGGUUCAAUGUACAUAAAGAUAGGACGUUACUGGUAACGCCAACAAUAAAGACAUAUAAAUGAUCAUUAAGACUACGGAGUGAACGCCUGACCAUUGUCAUUCAGAGUGACCUCAGAUCUUCUGUUCUCCGAGUGGUUUCCAGUAUGGUCGAAUGAAUAUAUCUUGGUCGAAUGGAAUUGGGCUAUCCGGGUGAACUCUCAGUCGAGUGGGUUUGUGUCCUGUGGUGAUUUCAGUCGGUAGAAUCCGUUGUCCUUUAAAUGUCCUUGACUGUAGGGCAAUGUCCUUGGGUAGGGUGCUUAGAUCAGGUCUAUUGCCCUACCCUAGGUACAUGUCAUCGUCAUUACCCCCCGAAUGGUUCUGGGCCCGAGUGAAGAUGGAGUUGAAGGUGGUUCCGACCCAACUUUCAUGCUUCGGAAGCAUUUUACUUGGAUUGGCGAACCAUGCAAAAACUUCAACUUCAUUUUCAGUCGCCUUGAGCCAUUCAGAAGUUGUCGAGUGAACUUUGUUGAUAAGCUUCGAGUGUUUAAUAUGGUAUAAAAUCUUCGGCAUGAUUGACCGCUCUGUCGUUCCUGGAUCUCGCGUGAUUCAAAAUUUGGGGAAGCGCGCGGGGCGGAGAGGGCCGCGGUAAUCAGAGUGGAUUAGGCUGGGGCGCCUCGAUCCCCACGCCACCUUUUUCGCCACGUACUGCGCGCGCGACUGUUGCGGGAUUUGACAGGAUUGCUCGGGCCCACAAGUCAGUCACUCCGCGAACAAGCCCAUAUAAGGCAUAUGGGCCGGUACCUUUGCACUAUGCGCCCCAUUUCCUUUCUUCCUCCUCUGCUUCUCCACUGCGCCCGCCUCCUCCCUCGAUGCCGCCGCCCGGCCCAAGCGCAACCCGCAACGAUGGCGAAGGACAAGACGGCGGCCCUGGAGCGUGCGAAGAAGGCGACGGCGAAGGCAAAGGGCAGGAAGACGAGCCGGGGCGGGUCGUCGUCGAGAUCUAGCCUGCCGCCCGGCUGGAUCCAGGGCAACUGGAUUCGAUCGACGAUCCAGCAGGAGGACUUGGAGGAUCUGGUGGAGGGGGGAUUGAUUCCCCACGACUCCUGGCAGCUUCCGGAGGACGAGACUGAGCCGCAGCCGUAAGAGGGUGACUGUGUCCUUCUCGCCACUCACGUCGACCGCGGAUUCUCUUUGCCUCCACAUCCUUUUUCCAGGGUUUUCUGAAUUUCUUUGGAGCCCAACUUCAUCACUUAUCUCCCAACACUAUCACAUACCUUGCUGCAUUCGUGUCCAUGUGCGAGAACUUUCUGGGGUGUCGACCGCACUGGGGUCUCUUCAAGCACAUUUUCACUUGUCGUUCUUAGUCUGUAAAAAAGGCUAAUCCGAGUGAUGAGAGGACACAUGUGAUCCAGAUGUGUGGAGGUUUAGGAAUCCAGAUGAGGGGUAAGAGCACUUUCCCAGCUAUGAUUCUUCCCGAGUCAGUCAGAGGUUGGCAGUCUACCUGGUUCUACUGCAAGCACUAGCCGACUCCUGGAUAGUCGACUGGCCUUCCCCCAUUUUCCAUGGGUCGAGUUGAGAAAUCCUGCCCCUUGAAGGUGAAUCCAGCUGAAAAAGCGGAGGUGAAUAUGCUAGUUGAUCGAGUAGUCCAACUUGUCCGUGAUGGGGUGACUGGCAUGGACUUGCUAGAGGUAUUCCUCGGUCGACGUAUCCAGCCACUCUAAGCCCGCGAUCAUCCAAUGUGGAUGUACUGGGUAUCAAAGACAUCAUCCGAAUCCACCCGGAAGAAGCCGAUGAGGAGACGGUGGCGCAGUGGUUGCAGGGCAUCACCGGUAACAAGGACAACCCCAGGGGGUCUAGGAGGCUGAUACGUCAAUUUUGCAUCAUGUUUUUAUACCGAUAAUUAUGGCAUUAUGGGCUGUUAUUACACAUUAUGUCACAAUACUUAUGCCUAUUAUCUUUUAUUUUACAAGGUUUACAUGAAGAGGGGGAAUGCCGGCAGCUGGAAUUCUGGGCUGGAAAAGGAGCAAAUAUUAGAGACCUAUUCUGCACAACUCCAAAAGUCAUGAAACUCCACGGGAGUUAUUUUCAGAAUAUAUAAAAAAUACUGAGCGAAGAAAGUACCAGAGGGGGGCCACCCACCAUCCACGAGGGUGGGGCCGCGCCCUACCCCCUGGGCGCGCCCCCUGCCUCGUGGGCCCCCUGGUGGCCCUCUGAUGCCCAUCUUUGGCUAUAUGGAGUCUUUCGUCGAGGAAAAAAUCAUAAGCAAGCUUUUGGGAAGAAACUCCGCCGCCACAAGGCGGAACCUUGGCGGAACCAAUCUAGGGCUCCGGUAGAGAUGUUCUACCGGGGAAACUUCCCUUCGGGAGGGGGAAAUCAUCACCAUCGUCAUCACCAACAAUCCUCUCAUCGGGAGGGGGCCAAUCUCCAUCAAAAUCUUCACCAGCACCAUUUCAUCUCAAACCCUAGUUCGUCUCUUGUCUCCAAUCUUUGUAUCCAAACCUCAGAUUGGUACCUGUGGGUUGCUAGUAGUGUUGAUUACUCCUUUGUAGUUGAUGCUAGUUGGUUUACUUGGUGGAAGAUCAUAUGUUUAGAUCCAUUAUGCAUAUUAAUACCCCUCUGAUUAUGAACAUGAAUAUGCUUUGUGAGUAGUUACGUUUGUUCCUGGGGACAUGGGAGAAGUCUUGCUAUAAGUAGUCAUGUGAAUUUGGUAUUCGUUCGAUAUUUUGAUAAGAUGUAUGUUGUCAUCCCUCUAGUGGUGUCAUGUGAACGUCGACUACAUGACACUUCACCAUUGUUUGGGCCUAGAGGGAGGCAUUGGGAAGUAAUAAGUAGAUGAUGGGUUGUUAGAGUGACAGAAGCUUAAACCCUAGUUUAUGCGUUGCUUCGUAAGGGGCUGAUUUGGAUCCAUAUGUUUCAUGAUAUGGUUAGGUUUACCUUAAUACUUCUGUUGUAGUUGCAGAUGCUUGCAAUGGGGGUUAAGCAUAAGUGGGAUGCUUGUCCAAGUAAGGACAGUGCCCAUGCACCGGUCCACCCACAUAUCAAAUUAUCGAAGUACCAAACGUGAAUCAUAUGAACGUGAUGAAAACUAGCUUGGUGAUAAUUCCCAUGUGUCCUCGGGAGCGCUUUCCUUCAUAUAAGAGGUUGUCCAGGCUUGUACUUUGCUACAAAAAGGAUUGGGCCAUCUUGCUGCACCUUAUUUACUUUUAUUACUUGCUACUCGUUACAAAUUACCUUAUCACAAAACUAUCUGUUACCGAUAAUUUCAGUGCUUGUAGAGAAUACCUUACUGAAAACUGCUUAUCAUUUCCUUGUGCUCCUCGUUGGGUUCGACACUCUUACUUAUCGAAAAGGCUACAAUAGAUCCCCUGCACUUGUGGUUCAUCAAGACUCUUUUCUUGCGCCGUUGCCGGGGAGUGAAGCGCCUUUGGUAGGUGGAAUUUGGUAAGGAAAUAUUUACAUUGUGUGCUGAAAUUUACUGUCACUUGUUACUAUGGAACAUAAUCCUUUGAGGGGCUUGUUCGGGAUAUCUUCACCCCGACCAGUAGAGCAAAGAGUUGCUCCUCAACCUACUGAAAAUGUUUACUUUGAAAUUCCUUCGGAUAUGAUAGUGAAACUGUUAGCUAAUCCUUUUGCAGGAGAUGGAACAUUGCAUCCUGAUUUACACUUAAUCUAUGUGGAUGAAGUUUGUGGAUUAUUUAAGCUUGCAGGUAUGCCCGAUGAUGUUAUCAAGAAGAAGGUCUUCCUUUUAUCUCUGAAGGGAGAGACAUUGACGUGGUAUAGGCUAUGUGAUGAUAUGGGAUCAUGGAACUACAAACGAUUGAAAUUAGAAUUUCAUCAGAAGUUUUAUUCUAUGCAUCUUGUUCAUCGUGAUCGUAAUUAUAUAUAUAAUUUUCGGCCCCGCGAAGGAGAAAGCAUCACUCAAGCUUGGGGGAGGCUUAAGUCAAUGUUAUAUGCACGCCCCAAUCAUGAGCUCUCAAGAGAAAUGAUUAUUCAAAAUUUUUAUGCUUGGCUUUCUCUCAAUAAUCGCUCCAUGCUCGAUAGUUCUUGUACUGGAUCUUUUAUGAUGAAGACUAUUGAAUUCAAAUGGGAUUUAUUGGAAAGAAUUAUACGCAACUUUGAAGAUUGAGACCUCGACGAAGGUAAGGAGUCAGGUAUAACACCUAAGUUUGAUUGUGUUAAAUAUUUUAUGGAUACCGAUGUUUUCCGUGAAUUUAGCACUAAAUAUGGACUUGACUCUGAGAUAGUAGCUUCUUUCUGUGAGUCCUUUGCUACUCAUGUUGAUCUCCCAAAGGAGAAGUGGUUUAAAUAUAAUCCUCCCACUGAGGUAAAAGUAGUUGCUCCUAUUAAAGUUGAAGAAAAGACUAUCACUUAUGAUGAUCUUGUUGUUCCUGAGCCACCUUUCCCUGUUAGAAUAAAGGAUCAUGCUAAAGCUUCAACUGUAGUCAACAGAAGUAAUAUUAGGACACACAAACCCCCUGAGCAAGUUAAAGUUGAACCUAAAAUUGCUAUGGUUAAAGAUCUCUUGGCCGAUAAUAUUGAUGGGCAUGUUAUUUACUUCUGCAAUGAAGCUGCUAGAAUUGCUAGACCUGAUGCUAGAAAUAAACAUACACCUGUUGUAGGCACACCUGUUAUUUCCGUUAAAAUAGGAGAUCAUUGUUAUGAUGGCUUAUGUGAUAUGGGUGCUAGUGCAAGUGCAAUACCUCAUUCCUUAUAUGAAGAAAUUAUGCAUGAUAUUGCACCUGCUGAGAUAGAAGAUAUCGAUGUUACCAUUAAACUUGCCAAUAGAGAUACUAUUUCACCGGUUGGGAUUGUUAGAGAUGUUGAAGCCUUGUGUGGGAAGGUUAAAUAUCCUGCUGAUGUUCUUGUUCUUGGUUCCCCAGAAGAUAGCUUUUGUCCCAUUAUAUUUGGUAGACCCUUCUUGAACAUUGUUAAUGCUAGGAUAGACUGCAAAAAGGAUGUUGUUACUAUUGGUUUGGGUGAUAUGUCUCAUGAGUUUAAUUUUGCUAAAUUUAGUAGACAACCCCGUGAUGAGGAAUUUCCUAGUAAAGAUGAAAUUAUUGGUCUUGCUUCUAUUGCCUUGCCUCCUAGUGAUCCUUUAGAACAAUAUUUGCUAGACCAUGAAAAUGAUAUGUAUAUGAAUGAAAGAAGGGAAAUAGAUGAAGUAUUCUUUAAACAGGGACCUAUUCUGAAACACAACUUGCCUGUUGAAAUCCUAGGGGAUCCUCCUCCACCCAAGGGUGAUCCUGUGUUUGAGCUUAAACCAUUGCCUGAUACUCUUAAAUAUGCUUAUCUUGAUGAAAAGAAGAUAUAUCAUGUUAUUAUUAGUGCUAACCUUUCAAAGCAUGAAGAACAGAAAUUAUUGAAAACUCUGAAGAAGCACUGUGCUGCUAUUGGAUAUACUCUUGAUGAUCUUACGGGCAUUAGUCCCACUCUAUGUCAACACAAAAUAAAUUUGGAGAAAGACGCCAAACCAGUUAUUGAUCACCAACGACGGCUAAAUCCUAAGAUGAAAGAAGUGGUAAGAAAGGAAAUAUUAAAGCUCCUUGAAGCAGGUAUAAUUUAUCCCGUUGCUGGUAGUUAGUGGGUAAGUCCUGUCCAUUGUGUCCCUAAGAAGGGAGGUAUUACUGUCAUUCCUAAUGAUAAAGAUGAAUUGAUUCCGCAAAGAAUUAUUAAAGGCUAUAGGAUGGUGAUUGAUUUCCGCAAAUUAAAUAAAGCUACUAAAAAAGAUCAUUACCCUUUGCCUUUCAUCGAUCAAAUGCUAGAAAGAUUAUCCAAACAUACACAUUUUUGCUUUCUAGAUGGCUACUCUGGUUUCUCUCAAACACCUGUGUCAGCUGAUGAUCAAGAAAAGACUACUUCUACUUGCCAUUUCGGUACCUUUUCUUAUAGACGUAUGCCUUUUGGUUUAUGUAAUGCACUUGCUACCUUUCAAAGAUGCAUGAUGGCUAUAUUCUCUGACUUUUGUGAAAAGAUUUGUGAAGUUUUCAUGGAUGAUUUCUCUGUUUAUGGAUCUUGUUUUGAUGAUUGCUGAGCAACCUUGAUCGAGUUUUGCAGAGAUGUGAAGAAACUAACCUUGUCUUGAAUUGGGAGAAGUGCCACUUGAUGGUUAAUGAAGGUAGUCUUGGGGCAUAAAAUUUCUGAAAGAGGUAUUGAAGUUGACAAAGAUAAAGUUGAUGCUAUUGAAAAGAUGUCGUGUCCCAAGGACAUCAAAGGUAUAAGAAGUUUCCUUGGUCAUGCCGGUUUCUAUAGGAGGUUCAUUAAGGACUUCUCAAAAAUUUCCUGGCCUCUGACUAACCUAUUACAAAAAGAUAUUCCUUUUGUCUUUGAUGAUGAUUGUGUAGAAGCAUUUGAAAUACUUAAGAAAGCCUUGAUUUAUGCACCUAUUGUUCAACCACCUGAUUAGAAUUUACCCUUUGAAAUCAUGUGUGAUGCUAGUGACUAUGCUGUAGGUGCUGUUCUAGGACAAAGAGUUGAUAAAAAAUUAAAUGUUAUUCAAUAUGCUAGUAAAACUCUAGACAAUGCCUAGAGAAAUUAUGCUACUACUGAAAAGGAAUUCUUAGCAGUUGUAUUUGCUUAUGAUAAUUUCAGACCUUAUAUUGUUUAUUCUAAAGUAACUGUUCACACGGAUCAUGCUGCUAUUAAAUAUCUUAUGGAAAAGAAAGAUGCUAAACCUAGACUUAUUAGAUGGGUUCUCCUGCUACAAGAAUUUGAUUUGCAUAUUAUUGAUAGAAAGGGAGCUGAGAAUCCCGUUGCAGACAACUUGACUAGGUUAGAGAAUGUUCUUGAUGACCCACUACCUAUUGAUGAUAGCUUUCUUGAUGAACAAUUAGCUGUCAUAAAUGCUUCUCGCACUGCUCCAUGGUAUGAUGAUUAUGCUAAUUACAUUGUUGCUAAAUUUAUACCACCUAGUUUCACAUACCAGCAAAAGAAAAGGUUUUUCUAUUAUUUAAGACAUUACUUCUGGGAUGACCCACACCUUUAUAAAGAAGGAGUAGAUGGAGUUAUUAGAUGUUGUAUACUUGAGCAUGAACAGGAACAGAUCCUACGCAAGUGUCACUCUGAAGCUUAUGGAGGACACCAUGCUGGAGAUAGAACUGCACAUAAGGUAUUGCAAUCCGAUUUUUAUUGGCCUACUCUCUUCAAGGAUGCCCAUAAGUUUGUCUUAUCUUGUGAUGAAUGUCAAAGAAUUGGUAAUAUUAGUAGACGUCAAGAAAUGCCUAUGAAUUAUUCACUCGUUAUUGAACCAUUUGAUGUUUGGGGCUUCAAUUAUAUGGGACCAUUUCCUGAUACGUCUCCAACGUAUCUAUAAUUUUUGAUUGCUCCAUGUUAUAUUAUCUACUGUUUUGGACAUUAUUGAGCUUUAUUAUCCACUUUUAUAUUAUUUUUGGGACUAACCUAUUAACCGGAGGCCCAGCCCAGAAUUGCUGUUUUUUGCAUGUUUUAGGGUUUCGAAGAAAAGGAAUAUCAAACGGAGUCCAAACGGAAUGAAACCUUCGGGAAUGUGAUUUUCUCAACGAACAAGACCUAGGAGACUUGGACCCUACGUCAAGACACAAAAGAGGAGGCCACGAGGUAGGGGGCGCGCCUACCCCCCAGGUGUGCCCUCCACCCUCGUGGGCCCCCUGUUGCUCCACUGACGUAAUUCUUCCUCCUAUAUAUACCUACGUACCCCCAAACGAUCAGAUACAGAGCCAAAACCCUAAUUCCACCGCCGCAACUUUCUGUAUCCACGAGAUCCCAUCUUGGGGCCUGUUUCGGAGCUCCACCGGAGGGGGCAUCGAUCAUGGAGGGCUUCUACAUCAACAACAUAGCCUCUCCAAUGAAGUGUUAGUAGUUUACCUCAGACCUACGGGUCCAUAGUUAGUAGCUAGAUGGCUUCUUCUCUCUUUUUGGAUCUCAAUACAAUGUUCUCCCCCUCUCUUGUGGAGAUCUAUUCGAUGUAAUCUUCCUUUUGUGGUGUGUUUGUUGAGACCGAUGAAUUGUGGGUUUAUGAUCAUGUCUAUCUAUGAACAAUAUUUGAAUCUUCUCUGAAUUAUUUUAUGUAUGAUUGGUUAUCUUUGCAAGUCUCUUGGAAUUAUUAGUUUGUUUUGGCCUACUAGAUUGAUCUUUCUUGCAAUGGGAGAAGUGCUUAGCUUUGGGUUCAAUCUUGUGGUGUCCUUUCCCAGUGACAGUAGGGGCAGCAAGGCACGUAUUGUAUCAUUGCCAUCGAGGAUAACAAGAUGGGGUUUAUUUCAUAUUGCAUGAAUUUAUCUCUCUACAUCAUGUCAUCUUGCUUAAGGCAUUACUCUGUUUUUAACUUAAUACUCUAGAUGCAUGCUGGACAGCGGUCGAUGAGUGGAGUAAUAGUAGUAGAUGUAGAAUCAUUUCGGUCUACUUGUCACGGACGUGAUGCUUAUAUACAUGAUCAUACCUAGAUAUUCUCAUAACUAUGCUCAAUUCUGUCAAUUGCUCAAUAGUAAUUUGUUCACCCACCGUAGAAUACUUAUGCUCUUGAGAGAAGCCACUCGUGAAACCUAUGGCCCCCGGGUCUAUCUUUAUCAUAUUAAUCUACCAAUACUUAGUUAUUUUCUUUUGCUUUUACUUUGCAUCUUUAUCAUAAAAUUACCAAAAAUAUUAUCUUAUCAUAUCUAUCAGAUCUCACUCUCUUAAGUGGCCGUGUAGGGAUUGACAACCCCUUAACGUGUUGGUUGCGAGGAUUUAUUUGUUUUUUGCAGGUGUGAGGGACUCGCGCGUAGCCUCCUACUGGAUUGAUACCUUGGUUCUCAAAAACUGAGGGAAAUACUUACGCUACUUUGCUGCAUCAUCCCUUCUUCUUCGGGAAAAACCAACGCAGUGCUCAAGAGGUAGCAAGAAGGAUUUCUGGCGUCGUUGUCGGGGAGGUCUACGCAAAAGUCAAUAUACCAAGUACCCAUCACAUACCCUUAUCUCCCGCAUUACAUUAUUUGCCAUUUGCCUCUCGUUUUCCUCUCCCUUAUCUUCUUCGUUGACCCCUGAGUUGGAAAUCUUUCACUUUAAACAAAGACUAGGAGAAAACUUAAAAGAUGCCUGGUUGAGAAUAAUGGAGUCUUAUCAUAAUUGUACCUCUGAAAUAACCUGAGAAUUUUGCUUUGCAAUUUUUAUGUUGGAUUAAAUAUGUCUCAUAGACAACUCUUGGAUUGCGUUGCCAAAGGCAAUUUUAUUGAAAUCGAUCCCCAUAUUGCGCUUGAAAUUAUAGAAGGUAUAGUAGGAACACUACCUCAACAAAAGGGGCCUCAUCCUACGCAGGAAGAGACACAAGUUUUUGAAUUUUUUUGUGAAGUUACUAAAUUUUUAGAGAAGUCUCUUGAACCUCUUAAGAACGUUAGCGGAAAUAUUCACCGAAUGAAUAUGUUCAUUACUCUUUGCAAUAUGUGGUUGGAUUCUUUAUAUCUAAAAAUUUCAGAAUAUGAUGGGAAACGUAAAGAACCCCUCGGAUUCGAGCUUGAUUCUUCUAAAAAGUUGAAAACCAAAGAUGGCAAUACCUAGAUCUAUCCUUGCUUGUUAUGCCUAGCUAGGGGCAUUAAACGAUAGCGCUUGUUGGGUGGCAACCCAAUUUUCUUUUUAUUCCUUGCUUUUUGCUCCUGUUUAGUAAUAAAUAAUUUACCUAGCCUCUGUUUUGGUUGUGUUUUUUGUGUUUAAUUAGUGUUUUUCCAAGUAGAACCGUUGGGAAGACUUGGGGAAAGUCUUGUUAAACUUGAUGUAAAAAACAGAAACUUUAGCGCUCACGAGAACUGCUGUAAUUUUUAUUUGGAAAGUGCUAUUUCGUUAAUUCUUUUUGCAGAUGAUUAAUAGAUAAAUUCCUCACGUUUAGCAAUUUAUUUUAGAAUUUGUGGGGUUACAUAUCUUCCGCUAGCUACAGAUUACUACAGACUGUUCUGUUUUUGACAGAUUCUGUUUUUCGUGUGUUGUUUGCUUAUUUUGAUGAAUCUAUGGCUAGUAAAAUAGUUUAUAAACCAUAGAGAAGUUGGAAUACAGUAGGUUUAACAACAAUAUAAACAAAGAAUGAGUUCAUUACAGUACCUUGAAGUGGUCUUUUGUUUUCUUUCGCUAACAGAGCUCACGAGAUUUUCUAAUUUGAGUUUUGUGUUGUGAAGUUUUCAAGUUUUGGGUAAAGAUUUUAUGGAUUAUGGAACAAGGAGUGGCAAGAGCCUAAGAUUGGGGAUGCCCAUGGCACCCCCAAGAUAACCUAAGGACACCUAAAAGCCAAAGCUUGGGGAUGCCCCGGAAGGCAUCCCCUCUUCCGUCUACUUCUAUCGGUAACUCUACUUGGAGCUAUAUUUUGAUUCACCACAUGAUAUGUGUUUUGCUUGGAGCGUCUUGUAUUAUUUGAGUCUUUGCUUUCUAGUUUACCACAAUCAUCCUUGCUGUACACACCUUUGGAGAGAGCCAUACAUGACUUGGAAUUUGUUAGAAUACUCUAUGUGCUUCGCUUAUAUCUUUUGAGUUAUAUAGUUUUGCUCUAGUACUUCACUUAUAUCUUUUAGAGCACGAUGGUGGAUUUGUUUUAUAGAAACUAUUGAGCUCUCAUGCUUCACUUAGAUUAUUUUGAGAGUCUUAAUAGCAUGGUAAUUUGAUUAAAAUCCUAAUAUGCUAGGUAUUAAAGAUUCGUAAAAUUUUCUUAUGAGUGUUUUGAAGACUAAGAGAAGUUUGAUGCUUGAUGAUUGUUUUGAGAUAUGGAGGUAAUAAUAUCAAAGUCGUGCUAGUUGAGUAGUUGUGAAAUAGAGAAAUACUUGUGUUGAAGUUUGCAAGUCCCGUAGCAUGCACAUAUGGUAAACAUUAUGUAACAAAUUUGAAACAUGAGGUGUUAUUUGAUUGUCUUCCUUAUGAGUGGCGGUCGGGGACGAGCGAUGGUCUUUUCCUACCAAUCUAUCCCCCUAGGAGCAUGCGCGUAGUACCGAGGUUUUUGAUGACUUGUAGAUUUUGCAAUAAGUAUGUGAGUUCUUUAUGACUAAUGUUGAGUCCAUGGAUUAUACGGACUCUCACCCUUCCAUCCUUGCUAGCCUCUUCGCUACCGUGCAUUGCCCUUUCUCACAUUGAGAGUUGGCGCAAACUUUGCCGGUGCAUCCAAACCCCGUGAUAUGAUACGCUCUUUCACACAUAAACCUCCUUAUAUCUUCCUCAAAACAGCCACCAUACCUACCUAUUAUGGCAUUUCCAUACCCAUUCCGAGAUAUAUUGCCAUGCAAUUUUCCACCAUUCCGUUCAUCAUGACACAUUCAUCAUUGUCAUAUUGCUUAGCAUGAUCAUGUAGUUGACAUAGUAUUUGUGGCAAAGCCACCAUUCAUAAUUGUUUCAUACAUGUCACUCUUGGUCCAUUGCAUAUCCCGGUACACCGCCGGAGGCAUUCAUAUAGAGUCAUCUUUUGUUCUAGUAUCGAGUUGUAAUCAUUGAGUUGUAAAUAAAUAGAAGUGUGAUGAUCAUCAUUUCCUAGAGCAUUGUUCCAAGUGAGGAAUUAUAAAAAAGAGAAAGGCCAUAAAAAAGAGAAAGGCCAAAUAAAAAAAUGAGACAAAAAGAGAGAAGGGACAAUGUUACUAUCCUUUGCCACACUUGUGCUUCAAAGUAGCACCGUAAUCUUCAUGAUAGAGAGUCUCUUGUUUUAUCACUUUCAUAUACUAGUGGGAAUUUUUCAUUAUAGAACUUGGCUUGUAUAUUCCGAUGGGACGUAGUCGAGGAGUAGUUUUGUUCUGGAAGAGGGGGAUUAACAUAUCACUAAGAUCUUAUGGAAGGAGGCAUGUGGACGUGGAUGUUACGGAGGAGGAUGGGAGGAUAUGGAGGCUCACAGGGGUGUAUGGUGAAUCAGAAUUGGAGCGGAAAGUUGAGACAUGGAAGAUGAUGCGCAUCCUUGGGCAGCAACACCAAAACGGGCGUCCGUGGUUGUGCCUGGGGGAUUUCAAUGAGAUUCUUACCGGGGGUGAGAAGAUAGGGGGAGCUGUUCGUCCUCAACGGUUCAUGGAUAAUUUUAGGGAGGCUCUGGAGGUGUGCGGGCUUUGUGAUAUUGGUUAUGAAGGAGAGAAGUUUACAUGGAGAAACCACAGUAAGGAGGUGGAUUUGUACAUUUGUGAGCGCCCUGAUAGGGCUACGGCCAACGCAAAGUGGUGCGAGUGGUUCCCUGAGUUCAAUGUGAUCAAUGGUGCCCGUUGACAUUCUGACCACAGGCCGGUUAUUGUAAGCACACAAGGGGAGCCAAGGAGAGCAGGUGGAGGUGAUCGAGGCUUCCGUUUUGAGGCUUGGUGGCUGCAGGAAGAGGGGUGCAGUGAUGUGAUCCAAGGAGCUUGGGAGGAGGGGUGUCUAAAGGACAGAGGUGAUGUCGCGUCUGCUAUGACCAAUGUGGCAGGGAGAAUGAGGAAAUGGAGCCGGGAGGUGGCGGGAGAGUUAGAGGAGCGCCUGAGGAAAGCACGGCGUGAGCUGGAAAACUGCAUGCGGGCGCCAGUCUUGGAUGCCUUGUCGAGGAACUAGAGGGCAAGAAAAAUACCAAAGCUAACAACAUUCCCAUGUCACAUGGCUCCGGGACGGAAAUAGGAGCACAAAGUACUUUAUGGCCGUGGCAUCAACGAAGAGAAAGGCAAACCGGAUUAAGAAGUUAAGAAGGGAGGAUGGCACGGAGGUGAAGGAAGGGGAGGAGAUGACUAACUAUGUCUGUUCAUUUUUUCAGGAUCUCUUCAGUUCAGCGGGUGUAAACCGACUACCGGGACUCAUAAAUAAGGUCCAACCCCAUGUGACUCCGGCAAUGAGAUCCAUACUGGAAGCAGAAGUAACACGGGAAGAGGUUAAGGCGGUGCUUGACCAUAUUGGUGAUUUAAAGGCGCCGGGUCCGGACGGUAUGCCCUCCAUCACCUAUAAGAAGCAUUGGCAUUUUAUGGGAAAUAAAGUAGUUGAUGAGGUGCUUGCGGUGCUGAAUGGUGGUGAUAUGCCGCACAGGUGGAACGAUACGGUUGUAGUCCUUAUACCGAAGGUAAAGAACCCCAACAGAAUAAAGGAUCUACGGCCGAUAAGCCUCUGCAACGUGGUUUACAAGAUAGUCUCCAAGGUUAUAGCAAACCGACUCAAACUUGUGCUCCCGGAUAUUAUUUCCUUGAACCAGAGCGCCUUUGUCCCAGAUCGGAUGAUCACUGACAACAUGCUUGUGGCCUAUGAGUUGUCGCAUUAUCUUCUUAACAAGAAGAAGGGAAAGGAGGGCAUCGCAGCGGUGAAAGCGGAUAUGAGUAAAGCAUAUGAUAGAGUUGAAUGGGAGUUUCUAAGGGCAAUGCUGAGCAAGUUGGGAUUUGGUACUCGCUGGAUCGAUUUGGUCAUGAAGUGUGUAUGCUCUGUAAGAUACCAAAUAAAAAUAAAUGGUGUUCUGACCGAUCAAUUCACUCCCUCUCGAGGUCUCAGGCAAGGGGAUCCAGCGUCGCCAUACCUAUUCGUCAUCUGUGCGGACGGGUUGUCAGCCCUGCUACAUGAUGCGGAGGCGACGGGGAGGAUAACCGGGGUCAAGAUCUGCCCGCAAGCACCGGUGGUCUCGCAUCUGCUCUUCGCUGACGAUUCAGUCCUACUCUUGAAAGCUAGGCAAGCGGAGGCACAGGAGCUGCGCCAUGCACUAGAUCUCUAUGAGGCAUGCUCUAGGCAAUGUAUCACCCUCGAGAAGUCAGCGAUCAUGUUCAACCCUAACACCAGAGCAGCGAUCAAAUCAGUUGUCAAGAACGCCUUGCAAAUUCAGAGCGAAUCAUGGAAUGAGAAGUACCUUGGUUUGCAUGUUCACGUUGGUAAAUCAAGUCGGAAAGCCUUUGCAUUCGUCGAGGGAGCUAUGGCAGGCCGAGUAUAUGGCUGGAAAGAAAGGCUUAUUGCAAAGGAGGGCAAAGAAACCUUGGUCACGACGGUCGCUCAAGCCAUCCCCACCUUUGCUAUGUCUUGUUUCUACUUGACAAAUCGUUCUAUGAGGAACUAAGCUCUUGGGUAGGAAAUUAUUGGUGGAGUCAACAGGACAAGGUUCACCCCAUCCAUUGGAUCGGCUAGAAAACACUAACCAAGCCAAAAGCUCAGGGGGGUUUAGGGUUUCGAGACAUGCAUGAUUUCAACAUUGCUUUACUAUCUAGGCAGAUUUGGAGACUCAUCCAACACCCAGAUUCUCUUUGUGCGCAAGUACUGCAGGCUAGGUAUUUUCCGAGCGGCAAGAUCCUUGAUGCUGUCCCUAAAGAUGGUAUUUCCUAUUCCAGCGCAGUCUACUUCAUGGACUUGAACUGUUUCGGGAGGGGUUUAUUUGGAGGAUUGGUGAUGGGACUCAAGUUAGCAUUUGGUCAGAUCCUUGGAUACCUCGGCCCUGGUCACGUCGAGUCAUAACACCCAAAGGACAAAACCUUCUAGAGCGAGUCUGCGGCCUCAUUGAUCCAGCUACCGGGCAGUGGGAUGAGCAACUGGUUCGAGACACAUUUUGGGCAGACGACAUCAAGCACAUCCUCCAAAUACCACUUCACGAAGGGGUCCAAGACUUUAUUGCAUGGCAGUAUGAUACUAAGGGUGCCCACUCUGUCAAGAGUGCUUAUAAACUAAAACGGCAACUUGUGCUGCACACGCAGAAUGGAGGGGAGGGAGGAAGUGACUCUAAUCCUGGAAAUCUGAACACCGCCAAAGAUGACUCCUGCUAGCGGCUGUGGAGAUUGCCUUGUCCAAAAAAUAUCCAAAUGUUCACUUAGCGCCUCAAACACAAGUCCCUCGCCCUUCGCACCAAUGUAGCACGCAAGGGGAUCCCAAUCAAUGACACAAAAUGCUUGUUCUGUGGUAAGGCUGAUGAGGACGUAGCACACCUUUUCAUUAAGUGCAAGACAGUGAAGGAAGUGUGGAGGGACUUAGCAAUGGAGAAGGAACGAAUGGAGCUGGAGACCAUUACGUAUGUGCAUGUAAUGGUAGACUACCUCUGGGGUCUGGAUGAAAAAAAGCGGCUUCAUGUGCUCACCUUCUGGUGGUUGUGGUGGUCAAACAGGAACAAGCUUAGAGAGGGAGAACUGCCUCUCGCGGCGGCAGAAGUGGCGAGAAGGACCAGAAGCAACGUUCUCGAAUAUCUGCAAAUUUUCAGGAAAGCAGAUCUGAACGUAAACCCGGAUAGAUGGCGACCUCCGGUCCAGGCUGGCUACAAGAUUAAUGUGGAUGGCUCCUUUGUUCCUGGCCAGAACCAUGCAGGGUGGGGUGUGGCGGUGAGAUCAGAAGAGGGGGUCCUCUUACACGCCCGAGCAGGGAGAAGGGACAAUGUUUGUGAUGUUUUUGCAGCUGAAGCUAUUGCCAUGUCACAUGCAAUCACAACAGCAGCAGAGCUCGGCUUGGUUCGUGUGGAGUUCAAGACUGACUCCCAGCUUCUGGCGGAGGCAUUGGAUUUGUGGAAGGUGGAUUCUUCGGCGUACGCGGCGGUUAUCGAGGACAUGAAAUACCAACUGAAACUCUGGUUUUCUUAUUUCUCUGUCUCUGUUUGUCGUCGUACAGCAAACUCUGUCGCUCAUGAACUGGCUAGUAUUGGUCGCUUGUGUGAGCCUGACCACUGCAUGCAGUGGCAGGAGGAUGUACCUGCCCAAGUGGGCGCUUGUGUUGUGGGCGAUUUGCCCGCACGUUGAGUAAUAAAGCCAUGUUGCUUUCAAAAAAAAAGACAUCACAUGUGGCUAGGUCAACCUCAUGACCCUGCCAUCAUCCCUCUAAACUUGAGUGUUGAUUAAUAAAGCCUAGCAUGUUGCUAACAAAAAGGAGAGUAACUCCUAUUCGGUGUUCAAGUCAUCAUGUACAGUGCACUUGGUACAUGGCGCCCAAGCCCAUAUUGGUUUUGAGAAUGGUUUAUUUUAGGUCAGUUUUUAUAGUCCUUUCAGGGCCAGUUUUUAAAGUUUUAUUUACUUCUUUUUAAAUUUUUUAUUUUUCUAUUCUCUUUUUGUGAAUAUUGUUUGAAUUCAGGUUUUUGAAGUUCAUUAACCUUUUUUGUGAAUUUUUUAAAAUUGCAAACAAUUUCCAAAUUUGCAAACACAUUUCAAAUGCAUGAUGUUUUUUUAACCAUAUCUUUUAUCAGCUGGUGAACUUUUCUAAAACUCUGUGAACUUUUUUCCAAAUUGGCGAACUUUUUUGAACUCCUUUUUUUAAAAAUUGCAUUUUUUAUCUGUGACACACGUGAACCUUUCCGAAGCCCAUAAUAUUUGGAAAUCUGUGAAUUUUUUGAAUGGUCAAUGCUCAUGUCAACAAUACAAGGCUCUAGUCAACAAAAGGGUCAAGUCAAUGAUCAACACGUAAAGUUACCAGAUCAAUNNNNNNNNNNNNNNNNNNNNNNNNNNNNNNNNNNNNNNNNNNNNNNNNNNNNNNNNNNNNNNNNNNNNNNNNNNNNNNNNNNNNNNNNNNNNNNNNNNNNNNNNNNNNNNNNNNNNNNNNNNNNNNNNNNNNNNNNNNNNNNNNNNNNNNNNNNNNNNNNNNNNNNNNNNNNNNNNNNNNNNNNNNNNNNNNNNNNNNNNNNNNNNNNNNNNNNNNNNNNNNNNNNNNNNNNNNNNNNNNNNNNNNNNNNNNNNNNNNNNNNNNNNNNNNNNNNNNNNNNNNNNNNNNNNNNNNNNNNNNNNNNNNNNNNNNNNNNNNNNNNNNNNNNNNNNNNNNNNNNNNNNNNNNNNNNNNNNNNNNNNNNNNNNNNNNNNNNNNNNNNNNNNNNNNNNNNNNNNNNNNNNNNNNNNNNNNNNNNNNNNNNNNNNNNNNNNNNNNNNNNNNNNNNNNNNNNNNNGUUUUUAAUGGUUUUUUUUUGUUUUCUUAGUUACUUUAUCGGUAUUCAUUGUUUUCCAUUCCUUUGUACUUGUUUAUUCAAUUUUUCUUUCUUUUGUUUUCUUUUUUCCUUUGCUUUUUGUUUUUUUUUCAUUCUACAUUUAUCGUAUAUGUCAUGAACUUUUUUCUAAUACACGCUCAAUAUUUUUCCAAUAAAGGCUUAACAUUUUUGUAAUACACAGUCAACCUUUUUUCUUUACACAUUUUUUAUAUUUUCAAAUGCUUGAUUAACAUUUCUUAAAUACAAGACCAUCAUUUUCUAAAUACAUGGUUAACAUUUUUAUUUGCAUAUUUUAUUAUUUUGAAAUUCUUGACUAACAAUUUUCAAAUACAAGAUUAAUUUUGUAAAUACAUGGUCAACAAUUUCUUCUAUAUACAUUUAACAUUUUUUUCAAAUGCUUGUUUAACAUUUUUCGAAUGCAAGAUUAAUAUUCAUUGAAUACAUGGUCAACAUUUUUUCAUUAGACAUUUAACAUUUUUUUUUCAAAUGCAUGAUUAACAUUUUUUAAAUACAUGAUCAAAUUUUUUCAUGCACAUUUUUUGUGUGUAUGUGAGAAGCAUUUUCUCAAUACACAUUUACCAACUUUCAAUUGCUUGAUUAACCUUAAACUUUUUUUGCAAUUUUUUAAAUGCAAAGUGUUUUUUGUAAUAUAUUUGUUUAGAAUAUUUGGAUGUAAAAAACUUGAAAACAAAAACAUGAAACCCCCCAGAAAAUUCGAGGUUGUGGCUUUCGGUGAGCUGGGCCAGCACAUCUGGCACUUGCUGUGACGCGAGGGUUCCCUGCAUCUCACUAUAAGCGAGACAUAGGGGCGUCCUGCCUUACCUUGUCAUGCUUUGCUGGCUUUUGGACGGUGCUUAUAAAAAGUCCCAGACUAGCAAAAAAAUGCAUCUUAAGCCCACCCGGGAGACAAGCCAGACCCUCUCCAGGACCGGGUCGUCGGGCCUUGCUGCGCGGGGAGAAUAUCUAGUGCUUCGGCACCCUGGGUGCUAUAGAGAUACAGCAUCCGAGAGCCGUUGGAUCUGAAAUUCAACGGGCUCCCGGGAAUUCUGAAACAUUUUGCAAAAAGCCAUUUAGAAGUCCGAUAAUUAGGCAUACAUUCAGCAAAUCCAGCAACUCCCAAAUACCGUCCAUCUGAUACCCGAUGGCCAGGAGCCCGUAUCACGGUAGCACCUGGGUCCUUGGGAGGACCAGAUAUUCUUCCGGUUACCCAUGCCUACCCCUCAAAGAAAAAAAGGCUACACAUGCCCAUAUUUAGGACCCGGACACACAAUAACGAAACCAUCCGAGGACCAAACCGCAAAACCUCCCCCUCCCGUCGGCCAAGGAAGGAAGACUCUUCCGCCCGAUAAAGCAUCGGAAGUCUCCUCCCCACCGCGCCGAGUCAAACAAACCUCCCCCAAUUCCAUCCCCAUUCCCCAAAAUUUUCCCCACCGGCGACGACGCCCUCCCCAAAUCCGAUCCGCCGCCGCCGUUGACGCCAGCCAUGGCCGCCGCCUGCCGCGCCCUGCUGCUCCUCCUCGCCGCCGCCGCGGUGGCCCUCCUCGCGGCGCCCCCGGCGGCCGCCGCCCGCCCCUGCGGCCGCGCGCAGACGCUGCUCAUCUCCUUCUCCUCCUUCUCCCGCCCCAACCCGGACCCGGCCGACCCCUCGCCGCUCACCACCACCGUCGUCACCGUCCUCCGCGUCCGCCGCCUCGGCCCGCACCGCUUCCACGCCCACGACCAGAACCACCUCCAGAUCCGCCGCCCCGCCGAGUCCCUCCCCGCCGUCGGCACCCCCGAGACCGACGCCGACGCCGCCUCCUCCUUCCAGGAGCGCGCCAAGGACAUCCUCGUCGUCGUCUCGGGCCUGCUCUUCGGCUUCGGCUGCGGCGCCCUCACCGCCGCCUCCAUGUACCUCGUCUGGUCCCUCGUCGCCUCCACCGGCGCCGCCAGCCCCUACGAGGAGCUCUACAGCGACGACGAGGACGACGACGGCGCCGAGAGCCCCAAGAAGGCCGGCUACGUCAUCAUCCACGGCGCCGAGGACGUCGUCGCCGGUAAGAACUAACUAGGAUCGGGCUUUGCAAUCGUCGUCGGCAGGCAGAGGAUUCGGGUUGCAUAAUUAUAUGGAAUUGUGGAGUACUCUUAUACUAUAUUCGCACCUAUGAUACGUGUUGCGCCUGUUUACCGUUCUCUAUGUGUGUGUGUGUGUGGUUGGGGAGGACAAAUUGUGAAGAAUGUGAUUCCUAUCUGUUCUUACAUAUAUAUGGUCAAUUUCAUGCCCAAACAUGAUUAUGUAUCCAUCCUUAAGCAUGAAACUUGAUGGUUUCUGCUGCCUAGUAAAAUUGCAACAUGUAAACAACCUGUGGUGAAUUGUAGCAAGUUGUUUGUGCAGUUAUCGUCACCGAAUGUGCAGAAUUUUCACCCCUGACAGGGGUAUCAGUCGAGUGAUGUGUCUAUUUCGAUGGGAUCGGGGCCUGGUGUAGAUAAUCCUGGAGUGAUCAGUCAUUUGUCUGCAUAGGGACACCUCAUAUAGUCAUGUUUGCAUCAUUUCCCACUAAAACCCGACCCCUGAGUGUGACUCUGGAACCUCCUUGGAUGUAUGCAUGGCUUCCAAUUAGGCAAAGUUAGGUGCAGUGCACCGACUGUCUAAUGCUAUGGUUUCUAGUAAUAAACUGAUUUCUGAUCCCCUUGAAUUUCUCCACUCCACUACUUAAUCGCGGAACCUACUCCUGAAAUGAAAUUUUAUGAAAUGUGAGCUCUUGGAUGGCUCCAUUUCUUCUCUUUACCCCUGACCCAUAUUAAUAACGGUAUGGCACCGACAAUAUAACACAUUGGUUCCCAGUAAUAGACUGAUUUCUGAUCCCCUUGAAUUUACUCCUGACCCAUAGUAAUAUACUGUCCACACUGUUGCACCUGUCUAAUGUUCUCUAUGUGUAUGGUUGGGGGCAAGAAAUUGUAUAUGUGCUUUAUAUCUGUUCUUGCAUAUGGUCAUUUUCAAACUGAAACAUGCUUAGUAUCCAUCCUGAAGCAUGGAACCUGCUGGAUUCUGUCUUCUGGUUCUUACUUAUGGUGAAUCGUAGUAAGCUGUUUGUGCAGUUGUGCAGAAAUUGGGGCGUGAUGUAGAUCAUCCUGUAGUGAUCAGUCAUUUGUCUGCAUAGCGACACCACAUGCACCACAUGCAGUUAUGUCUGUAUCAUUUCUAACUGAAACUUGUCCUGUGAGGGUGACUCUGGAACAUCCUUGGCACCUGCAUGGCUGUGCAUUAGGUAAUGUUAGGUGCAGUGCACCGACAAUCUAACCCUAUGAUUUACAGUAAUAAACCGAUAUCCNNNNNNNNNNNNNNNNNNNNNNNNNNNNNNNNNNNNNNNNNNNNNNNNNNNNNNNNNNNNNNNNNNNNNNNNNNNNNNNNNNNNNNNNNNNNNNNNNNNNNNNNNNNNNNNNNNNNNNNNNNNNNNNNNNNNNNNNNNNNNNNNNNNNNNNNNNNNNNNNNNNNNNNNNNNNNNNNNNNNNNNNNNNNNNNNNNNNNNNNNNNNNNNNNNNNNNNNNNNNNNNNNNNNNNNNNNNNNNNNNNNNNNNNCUAAGAAAUUAUGAAAUUACGUAUGUGCUUUUUAUCUGUUUUUACAUAUGGUCAAUUUCAAACUGAAACAUGCUUUUGUAUCCAUCCUGAAACAUGGAACCUAUAGGAUUCCGUGUGCUGUGUAGCACAAUCGUAACACAUUUACAAUCUGCGGUGAAUUGUAGUGAGCCGUUCUUGCAGUUGUGCAUAAAUUGGGACCUGAUGUAGAUUAUCCUGGAGUGACCAGUCAUUUGUCUGCAUAGUGACACCUCAUGCAGUUAUGUUUGUAUCAUUUCUCACUAAAACUUGUCCUGUGAGGGUGACUCUGGAAUCUCCUUGGCAGCUGCAUGGCUUGGAAUUAGGUAAUGUUAGGUGCAGUGCAUGUGAGGCGGAUAAUCUAGUGCUAAGGUUCCUGGUAAUAAACUGCAUUCUGUUACCCUCCUUGAAAUUUUGUGAAAGGUGAACUCUCUCCAAUGGCCCCAGCUCCUCUUGUUGGCGCCGACCCGUAGUAAUAGCUCAACAUAUCAUAUCAUUUUGCUUUUUGGAAACUAUCUGCCUUCAUUGAAUUUGGUAGAUGAUUGGAUUUGCCUUACUGAUGCAAAUGUUGCUGUAUUGAAAGCGUCUCUUGAGCGUAGUGCAUUAAAUCAUCGAGGCAUUUGUUAGAUGAUUGGGUUUGGUAAUAUCGCCCUGCCUCAGCGGUCCAGAUUUAUUAUUGCUUGCUAUGUUUCCGCUGGUAAUUAAGAGCUUGACCAACUGCAGCUUGCCUUUCUGCAAUAUACUUCCAGUUUGUCCUUAUGAAUUAAAGGAGCUUGAACAAACCGUAGCUUGCCUUUUUCUAAACAUUAGGUGUAGCGUUUCUUUCCUAGUACAUACACACAUUUUGUUUCUUUCGUAGUUCACCUUUGACUUUGAGUGGACGCGGUCCCGGGCGCACUGUAGGCAUCGCGGCGGUCCGCCCGAUAGACUCCACGCUCGCCUCGCCGCGCCGGUGAAGGUAACUAGUUUGUACACCGAGCAGGAAAUAAAUAGCUUUACCGUCAAUAGACUUGAUGAGGGAGCGGUCGCCACUCGCCAGGGAGCAUUGUCAGCUCUUGGGUUGCCAUGGCCGAAAGGCGAGGAGCAAGGUGGCACACAGAAGCAGCAGCGGCACCGGCUUCACAAGUGUGGGAGAAAACUUGUCCGAGCACCGUCUCCGGGAGUGACGCAAGAUAGGUCGCGCUAGAGACCUUCCAAGACCCCCGGCAUCUUUUGGGCGUCACACGUCCUUCCAACCAACGAGCGAGGUAGCGGGUGCCUGAGCAGGAUGACUCCCCCGACCAGAAGAAAGCACCGGAGACAAGGGGGUGAUGCAGCUUAAUUGUCUUGACGACACAUUUGCUGAAUGAGGCGCUGCAGCAUGUCAGCCACCAAGGUGAAGAGGUAGGGGGACAAAGGGCCCCCCUGGCGCAGUCCAACCUCCCUGGGACACCAUUUAGUAGCACCACAGAUCGGGUAGACUCCAAUGUCUUUGCUACCCAACCGACCCAGCGCAAGGAUGUCCAAGAGGGCUGCUCCAAAUCAACGAGUCGAAGGCCUUUGCAAAGUCAAGCUUCCCCGCAAGGGUGGGCGCCUUGCGCUUGUGACAGACCUAGGUGAUCUCAGAUGCGUAGAAAAAAGUUCUCAGCAAUGCACCUCCCUUUGAUGUAACCGGUUUGGUCAAGGUCUAAAAGGGCAGCCACCUCGGGCUGGAGCCUAUUUGUUUGCCCCUUGGCCAAACCCUUAAUGCUGGCAUUUUGAAGGGAGAUUGGGCGAAAAGAGGCUUACGUUUUAGAUUGUUGUCAAUACGUGUCACUGCUAAAAACAUGUAUCAAAAACAGGCUUACUUUAUAAAUAAAGCCAAAAGGCAGGAAGAUAGCAAUAACAACACAGAAAAGUAUCAAAAACACCCAAGCCCCAACGACGGGCGAGACGACAGGGGCCAGUACACGGCACGCAGGCCGGAAUAGAAAGAUCCAGCUAAAACUAAAGCAUCCGGCCCAAAAGAAGCAAUUAAACAUCCUGCUCUUGUCUGCAUAACUGAGACGCCGUCGCCCGGAUUUUGUAGAUCAGCAUAGAGAGCGCCUCUUGGUCGUCGACCUUAGUCAAUGAUUUCCACUGCUGCAGGAAAGCACACGAUUUAAAUAAGCAGUCAGCCGGUUUAGCCGGAAACACGUGCUCGAUAGUAAAUUUGUUCCUAGUUGUCCAUAGGACCAGCAUAAAGCACCCAAGCCCACCCAAAAGAUGCGCCUGGAUACACCGGAAAGGUUGGAUGCCAAGUUGCGCAACUCGGCAAAGGAGGCAGGGGCCCAAGAAACACGAAGCCAGUCCCGCACGCAACUCCAAAUGAGCUUAGCCAGGUGACAGUGAAAAAAAAUAUGUUCCGUGUCUUCCACAUCACCGCAAAGGGCACAAAACUGGGAGCCCGGUCCAUUUCUCUUACGAAUUUGAUUAGCCGAGGGCAACCGGCAUCGGAAAGCUUGCCACAAGAAAAUUUUAAUCUUAGGGGGAAUACGGGCCUUCCAAAUUUAGGAGAAACGAUUGGUAGGCAUGCCACCAACAAGCUUAGAGUAAAGAGACUUAACAGAAAAGUGUCCAGAGUCAGACAGCGGCCAAAGCACCGAAUCCCCGACCGUCGAGAGCAUAGGGAAGAGGGCAGUAAGACGUUGCCAAUCUUCAAACUCUACAGGCGACAGGGAGCGGCGAAAGGCCAGGUUCCACCCCUGGGAAGCUAGCUUCGCAAUUGAAAUAUUUGGAUCAGAGCAAUAGGAGAAAAGGGUAGGGAAGGUCACCGAGAGAGGUGAUUCUCCACACCACCAAUCUAGCCAAAACCUAAUCGAGGAUCCGUCCCCAACAACAAAAUUAACGAAAGAUUGAAAAACAGGUCUAACUUUGACCAGAGACUUCCAAAACUGAGAACCACCACGCGGCAGAGCAAACAUCGGGCUAGAGGACGGAAAAUAUUUAGCCUUAAGGAUCGACAGCCAGAGGGGCUGAUCCUCAGCGCUCAUAAUCUUCCACCACCAUUUAAUCAUCAAGCAUUGAUUCAUGAUGGAAGUGUUAAGAAUCCCUAACCCCCAAGGUUUUUGGGCCUACACAUCAAUUUCCAUUUAACAAAGCGAUAUUUGCGACGACUGUCCGCCGCAUUCCAAUAAAACGCCCCACGGUGUUUAUCAAAACUAGCAUGAAUCCCAGCCGACAAGAGAUAGAAGCCCAUCAGGAACAUGGGGAGGGAGGAGAGGCAAGCAUUAAUUAGAGCCACUUUACCCGCAUUCGUAUUAUAUCUACCCCGCCAGGGAAGGACCCUGUUGCCCACCUUUGAGACCACCGGGGCAAAAUCUUUGGCAUGAAGCACGUCCGGGGAAAUAGGCAAACCCAAGUAUUUGAACGGAAAGGAGCCCAGCUUACAGUUGAGAAGGUGGGCCACUCGCACGGCUUUCGACUCAUCCACACCAGUAACAACCACUUCGCUUUUGGCGAAGUUAAUCUUAAGCCCCGACAUUGCCUCGAAGCACAAUAAAAUAAACUUGAGGUGGGCAAGGCAGGUCUUAUUUAGCUCAACCAUAAUAAUAAUAUCGUCCGCAUAUUGGAGGUGGGUCAGACCAUGGGGAAUAAGAUUAGAACUAACCGGUGUGGGCAACAGGUGUGGGCCUGGGCUUAAUUUUCCUUCCAACCAUUAGCGCAAGUCAGUCAGUGCGUAAGCUACGUACAACUAUUUACGUAGGUAUAGCAAAAAAGCCCGUAUGCAGAUAAGCCAGCACGAUUCGUAUGAAAAACAGAUUUGUAAAUUUCUUAUCUCCCUUCGUUUUUAAUUAUGAGUCUUUUUAGAUAUUAUAAUAUGGACUACAUACAAAACAAAAUAAGUGAAUCUACACUCUAAAAUAAAUCUAUAUAUAUUUGUAUGUAAUUCGUACUGAAAUCUUUAAAAAGACUUAUACUUAGAUAUGAAGGGAGUAAGUCUUAUGUCAUUUGAUUUUGAACGCCAGUAUCGGGGGCACGGUCGCCAGGAGGGAGAUCGUAGCUGAUGGUUUCGUUCGCUGGGAGAGGCAUCUUUUAAUAAAAAUGCCAUCUAUUAAGAAAAAAUGCCAUCUCUUUAAGAGAUGGCAUUUUACCAUCACACUAAAAGUGUCAUGUUUAAAAAUAAAAACUUCAUAUCCUAAUAAAAAUGCCAUCUAUUAAUAAAUAAAAAAUGCCAUCUUUUAAAAUAAAACAUUCAUCUUAUAAAGAGAUGGCAUUUUAGCAUCACACCAAAAAUUUCAUCUUUUAUAAUAAAAUAUUCAUCUCUUAAUAAAAAAUGUCAUCUCCUAAUAAAUAAAAAAUGUCAUUUCUUAAAAAUAUUAAAAUGCCAUAUCGUAAUAAUACAAAUGCUAUCUCUUAAUAUCAAAAUGCUAUGUUACUAAUUAGUAAAAUGCCACACUCUUAUUAAAAAAACCAUGUAUCUAAGUGAUAAAAAAUCCAUCUCUUUAUAAAUAAAAAUUGCCAUCUCUUAAAAAUAUAAUAAUGACAUAUGUUAAUAACAGAAAUGUUAUCUCUAAAUAUGAAAAUGUCAUGUUACUAAUUAUUAAAAGGCCACGCUCUUAUUAAAAAAAUACAUGUAUCUAAGUGAUAAAAAAUUCAUCUCUUAAUUAAAAAUCAAAUCUCUUAAUUAAAAAUCCAUUCUCUUAAUUAAUAAAAAUGCUAUAUCUUAAUAAUAAAAUACUAUCUCUUAAUGUUAAAAUGCCAUGCUCUUAUAUUAAAAAAAACAUGUACCUAAGUGAGAGAAAACAUUGUUUGCCAGCUAGAUAGAAAAAAGAAGACCAAGGGGGCAGGGGGUGAAAAUGAAUGAAACCGACCCUUUUCCGAAACUUCAACACAAAAUGGCCCCAAUCUAAAAAUAUUUCCGAAACUAGCCCUUUUGCAUGACGCCGGGGACUAGGGCACCAUGCUACACGUCACUACCAUGGCACCCUAGCCCGGGGCGUCAUGCUAUCUAGCAUGGCGCCCCAGCUUUUGUGUUGAAGUUUCAAAAAAGGCUAGUUUCAUCAAUUUUCACACAGGGGGGAGGGGUAUGGGAUUCGAUUUCAGGUCCCUCACGAUGAGUGCUCACUCUCUUAACCACUCUGGUGGGCGGUGGAGUUUUCAAAAUAUAUAUGGCUCGGUCGCCAUGGGUUUUAGAAUCUGACGUGCCUUUGCUUGUACCAAGAUUCAUGCAACGAGAAACCAACAUGGGAAAGAGGGUUCGCUGUGAUUGCCACGCGGGGAACAUCACACUAGUAGAAAACAGGGAUUUGAUCCAGGCCGGAUCAGCCCAUUAGUCCCGGUUCAGUCCAGAACCGGGACCAAUGGAUGCAUUGGUUCUGGUUUGUGAGCCCAGGGGGCCGGCCGGGCCACGUGGGCCAUUGGUCCCGGUUCAUCUGAACCUUUUGAUCCCAGUUGGUGGGAUGAACCGGGACCAAUGGGCCUCGCUUCUGGCCUACAACCAUUGGUCCCGGUUCGUGCCUCAAACCGGGACUAAAGAUUAGACCGUUAGUUCCGGUUUGAGGCACGAACCAGGACUAAUGGGGUUGAGACCUUUAGUCCCUGUUCGUGCCAGGAACCGGUACUAAAGGUUCCAUUUUUAAACUCUACCCCCCCUGGAUCGCUUUUUCAGUUUUAAAAAAAAUAAAAGAAAAUGAUGGAAAUGUCAAAAAAAUAAAAGAAAAUAAGUUUCCCAUGUGAUAUGUGGUCUAGUUGUUGGGAAAAUUUGCAAAUGUGAAUUUUGACUUUAUUUGCAAAAUCUCUCUGAAAUUUGUAAAAAUGGGCAUAACUUUUGCAUACUAACUCGGAUGAAAAAGUUUUUUAUAUGAAAAAUCAUCUACUCAAAAAGUUACAUCCGAAUUUAAUCGGGGGAACCCCGUUAAACAUUUUCAAAAUCCUCAAAAACCUAAUAGAAAAAAGUUACGGGGCUUUUAAGAUCUAGAGUGAAAAAAAUCGAAAAAAAUUCAAACAGUGGGCAAACUGUGGUCAAACAAUGGUCAAACUUAUUCUAGAAUAUUAGUGUUACUAAAUAAUUAUUUCAGUUAUUUCAAUUUUGGUCAAACUGUGGUCAAACAAUGGUCAAACUAAUUAUUCAAGAAAUAUUAGUGUUACUAAAUAAUUAUUGUUUUUUAAAACAAUAGUUUCAAAAUGAAACUAUGAAAUGUGUCACUUCAUGCUCAAGCAAAAUUCCUGAAGGUUAAUAGGAUCGACAUCUUAGUAUUGUCAGGAAAACAACAAUUGCAGACUUGGAGCGAGGGAGAAUAGAACCCGGAAGUUAAGCGUGCUCAGACUGGGGGAGUGGGAGAAUGGGUGACCGUUCGGGAUGUUAGAUGAUUUGGAAUGAUGAGGGGUAAUUAGAGGAUAAAUUGAGAAGUGAUGAGAGGUGGUGAUUACAAACUAGAGGUUAAAAUAAUUCAGAAAUUUGAAAAUAAAAUAAAAAUUCAAAAAAAAAUCAAAAAAAAUCGUAAAAUUUCCUUUAGUCCCGGUUUGUGUUACCAACCGGGACUAAAGGUGGAGCUCCACGUGGCCGCGCCCUUUAGUCCCGAUUCUGGAUUGAACCGAGACUAAAGGGAUAGGCAUUAGUACCGACACUUUAGUCCCGGUUCCAGAACCGGGACUAAAGGCCCUUAUGAACCGGGAUAACAGGCCCUUUUUCUACCAGUGUCAGCUAACUACUAUUUCCGUUGAUUUUACACUGAGGUUCAAUUAUCCGCGCUAGGGUUUACCUACCGGUAGCGGAAGAAUCCCUACCCUAGCCGCCCAUGGCGACUAGGGUUUACCUACUCCACCGGCGUCUAGCCGGCGUUGAGUCUUCCCUACAGUCGUCUGAUCGCUCCGAUGGACCCUUGGGCUGGCCUUGGGAUUGGGACAUGACGAAGGGGUAGAUUGGUUCUGCCAGUAGUUGUGGCGGAUGUUUUUCGUCCAUGACCACGACAAUCGGCAAUGUGCAGGUUGAUCCUACCGCUACCAAGAUUCUGGACCUAGUGCAGGUUGAUAUAGAUAGAAAAUUCCUUUAUUCUAAACAGUUCAACUGUACUCUAAAUAAAUAUAGUGAUCCAAACGAUCUUAUAUUUCUUUACAUAUAGAAUAUAUUCACCUGCGGGUGAUAUGGAUAGACUCUUUCUACAAAAAACAAUAAAUAUCAGUCUUCCUCGGUCUCAAAAUGGGGCUUGCUUCGGUAGACCCCCCCUAACAAGUAGAAGGGCAGGUCAACGAAAGAAGGGUAUGCUCACCUCGUAUUAUAUGGUUGUAGCUGGUGUACGUAGACCGCGUGCAUGCAAAAAAAAACUGCCUGCACGAUCUACCCGCCCACCCCAUCUACUCGCCCGCGACCCCGUCUACUCGGCUGCCCCAUCCGAUCGCCGCCGCCGCGGAUCUCCGCCCUCCGACCCCGUCCGCCGCCGCCGUACGAGCUCGUCCGUAGCCGUCGUCGCCGUCCCAACGGCGUGCGUCGCAGCAUCUCAUCGUCAUUGUCCACCGCCUGGAUGUGAAGGCACCCCGUCUACUCCACCGCCCACCUCGUGUACUCGCCCGCCCCAUCCGAUUGCCGGCGCCGCGGAUCGCCGCCGUCCGACCCCGUCAGACGCCACCGUCGCCGUCCCAACGGCGUGCGUCGCCGCAUCUCACCGUCAUCAUCCACCCCCCGGACGUGAAGGGCCCGACGUGCCACGCCGCAUCCGGACCAGUCUCCCCACCCCCCGUCGCGGAUCCUACCAAACAUCCGGCCGGUGGCUCGUCGUGCACGUGGCCGGCUGGUAGAUUCAAGGCGGGGACAGCUGCCGUCGUCGAACGCCGGCGACGCCUACACCGCGGGGCAAGGUUUGUCAUCUAAACCUAGCGGGCAUGAUGGAUAGAAGUUAGGGCUAGUUAAGUGGCGAAUCAAGGAUAGAAGUUAGGGCUAGUUAAUUUAAAGAACGCUUAUUUGUCAUGACGACAUCACACAAUAUGCACACACCGCUGGGCAACCUCAACUAGUUGUUUCACACAACACAAAAAAGUGUUGUUUGAACCAUUGCAUUAAGAAAAAAAAAUCAUGGUAGCUGCUGGGUUCAUGGAUUACACGUCUUUCUCUUUUUUUGCAAACCAACAUGAGUUUUUGUCAUUGUUGUAAUCAACACUUCAAAUGUUUUGUAGUUUUGUGAGUUAGCUAGGCGUGUUGACAUGGACGAAGAAUCCGCAUUCGGGAGGGACGAGAAUGAUACUGAUAAGGUGACUAAGACUGAUAACGAUAAUUUGAACGGAGAUAUGACAACAACGACAAUGAUUCCGUCUCGUCAUAUGAUAUCUUACCUCCGGAUGAUUUUCAUAGUAAUGAACAUGGCGCAAAUAGUGAAAACGUAAGUGGCGUAUAUUUUGAUUUUAUUUUUAAAUUUGCAAAGUAUGGCAUGGCUAACUAUGUGUACAGAUUUGCAGGAAGAUGUGGAUGUUGACAAUGUGCAACAUAGUUGGCAGGAAUCAUUUGCAGAUAAUUUGAGCCAGGUUAGUUGAUAGAUGUUGUACAUCGAUCAACACUAUGAUUUAAAUGAGGGUUUAAGUGAUACUAAUUGACAUAUAUAUUUUCAAAUGAAUGUUGUAGGAUGAGUCAGAUGGUUCUUGCGUUGAUCACGAUGAGGGAGAUAUCGAUAUUGAGGAGGCUCAAAGGCAGCAGAAGAUGCUUGAGACACAUUGGAAGGUCAUAGCUAUGACCUUUCGGUCACAAGGGGAUGCAUACAUAUUCUACAACAAUCACGCCAGAGAGCACGGGUUUAGUAUCAGGAAACAGAAGGUGAAACGAGGUGCUUCGGGAAGCUCCUGGACCCCGAGGCGCAUAGAGACCGGGGGGUCCUCCUCCUCGUCCGGCGGCUCCCCCUGCCUCCACCUCCGCCCCGUCAAGCCGGAGCCCCAGGGCGCGCCUGUCAGCGCGCGCACCCGCAGCUCCGGCGUCCGCAUCGGCGACAACGCCUCCCCCACCGGCCGCUUCGUCCUCGUCAAGCCCAAGCCAGAGCCCGGCCUCCCCGCGGAGUACGAGGAGGUAGCCCGGCGUGGCUUCUCCGACGAGGACGCCCUGCGGUGGGCGCGGGACGACUACCUCCGCGACGAGAUGGUCCGGCAGCGCCGGGCCCUGGAGGAGAUCGCCGCUCGCAAGCGUGGGCGCGAGGACGAGCACGGCGUCGUGGUCCUCGACAGCGACGACGACGACGACGCCCCCGGACCAUCCAACCCGCCGCGCCAACCGGGGGAGGGAUGCAGCAGGGACGGCAGAGGCGUCGGCGGGGACGACGACGACGACGGCGGCGGUGACUACACGCGGUUCUACCGCCUCCUCGGCAUGUAGAACCGCGUGGGCGGGCGGCGAGGGAGACGACGCGGGUAGCCCGCGGUAGUUUUUCUCUUUUUUUGUAAAGUAUGUUUAAAUUUGAACGAACUCGCCGAUGUUUACGUUAAAUUUGAAUCGUGUUUGCGCCGUAUUUGACUUUUUUAAAAAAACGUGGGCGCCGCGACUGGGGGACAUCACGCCCCCAGUGCGCGGUUUAACGCCGGUGCGUCCCCAGGAGGCGAUUUUUUGCCCCUCCUGAGAAGCCAACGGCUGGAGAUGCCCUUAGAUGGCGGGUUCCAUCCAUCGAUCUGCAAAGCUUUAUAUGGAGGAGGGUUGGCUACGUUCCUAGUGCAAAUCGGCAACCGAUUCCGUUUUGAAUAAGAUAAGAAGACGGGUUUGCUAAUUUUCAGCCGGAUGAAAACAAUUCGGCUUCAUUCGUUUUUCUAGCCGCUCGAUCUCUGUUCUGGGAUUUGUGCUAAUCCGUUUUAUUCCUAGCUUCAGUUCUGUUUGUUGUCUUAUCGGGCGCGCAAGCGAGACCCGUUUUGUUUUCCCUGGCUGGCCGAACCGUUGGUCCUUUUUUUUCUUCUCUUUUUGUCUCCCUGUAGCUGCCUUUUCCCCUCCGGCCCUCCCUUUUCUCAUUCCUAGCAUGCAUCCGAGAGAGGGAGAGAGAGAGUCAUGGCGAUGUUGUAGAUCCCCUCGCCGCCGCAUCUGCCUGCUGAUGUCUGCUGCAUCUCCCGCCUUGAGGUGUGCUGUAUCUCCCCCUUCCCUCGCGCUCCGUCCCUCCCAAUCUCCCCUCCCCUUCUUUCUUUUCUGCAUUUUCGAUGUGUUGUCUUGCUCCUUAGAUCGAUUGAGUUCAGAUCGAUUUUUGUUUAGGUUGUUGUUGUUGUUGAUGUUUAUAUCGUUAGGGCACUCAGAUUUGUUCUUUUAGAUAGUUGAAUGUGAUAGCCCCGCGCCCUUUAGUUGUAUGUGGUCUGUCCUGUUCGUGCACUUGGAUUAGGCUGCAGGAGUGAUUAAUCUGCUAUAGGGGAUUCAUUUACUAUGCAUGGCCAUUUGGAUUAGGGCUUCUUUGCCUUGAAUUGGCUGGCUCGUUUUGUUUGUAUAUGUAUGUGCAAAUGCUCAGUUGGUUCACAAUGGGACACCGUAGAACACCCUGGAAGUGCCCUGUUGUAGGUGUUAGAUCGCCUGGCCAUUUUAUGUUUUCUAUGAAGUUGUGUUUUCAGUUUUUUUAGAUUAGAGUUUUAAGUAGUGUUUUGUUUCUGUGUUUGAAUAGGCAUCAAACUUUCUAUUCUUGCUCUGUAGUUGUAUGCUCAUUUAGGGUUCCAAAUCACAUUUAAGUUACCUGUCAAUUAUCAUGUAGGUUCUAGUUUUCAGUGUAAUUUUUAGUGGAUUUUAUCUGUACUAUGGUAGUGCAAUUACUGUGUGUUGUCAGUGCAUUUUUAGUGUGUUUUAGUGUAAAUAUUAUAUGUAAUUGCACUGUUAUUUGAGUGCAUUUUGACUGUAAUUCAGUGGUUUAGUCUUGCAUUUGUUCCAGUGUACUUUCAAUGCAAUCUCAUAGUAAUUGCAGUGCACUUCAAUUUCAUUGUUGAUGUAAUCUUUGAUGUAAUUACAGAGUAUUCUUGCUGUAUUACUUCUUUAGCUGUAAUCUUUUUGUUGUAAUUUCAGAUUAAUCUCUCUGUAAUUACAGAGUAAUCUCUCUGUAUUUACAGAGUAUUCUUGCUGUAAUUACUUCUUUAGUUGUAAUCUUUUUAUUGUAAUUUCAGAUUAAUCUCUCUGUAAUUACAGAGUAAUCUAUCUGUAAUUUUUUGAUGUAAUCGAGUGAAUAUACAGUGUAAUUACAUAUAAGAAUUUUAGUGGUGUUAGUAGUGGAAUUUGCUCUGUUGUUCUACGGGGUAUGAGUUGGUUGUUUGUCGUGAACUUUGUGUAAAUGUGUGUUUUCUCCAGAGUGUAGAUUUCCGCUCUUCUUCAGCUAGAUUUCCGCUCCAGUACCUUGUGAUUUCGGUAGGUUGUCCUUGUCUUCUCCCUUUCCCCAUUGGAUUUCUUCUAGAUCUAGUUGCUUGUUUCGAUUCCCCUGGCAUUUGAUGCACUUAUAGGUGUAUGUGUAUUUGUAGCGGAGGACUUUCCUGGCAAUUUCGUUGCAGUUGUAGCGGUAGGUGCAUGGAUGUAGCGGUGGAUUUGAUUCCCCUUUUGAUUUUCUAUCACUGGCCUGGGCGUCUGAUUCUGCUGACUAUUUUUUCUAUUUGGCAUGUGUUUCUAGGUAGUAGUUGCAUCUAAGUUAUAGCAGCUCCAUAACUAUAAUUUCAUUUAAUUACAGUGUAGUUUCCUCUGAAAUUGUAGAGUAGCAGCACUGUAAUUACAGUGUUGUUAUAGUGUAAUUUCCAGAGAUAACCAGAGUUACUGUAACUUCUGGGAUUGUUAAUUUUACAAUCACUGCAAUUACAAUUACAGUAUAAUUUCAGGUUAAUUACAGUGCUAUUGUCAGUGUAUAUUUAGUGCAAGUACACUAGAUCAGAAUGAAAUUUUCAUUGCAAUUACAGCUUGUAUAGCAAUAGUUGGGGAGGGGAAUGGGAGUUUAGAGGAGGGAGUUGUGUUGAGAUUAGACAUGGGAUGUUACCAGGAAGUCUCGUGCCCCUUCAAUUCCCAUUCCCUAACUCUAAUUACCCUCAACCAAGCUGUUAAAGUAUUUUUUUGGAGGGUUUGUCUAUGUUUGGUCUACAAGCAUUUUAGAUCUUUUCUUUGUGGCUUGUCUUUGUUGGCUGGUAUUUGCAUUCAUUUUAGAACCAUUUAUUUAUAUUUAUUUGUGUUCGGUAGUAUUGCAUCUAAGUUACAUCACUUCAUGACUGUAAUUUAAUUUUAAUUACAGUAUAAUUUCCUCUAAAAUUACAGACUAAUCGCACUGUAAUUAUAUUGUUACAAUGUAAUUUCAGAGUAAUCACAGUGUACACUGUGCUAUUUUGUUGUAAUUACUGCAAUUUCGCUAUAAUUUACGGUGUUGUUACAAUGUAAUUUCCAGUGGUAAUCACAAUGAUAUUUUUACUGUUAUUACAUAUACUAGGAUAUUUACUGUAUUUAUAGUUAGUGCAAUUACAGUGUAAUUUCAGUAAAAUUACAGUGCUAAUUAGACUGUAAAUCACAAUGUCUUUGUUCGGUAGUGUUGCAGCUAGUCACACUGUCAACAUAUACUGAAUCUACCUUUGUGUCUGAAACUUUGCCAAGUUCCUACCUAAUCACCCUACAGUACAAAUAUACAGUGUAAUUUUUUAUCAUUUGUACUCAUACACUCUUGUCUUUUUUUAGCAUUGAAGCAGUGAGGUGUGAUAGGGCCUGUUGUUCAUAUCGUUCACUUGGUACUUCGUGCCCUAAUGGACAUCUAGGCAACUUCCUGGUAAUAUCUUAAUGUCGUUUUUCUUUGCUCUUUUAAAGGAAAUCGUCUUGAAUAAUUCCGGGCCUGAACUGAUCUGAAAUGCUUUUGAAGAUGCUAACGGUGCAUUUCCAAUGUGGACGACCAACCAUGUAAGUACUUUAAUUUCUGCUAUCUUUUUUGGUGUUUGUCAUUGCCCUUUCUUUUUUUAUUUCUUAUUUCCUCUAUAUACAUUUUUCUUCAUAUUCUUCUUCCUUUUUGCAGCUAUACUUUCCUGUAACCAUUCGAAAGCAUUGGUUUUCUUUCAUCGUUUCUUUGAAGGAAAGACCCUUUGCUUUCCUUGAUUUAGCUUUCGAUGAGCAUUCUUAAUUUCACUUGCAGAUUUGUCAUCCGCUAGUACAUUACUAAUCAAUUUGUUUCUAGAUUAGUUUCCUUUUUGAAGGCACAAUUUUUUUUUAAUCUUUUGAGAUUUUCUCUUGUAUUUUAAAUUGUAUUCAAAGAAUUAUAAACUUCAUAGGAUUCUGGGAUGCUUUUGUUACUCCCAUGAUGAGGAAACAAAUCGAUUCCGAACAAUUUGACGGUGUCUACCUAGCUGUACCCAACCAGACCAAUAUGUAAUUUGGUUUUUAGUAUGGCUGACCUGAUUCCUGAUUUCCUUUUAUAUUUUGUUCUUGAUAACAUUGUUGGUAUCUUAUUUUUUGUUUUUCUACCUUUAUUCAUGUGAAAAAUCAGGCACGAUUGUGGCGUCUUUACAUUCAAGUUUAUGGAAGUGUGGACUAAAAGGACUCAAGUUACUAACCACUUUUCAAGUGCUGACACAUCCAACUUAAGGAUAAAGUAUGCUAAUGAUAUGUUUUUCAGCGAGUUCAACAGUGUGGAUAAGUUCUAGUUACUGAUUUCUUUGCAGAUGUAAGCACUUCUAUUUUUUAUACUUCAAAUUUACAGAAUAGAAGUUCAUGAUUUCCAGUCAUUUUUUAGUUGUACUUUUGGCUGAAGGUUGCCCAAUUUACGGUACACAUCUACAUCAUUGACUGUCUAUUGUACUGUACAUUUUCUGCUUUUUGGCUCAGUGUCAAUUGCUUCACUUUUUGUGCCGUCCCACUCGCCAUUGAUCUGGUUUUUGUUUCUGAUUUAUGUCCUCAAUUGCUUCAAUUUUUGCUUCUCCUAAUUUAUGUAUGUGUCAAUGAAUUUCUUCUGUGGAUCGUCAUGGUUGGUUUGUUCCUUGCCCAUCGGUCGAUUUCUGUUUUUGCUUGGAUCUGCUCAUUUGGGUAGGAUUCUACUAAUGCUUGGUGGAUUUUGGUCUACUGGUUUGGGUAGGAUGCUACUGAUCUGUAGCAUAGCAUGCCUUCCUGUGUGCAGAAUUUCUUUAUUGUUUUGUUCAGCCAUUUCAAAUCAAUCUUUGACUUUGUGCUUUGGUAUGUGUUAGCAGAUGCAUUUUUUCAAAUUAACCCAUGAUGCUAUGUUGUCUUGACCAGCAGUGUUCCAGUGUUAACUGUAAUUUCUAUUAUGGUUUAAUGUAAUUAUAUAUAUACAAUAGUUUCAGUGUUAACUCACAAACUUACAGUGUAAUUUCUAUUCUUGUUUAUUGUGAUUAUAUAUUUACAAUAGUAUCAGUGUUAACUCACAGAACUUAUGCGGUGGCCCAAAAUCUGGACCCCAACAGCGAAGGAAGAGGGGUGCUGCAGUUAAAGACUGGGUUAAUGUCAGUAAUCAGGGUAUGAGCUACUACUCACCUCAUCUCUUUCCCGUCUUUGGGGUGAAUAUACUACUAUUAUAUUAUUGCAUGACCAUUCGGACACACUUACCUAUGCUACCAGUCACCAACUAGUCUAGGUCACAUAUGUUCGACUGUAGACGCUCUAAAAUGUACUGUUUAUGGGAACAUUUAUUUAGUAAGCUAAUAAUAAUUUACCUUUUUUAUGGACACACUAAUCUGUUUUUCUGUUAUCUGAAUCCACCCACAACGCAUACACAUGUGCAAUUCUGACAACGCAUAAAACUGAUCUUGGAUUGAAUGUUAAGCAUUGCCAUUCUUUUGCUAGUUUGCCAGAGUAAUGUGUUAGUUCAUGCAAGACCAAACGCCCUCACCCAUAAUAAUGCGAUGGUUUCGAUUAUCAUGUAGGAGUAAUGUGUUAGUUCAUGCAAAACCAAACGCCCUCACCCAUAAUAAUGCGAUGGUUUCGAUUAUCAUGUAGGAGUAAUGUGUUAGUUCAUGCAAGACCAUGAACCCUGGCUAGUGGGGACUGAGCUUGGGUGAAUAAACUGCACCUGCCUUUGGUAGGUGUAGUAAGUCACUGAAGCUGGCGUCCGGCUAGUUGGCGAUCACGGGACGCAUUGUAGCCUGACUGAGGCAUUUGAUUUCAACCAUGCAUUUGAUUUCCAUCCCGGCCCAUUCCCCAGAGCCGGCUGGAUCACAUGCUGACAUGCACCAGUGGUGCGCUGCUAGCCCUUUCAUCCCUAUUCCCUAGACUUUGCUCAUCCCUUCAAUGAAGAAAAUAUGCCCUAGAGGCAAUAAUAAAGUUAUUAUUUAUUUCCUUGUAUCAUGAUAAAUGUUUAUUAUUAAUGCUAGAAUUGUAUUAUCCGGAAACAUAAUACUUGUGUGAAUACAUAGACAAACUAAACGUCACUAGUAUGCCUCUACUUGACUAGCUCGUUAAUCGAAGAUGGUUAUGUUUCCUAACCAUAGACAUGUGUUGUUAUUUGAUAAACGGGAUCACAUCAUUAGAAGAAUGAUGUGAUUGACAUGACCCAUUCCAUUAGCUUAGCACCUGAUCGUUUAGUAUGUUGCUAUUGCUUUGUUCAUGACUUAUACAUGUUCCUAUGGCUAUGAGAUUAUGCAACUCCCGUUUGUCGGAGGAACACUUUGUGUGCUACCAAACGUCACAACGUAACUGGGUGAUUAUAAAGGAGCUCUACAGGUGUCUCCAAAGGUACAUGUUGGGUUGGCGUAUUUCAAGAUUAGGAUUUGUCACUCCGAUUGUCGGAGAGGUAUCUCUGGGCCCUCUCGGUAAUGCACAUCACAUAAGCUUUGCAAGCAUUGUAACUAAUGAGUUAGUUGCGAGAUAAUGUAUUACGAAACGAGUAAAGAGACUUGCCGGUAACGAUAUUGAACUAAGUAUUGAGAUACCGACGAUCGAAUCUCGGGCAAGUAACAUACCGAUGACAAAGGGAACAAAGUAUGUUGUUAUGCGGUCUGACCGAUAAAGAUCUUCAUAGAAUGUGUGGGAGCCAAUAUGAGCAUCCAGGUUCCGCUAUUGGUUAUUGACCGGAAACAUGUCUCGGUCAUGUCUACAUUGUUCUCGAACCCGUAGGGUCCGCACGCUUAACGUUACAAUGACAGUUUCAUUAUGAGUUUAUAUAUUUUGAUGUACCGAAGUUUGUUCGGAGUGCCGGAUGUGAUCACGGACAUGACAAGAAGUCUUGAAAUGGUUGAGACAUAAAGAUUGAUAUAUUGGACGGCUAUAUUCGGACACCGGAAGUGUUCCGGGUGAUUUCGAAGAAAACCGGAGUGCCAGAGGGUUACCGGAACCCCCCGGGAGAAGUAAUGGGCCUUAUGGGCCCUAGUGGAGAGAGAGAGGGGCGGCCAGGGUGGGCCGCGCGCCCCCUCCCCCUCUGGUCCGAAUUGGACUAGGAGAGGGGGGUGGCGCCCCCCUUUCCUUCUCCCCCCUUCCUUUCCCCCUCCUAGUAGGAGUAGGAAAGAGGGGAGUCCUACUCCUACUAGGAGGAGGACUCCUCCUCCUUGGCGCGCCCACAAGGGCCGGCCGGCCUCCCCCUUGCUCCUUUAUAUACGGGGGCAGGGGGGCACCUCUAGACACACAAGUUGAUCUUCAUGAUCGUUCUCUUAGCCGUGUGCGGUGCCCCCCUCCACCAUAAUUCUCGAUAAUAUUGUAGUGGUGCUUAGGCGAAGCCCUGCGACGGUAGAACAUCAAGAUCGUCACCACGCCAUCGUGCUGACGGAACUCUUCCCCGACACUUUGCUGGAUCGUAGUCCGGGGAUCGUCAUCGAGCUGAACUUGUGCUAGAACUCGGAGGCGCCGUAGUUUUGGUGCUUGAUUGGUCGGGCCGUGAAGACGUACGACUACAUCAACCGCGUUGUCAUAACGCUUCCGCUGUCGGUCUACGAGGGUACGUAGACAACACUCUUCCCUCUCGUUGCUAUGCAUCACCAUGAUCUUGCGUGCCCGUAGGAAUAUUUUUGAAAUUACUACGUUCCCCAACAGUGGCAUCCGAGUCUAGGUUUUAUGUGUUGAUGUUAUAUGGACGAGUAGAACACAAGUGAGUUGUGGGCGAUAUAAGUCAUACUGCUUACCAGCAUGUCAUACUUUGGUUCGGCGGUAUUGUUGGAUGAAGCGGCCCAGACCGACAUUACGCGUACGCUUACGCGAGACUGGUUCUACCGACGUGCUUUGCACACAGGUGGCUGGCGGGUGUCAGUUUCUCCAACUUUAGUUGAACCGAGUGUGGCUACGCCCGGUCCUUGCGAAGGUUAAAACAACACCAACUUGACAAACUAUCGUUGUAGUUUUGAUGCGUAGGUAAGAUUGGUUCUUGCUUAAGCCCGUAGCAGCCACAUAAAACUUGCAACAAACAAAGUAGAGGAUGUCUAACUUGUUUUUGCAGGGCAUGUUGUGAUGUGACAUGGUCAAGACAUGAUGCUAAAUUCUAUUGUAUGAGAUGAUCAUGUUUUGUAACCGAGUUAUCGGCAACUGGCAGGAACCAUAUGGUUGUCGCUUUAUUGUAUGCAAUGUAAUCGCCCUGUAAUGCUUUACUUUAUCACUAAGCGGUAGCGAUAGUCGUAAAAGCAUAAGAUUGGCGAGACGACAACGAUGCUACGAUGGAGAUCAAGGUGUCACGCCGGUGACGAUGGUGAUCAUGUCGGUGCUUCGAAGAUGGAGAUCACAAGCACAAGAUGAUGAUGGCCAUAUCAUAUCACUUAUAUUGAUUGCAUGUGAUGUUUAUCUUUUAUGCAUCUUAUCUUGCUUUGAUUGACGGUAGCAUUUUAAGAUGAUCUCUCACUAAUUAUCAAGAAGUGUUCUCCCUGAGUAUGCACCGUUGCGAAACUUCUUCGUGCUGAGACACCACGUGAUGAUCGGGUGUGAUAGGCUCUACGUUCAAAUACAACGGGUGCAAAACAGUUGCACACGCGGAAUACUCAGGUUAUACUUGACGAGCCAAGCAUAUACAGAUAUGGCCUCGGAACACGGAGACCGAAAGGUCGAGCGUGAAUCAUAUAGUAGAUAUGAUCAACAUAGUGAUGUUCAUCAUUCAAACUACUCCAUCUCACGUGAUGAUCGGACAUGGUUUAGUUGAUUUGGAUCACGUGAUCACUUAGAGGAUUAGAGGGAUGUCUAUCUAAGUGGGAGUUCUUUAUGAUUAAUUGAACUUAAAUUUAUCAUGAACUUAGUACCUGAUAGUAUCUUGCUUAUUUAUGUUUGAUUGUAGAUAGAUGGCUCGUGCUGUUGUUUCGUUGAAUUUUAAUGCGUUCCUUGAGAAAGCAAAGUUGAAAGAUGAUGGUAGCAAUUACACGGACUGGGUCCGUGACUUGAGGAUUAUCCUCAUUGCUGCACAGAAAAGUUACGUCCUGGAAUUACCGCUGGGUGCCAGGCCUGCUGCUGAUGGAACUGACGAUGUUAAGAACGUCUGGCAGAGCAAAGCUGAUGACUACUCGAUAGUUCAAUGUGCCAUGCUUUACGACUUAGAAUCGGGUCUUCAACGAUGUUUUGAGCGUCAUGGAGCAUAUGAGAUGUUCCAAGAGUUGAAGUUAAUAUUUCAAGCAAAUGCCCGGAUUGAGAGAUAUGAAGUUUCCAAUAAGUUCUAUAGCUGCAAGAUGGAGGAGAACAGUUCUGUCAGUGAGUAUAUACUCAAAAUGUCUGGGUAUAAUAAUCACUUGAUUCAAUUGAGAGUUAAUCUUCCAGAUGAUUGCGUCAUUGAUAGAAUUCUCCAAUUACUUCCACCUAGCUACAAGAGCUUCGUGAUGAACUAUAAUAUGCAAGGGAUGGAUAAGACAAUUCCCGAGCUCUUCGCAAUGCUAAAAGCAGCGGAGGUAGAAAUCAAGAAGGAGCAUCAAGUGUUGAUGGUCAACAAGACCACUAGUUUCAAGAAAAAGGGCAAAGGGAAGAAGAAGGGAAACUUCAAGAAGAACAGCAAGCAAGUUGCUGCUCAGGAGAAGAAACCCAAAUCUGGACCUAAGCCUGAAACUGAGUGCUUCUACUGCAAGCAGACUGGUCACUGGAAGCGGAACUGCCCCAAGUAUUUGGCGGAUAAGAAGGAUGGCAAGGUGAACAAAGGUAUAUGUGAUAUACAUGUUAUUGAUGUGUACCUUACUAAUGCUCGCAGUAGCACCUGGGUAUUUGAUACUGCUUCUGUUGCUAAUAUUUGCAACUCGAAACAGGGACUAUGGAUUAAGCGAAGAUUUGCUAAGGACGAGGCGACGAUGCGCGUGGGAAAUGGUUCCAAAGUCGAUGUGAUCGCGGUCGGCACGCUACCUCUACAUCUACCUUCGGGAUUAGUAUUAGACCUAAAUAAUUGUUAUUUGGUGCCAGCGUUGAGCAUGAACAUUAUAUCUGGAUCUUGUUUGAUGCGAGACGGUUAUUCAUUUAAAUCAGAGAAUAAUGGUUGUUCUAUUUAUAUGAGUAAUAUCUUUUAUGGUCAUGCACCCUUGAAGAGUGGUCUAUUCUUAUUAAAUCCCGAUAGUAGUGACACACAUAUUCAUAAUGUUGAAACCAAAAGAUGCAGAGUUGAUAAUGAUAGUGCAACUUCUUUAUGGCACUGCCAUUUAGGUCAUAUCGGUGUAAAGCGCAUGAAGAAACUCCAUACUGAUGGGCUUUUGGAACCACUUGAUUAUGAAUCACUUGGUACUUGCGAACCGUGCCUUAUGGGUAAGAUGACCAAAACACCGUUCUCCGGUACUAUGGAGAGAGCAACAGAUUUGUUGGAAAUCAUACAUACAGAUGUAUGUGGUCCGAUGAAUGUUGAGGCUCGUGGCGGAUAUCGUUAUUUUCUCACCUUCACAGAUGACUUAAGCAGAUAUGGGUAUAUCUACUUAAUGAAACAUAAGUAUGAAACAUUUGAAAAGUUCAAAGAAUUUCAGAGUAAAGUUGAAAAUCAUCGUAACAAGAAAAUAAAGUUUCUACGAUCUGAUCGUGGAGGAGAAUAUUUGAGUUACGAGUUUGGUGUACAUUUGAAAUAAUGCGAAAUAGUUUUGCAACUCACGCCACCCGGAACACCAUAGCGUAAUGGUGUGUCCGAACGUCGUAAUCGUACUUUACUAGAUAUGGUGCGAUCUAUGAUGUCUCUUACUGAUUUACCACUUUCAUUUUAGGGUUAUGCUUUAGAGACGGCCGCAUUCACGUUAAAUAGGGCACCAUCGAAAUCCGUUGAGACGACGCCUUAUGAACUGUGGUUUGGCAAGAAACCAAAGUUGUCGUUUUUGAAAGUUUGGGGCUGCGAUGCUUAUGUGAAAAAGCUUCAACCCGAUAAACUCGAACCCAAAUCGGAGAAGUGUGUCUUCAUAGGAUAUCCAAAGGAAACUAUUGGAUACACCUUCUAUCACAGAUCCGAAGGCAAGACUUUUGUUGCUAAAUUCGGAAACUUUCUAGAGAAGGAGUUUCUCUCGAAAGAAGUGAGUGGGAGGAAAGUAGAACUUGAUGAGGUAACUAUACCUGCUCCCUUAUUGGAAAGUAGUACAUCACAGAAACCGGUUUCUGUGACACCUACACCAAUUAGUGAGGAAGCUAAUGAUGAUGAUCAUGAAACUUCAGAACAAGUUACUACUGAACCUCGUAGAUCAACCAGAGUAAGAUCCUCACUAGAGUGGUACGGUAAUCCUGUUCUGGAAGUCAUGCUACUAGAUCAUGAUGAACCUACGAACUAUGAAGAAGCGAUGGUGAGCCCAGAUUCCGCAAAAUGGCUUGAAGCCAUGAAAUCUGAGAUGGGAUUCAUGUAUGAGAACAAAGUGUGGACUUUGGUUGACUUGCCCAAUGAUCGGCAAGCAAUUGAGAAUAAAUGGAUCUUUAAGAAGAAGACUAACGCUGACGGUAAUGUUACUGUCUACAAAGCUCGACUUGUUGCAAAAGGUUUUCGACAAGUUCAAGGGAUUGACUACGAUGAGACCUUCUCACCCGUAGCGAUGCUUAAGUCUGUCCGAAUCAUGUUAGCAAUUGCCGCAUUUUAUGAUUAUGAAAUUUGGCAGAUGGAUGUCAAAACUGCAUUCCUGAAUGGAUUUCUGGAAGAAGAGUUGUAUAUGAUGCAGCCAAAAGUUGUUGUGUACCCUUAUUGUUGUGCAUAAAACGGACAAAAGUCUGUUUACGCCCGCGCACUACGCCAUCUGGUAUAUUCGUUUUGCCCCAAACAGACGCACCCGGGCAGGAUGAUGUCGCGCGCUGGAGUUGGCCUAACACAAGGUGAAGGCCAGAUGAUGAAAGUGACGCAUCACACACAUCCGUUGACAAUGCGAGGUUGGCCAACAGUGGAACGCGCCAUGCGAGGAGCGAGCAAACGAUCGACAAGGUGAGACUGUCCGCGUCAACAAGUCGAGGCCGGACGUAGUCCAUGCACGCAGCAACGACACAAGGAAGACGACGAUCAAUGGACACGCGUACUUGUCGGCCCUGUGCAUGUGCGGCACCACCCAUGCAACAUGCAUGGAACACGGCGGCGACCAAGCCCGUCGUGAACGGAAGGAUAAGAGCAUCUUUAGCCAUUGCCCCCCAGGAGGCUUAAAAAUCGCCGCCUGGGGGCGUGCCGGCGCUAAAAUCGACGCUGGGGGCGAUUGGGUUCCCAGGCGCCGCCCCCAGGCAACGAUAUCGGCCCAUUUUUGGUGCAAAUGUGCCUGCUUUUCGGCCCACUUUCAGCGAAAAAUCAGCCUGAUAUCGGCACAAACCGGCUCAUAUUCGCCGCGGUUCGACGCAAAUUCAACAAAAGUAAUUUUUUCUCACAUAGUUCAUCACAGAAAACCAAUAGAAAUCAAAUAGUUCAACAACAAAUAAUUCAAUACAAAUUAUAUAGUUCAACAAAUAGAAACUCAUAUUUCAUCACACGUCGAGCUAGGCGUUGCCUUUGAGCCUUCAUAGGUGCUCCACCAGAUCCUGCUGCUGUUGUUGAUGCAUCUGUGGGCCUCGAAUCUCCUGACGCAUAUUGAGGAAGGCAGUCCAGGUUGCCGGUAUGUGACUCUCCCGAUUCAAUCAUACACUAAUCAUACACGCAAAUGUGUACGAUCAAGAUCAGGGACUCACGGAAAGAUAUCAAAACACAACUCUAGACACAAAUUAAAAUAAUAAAAGCUUUAUAUUACAAGUCAGGGGCCUCGGGGACUCAAAUACAUCAGCUCGAAUACAAACAAGUCAGCGGAAGUAAUCAUAUCUGAGUACAGACAUAAGUUAAACUAGUAUGCCUUAAGAAGGCUAGCACAAAAGCAACAUAGAUCGAAAAGGCAAGGCCUCCUGCCUGGGAGCCUCCUAACUACUCCUGGUCAUCGGCGUCCGUCACGUAGUAGUAGGCAUCCUUAGUGUAGUAGCAGUCGUCGUCGAAGGUGGCGUCUGGAUCCUAGGCUCCACCAUCUGGUUGCAGCAUCCGAAAAGAAUGGAAAGAGCUGGAAAAUGGGAAGCAAAGCAACCAUGAGUACUCAUCCAAAGUACUCGCAAGCAAGGAUCUACACUACAUGUGGAUCGGUAUCAAUGAAAUGGAGAGUAUCUGUAGACUGGAAUGCAGAAUGCCAGAAGAGAAGAGGAAAGCCUAGCCUAUCGAAGACUAGCAUCUUCAGGCAGCUCCAAGCAUCUUGCAGCAAUCAGAAGAGUAUAGAAUAGCAGUUUAUAUUUAGAGGUAAAUACACCACAAGUCACAGAACUUGCACACGACGGUCAGUUUAGUGCGUAAACUUGUAAAAUACGUGUUUCUAGUCAUCUAACUUGUCCUCUUGUUCAUAUACGGUGCUUUCUACCGUAUCCGGCUGUAUCAUUACGGGUGCCAACGUGAUGGGGCCUACAGUCAGUGGCUGAGGUGGUGGUAAUCCACACGCACUGUUUUCUUCUCAGAUAGCACCCUUGCAUUUUAUUUAUUUAUAUGCAGAAAAUUCUCAAAUAAAAGUAAAAAAAUUGUAGCACACAGCGGGAUUUGAACCCACGACCGACCAUGAUUCGCCCCGCAUAGAAGCCACCAGACCAACUGCAACUUUGCGUUUAAUGGAAAAAAUUAUCUUUAUAUAACUAGACCAUGCGAAUUAAAGUAAAAUCAAAACGGAGACAAGGUAAUCCCCGCUUCGAGCUUGAGGGCCCAGUCCAAAAGAAACCUAUAUGCAUUCAUUCUGAAGUAUAUUUUCUUUUAUGUACAUAAUUCACAUUCAAACAAAAAUUUCGUUCAUUUGUCCUAAAAAACUAUGUACAUUCAUUUUGACCUAUAUUUUCGUAUAUCUAAAUUUUCAAAUUUUAAAUUAUUCAAACUCAAAAAAAAUGAUGUUGAUUUGUCCAAAGAAAUUUAUGUACAUUCAUGCUGCACUAUAUUUUCUUUUAUCUAGAUUUUAAAAUUAUAAAUAUUCUAAUUGAAAAAAAUAGUUGAUUUGUCCCAAAAAUUUACGUACAUUCAUUUUACACUAUAUUUCCUUUCAUCUAGAUUUUAAAUAUUUAAUUAUUCGAAAUCGAACAAAAAUUAUUUGAUUUGUCCAUAAGAAUUUACAUACAUUCAUUUUGAACUAUAUUUUCUUUUACCUGGAUUUUUCAGUUUACAUGUACUCGAAUUCAAACAAAAGUUGAGUUGAUUUGUCUGAAAAACAUACAUACAUUCAUUCUGCACUAUAUUUCCUUUUAUAUAAAUAUAAAAAAUUUAAAUUAUUCAUAUUCAAACAAAAGUUUUGUUGAUUUGUCCAAAAGAAUUUACAUACAUUCAUUCUAUAUUGUAUUUCCUUUUGAUCUAGAUUUUAAAAUUUAAAAUUAUUGAAAUUUGGAACAAAAUUUUGUUGGUUUGUCCAAAAUAAUUUACGCUCAUUCAUCCCGCACUAUUUUUUUUCAGGAAUAUAUAUUUAAAGUUAGGUACUAUGUGCAAAAAAUAUUGUCUGUGCAGAAAGAAAAUUAUACAUAGUUUGCCAGCACUAGGAUACAUAAAUUUCAAACUAUAUAAUACAUAGCAGUCUUAUCUCUAUUUAUCACUAAUAAACUAAAAUCAAAUCUAUCUUACAUAGAAAACAAAGAAAGAACAAUACAGAAGAUAAAUUUUGUUUAUGUUGUCAAGUGUCACUGUGGACUGAUGGUCGGCACUUAUACACAAGGCGAGCUUUUAAGAAGGUCAUAUUUCGAACCGGGCCUUCUCCUUUUCAGCACACAAUUUUGUCGUUUUGAUUUCUAUUUUAAUUAGUGCGGUACGUGUUCAAUAAAUAGCACUAACUGUACAUUUGACACAUCAAACUUAGUUGGUCUAGUGGUUUUCUAUGCGAGGCCAAGGGCAGCAGGUCAUUAGUUCAAAUCCCAUCCCGUUCUCCAUUACUUUUUCAUUUUAUUUGAGGAUUUUCUGCAUAAAUUAAUAGAAUGUAAGGGUCCUUUCUGACAAAAAACCGGCCUCAGCCACUGACAGUGGCCCAUGAUCUUGGCUUUUCUACAACAUGUUUGAUAAAUAUAAGAGGUAAAUACACCAGAAGUCCCGUUCUCCAUUACUUUUUCAGUUUAUUUGAGGAUUUUCUGCAUAAAUUAAUAGAAUGUAAGGGUCCUUUCUGACAAAAAACCGGCCUCAGCCACUGACAGUGGCCCUGCCACGUUGGCGCGCGUAUGGAUAUGACUGGGUAUAAUGGGAAGCACCGUAUAUGAACGAGGCGACAAGUUAGAUGACCAGAAAUACGUAUUUUACAAGUUUAUGCACCAAACUGACCGUCGCAUGUAAGUUCUAUGACUUCUGGUGUAUUUACCUCUUAUAUUUAUCAAACAUGUUGUAGAAAAGCCAAGAUCAUGGGCCACUACCUCCGGAUCAUUAUCGAUACCGGAAAACACGUUGAGCGGGGGGCACGAUUGGUUUUUCUGUUCUGCGAGCUGAGGAGUUGUUUACCCCCUUGCACUACUAUUUCCCGACCGCUGCACAUGUUCUUUAUGUGACUUAAUAAUAGAGCAGUCAUAGUUUGAUGGCAGCGAAGCCGAUGGUCGCAUAAGGUUUUUCAGUAAGCGCUUCACUUUUGUCGGAUCUAUUUUCUCCUUUGGCUCGGGCCGUUUCGGUGCAAGCUGGUGUUCCACAUCGGCAUCCACGGCCUUCUUGAGUUCCUCAUCAGUCAGUUCAUAUGGUAGCUUGGCAGGAGCCUCCUUGAUGCUUUGUAGUACUAGCCGCCGGAGCGGCGGUUCUCUUCCGCUUAUCCACCCGUGGUGGAGGCGGCGGAGUCUGCUGACACGACGGAGACGACUGAGGCGACUGAGUCUGCUAACGCGGCGGAGAUGCCUGAGGCGGCGGAGGCGGUGGAGUCUGUUGACAGGCGGAGAUAGAGUUGGAUUGCUACUCUGAGGAGUCGAUAGCCUUGGCGUCCAAUGUGGAAGCACGAUGUGUUCCUUUUCUCCAUAGAAUGGUACUUUUUUUAGCAUCUCCCAGUUCGGUCUCCCCUUCACCUGUAGGGAAGUCAAACUCCAACUGCUCAAAUCCCUAUAUAACUUCAUCCACCUCGACAACAGCAUAGCCAUCUAUAUUGGAGAGCAAUGGAAGUUCCAUCACGUACAAGAGGUAAGGCAAAGCCGACCGCUGCCUUCACGAAUAUGUUCAUGCAUUUCACAUGUAGCUCACCAUUUUCCCUCUGCGCGAUAUCAUCCACGGGGUAGCGAGGAGACGUGAUAUCAUCCAUGGCCCGAACGAGCUCCGUGGAAGCCAGACUGCUUUUCCGCUGAGAUGGUGGGCCGGCAAUAUCGAAUGUAAGAUCUUCGUGCCGCUGAGAUGGGCCGGUAGCUUGCUGGCUGGUAAGUGACUCUAUUUGCUUCUGUUGCAAUGCUAAUUUUUCAUCUAUCCAUUGCAGCCGGUUUGCCUCUUGUUUCUUUUUUCUCCUCGGCUUCUAUAAAUGACACUGCAGUUGGGAAACCCAAUCUUUCACGGAACGGAGCCUGAUGAGCCUCGUGUCCGUCCACUGUGUUUAGCAUUCCAGAGGGCGCAUGUCAACUCGUCGUUCUCUCUAUCGGGAUUGAACUUCCCGUUCUGCACAUCCUUUAUUGCAGCUUUAAGGGUUUUAAGAGUUGUUGCAAGUUGAUCUUUUGUAUAAAUACACUUCCCUGUUUCUGGGUCCAACUUUCCCCAUUCCCGUAGAACCAAGUCUUUGCAUGUUUAGACAUUUCAUCAAGCACCUCUUGUGCAUAGGAAGGGAGAACAAACUAACACACACCUCCCACCUUUUAUGAGGAAAAGCAAAGAAAAGAACGGGCAGGGGCGAGGAUAUAUAUAGGCAAAUUUUUAGUCCCGGUUGGGGUCUAAAACCUGGACUGAAGACAGACCUUUAGUCCUGCUUGGAGACACCAACCAGGACUAAAGGGUAUCGUGCCUGCUGCAAUCCCUUUAGUCCCGGUUGGUGUCUGGAAACCGGGACUAAAGGUCCUAUCGAAUCCGGAUAUGGCCGGCGUCCUAGCCGCUCGAACCGGGACUGAUACUCAUAUUAGUCCCGGUUCGUAACGCGACCGGGACUAUUGCUCCGAUCCGGCUAGAACGAAAGCCCUGUUUUCUACUAAUGUACCGCUCGCAAGAUUCUGGACCUGGUGCAAGUUGAUAUAGAUAGAAAUCUCUUUAGUUUAAACAGUUAAACUGUACUCUAAAAAAAUAUAGUGAUCCAAACGAUCUGAUAUUUCUUUACAUAGAGCGGGUGAUAUGGAUAGACUCUUUCUACAAAAAACAAUAAAUAAUAUCAGUACCAAGUACUAUGAUUUAACCUCUAGUUCUCUUGCGGGCAGUAAAACUGAAUCUAUCCCUGACGAGAAAAACCUAGCUAGAUCGAUCAAACAACCGACUGCCACGACGCAGCAAAGUACAGGUCAAUUGGCACCGUCGACCUUGGCGCUGGGUCUGGGCAGCGUCACGAUAGUGUCCACGUCCGAAGCGGCGCACGUAGCUCCCAACGAGGCCGUGUCCCCGACGCGCAGGCCCCUGCACGACACCAUCGUCCCAUGGUGGUUGCUCCAGUGGGUUCCCGGCAUGGUGACCGCCACAUCGAACACCGGCGUCCCUCGCCGGGCGUCCGCCGCGAGGCCGUCGAGGGCAAACCCGGGGAUCUGCACCGCCGUCCCCCACGCCACGAUGGCCUGCAGCUCCCUGGUCCCCCUUCGCUUGGUGCAGAACCUCUGGACGGGCCCAGCGGCGAGCGGGACGCCGGCGUAGCUCACCUCCACGACCGUGCCGGGCGCGGUGCAGUCGCCGAUGAAGAUGCUCCGCGAGGCGACGCGGAGGGUGAGGUUGAAGAGAGGGUUCAGAUCGUGGCCGUCGAGGCCGGUGGCGGCGUCGAUGGCGGCGGAGUAGAGCGGCUGCUUAUCUCCUAGGGCGACGCACAGGAUCACGGUGAGCAGGCCGAGCACUACGAGCACGGCCACCGCCACCGCCACCAAUACUAAGCUGUCCACCGCGCCCCACCGGCGAUCAUCGAUCUCGCCCAUCGCAUGCAGCUUGCUACGUACCUAGCUAGGUCGUCGAUCGAGAGGCUUCGAUUGAUUAUUACUGUAUAUGGAGGAGGGUCGGCACAGCCAAAGGCAUACGUAGUGCAAUCAGCAUCGAAUUACCUAUUCCCGUUUUGAAUACAGCAAUGCUACCUAAAGAUUUAUGCCUAAUUUACAUAACAACUUAGGUGUCCUUUUCUUGUUAGAUAAGUUACGUAAGAUUAAAUAGGUUCUUACAAUAAGUGUAGCAUUUUUUUAUUUUAAAUAAGAGACGGCCGGCAAAGCAAGCAGAUAGAUAAGCCAUCACGAUUCGUAUGGAAAACAGAUUUGUAAAGUUUCAUCUAAGUCUUACUCCCUCCGUUUCUUUUUACUCUGCAUAUAAGAUUUGGUCAAAGUCAAACUACACAAAAUUUGACCAAAUUUCUAUAAAAAAAUAUGAACAUCUAUAAUACUAAAACUAUAUAGUAUGAAAAUACAUUUCAUGGUGCAUCUGAUAAUAUUGAUUUCAUAUUUUGAAUGUUUAUAGUUUUUAAUAUAAAGUUAGUCAAACUCUAUAAAGUUUGACUUUGACCAAACCGUAUAUGCAGACUAAAAAUAAACGGAAGGGCGUCAUUUGAUUUGAUUUUACACGGAAGAUCAAAUAUUCGCGCUAGGCUUUACCUACCAGCAGCGAAAGAAUCCCUACCCUAGCCAUCCAUGGCGACUAAGGUUGAGCUACUUCACUGAAGUCUAGCGAGAAAAGUCCACAUUACAACCCUGAACUAAUCACAUGGUUUAGAAUUCAACCCCGAACUUCAAAACCGAUGGAAAUACCACCCGAACUAACUACGCGAUCUAAAAAACAACCCUCCUCGCGGUUUUGAUCCAGUCAAGUGGUUUUGACCGAGUUGACCGCUGACUAGGCACUCCUUAUAUGUGGGACCCACCAGAGGAAACAACAAUAAAAAACAUCCCACCCUCUCUUUCUUCCUUCUCUAUCUAGCCAGCAACAGCACAGAGGUGUCGCCGUUCAAGGGCCAGAGGGGGAACCAGCGACGGCGUCUGUAACAUCUGAUGCACGUGUCCCAGUAGCAUCGCCGCCGCGCCUCAUCCCCAACAGCGCCGCCGCGCCUCGUCCCCAGGAGCCCCACCGCCAGUGCAAUUUCCUUGCUCGGCCACGAGCACCUAGGCCCCGUGCACGUCGGCCACAAGGACCUAGGGAGCCGUCGCUCCAGCUUCUCUAUGCGACCGCAUCACGAGGCCCGCUGUCCCCUACGUCGACCCGGCCCCUGGCGGCAUCGCUCCCCUGGUUGGGAUAAGUGGCGGGGAAGAAGGGCAGAAGCUUGAGGACGGUAGGGGCGCCGAGCAGAGCAAGUACGACGAGGGACGGCCCGACUGCUCCUGUUGCCGCCGUUGGCGAGCUGCUGCUGCAACCUAAGGGGAAGAGAGGGAGAGAAGAGAUGGAGGGAGGAAAGAAGGAACCUGCCGGCAUUAUGGUGGCACCAUCGGUCUCCGGUCGCCGGCAGUGGAAGUGUUGGCCGCGAGGCGGCGGCGGGGUGGACUCGGUUGAGGGUGAGGGUGUGAACGAAACAGAAAGAGAUGAGGGAUAAGGCUGGGAUGUAUGUGUGACAUGGCAUGCUGACUAGGCUGCCAAAUUAGCUUUGACUAGGUCAAAACCGCUUGGCCAGCCUAAAUCCGAGUCAAGAGUUGUUAUUUGAACUUUGUGACAAUUUGAGGGUUGAAUCUGACCGGUUUCAAAGGUCAGGGUUGAAAAUCAAACCAUGUGGUUAGUUGAGGGUUACAAUGUGAACUUCUCUCGCGUUUAGCUGGCAUUGAGUCCUUCCCACCCACCACUCCUACCCCUCGUCUCCGAUCGCUUGGAUGGACCCUUGGACUGACCAAGGGGACAUCUAGCAUGUCUUCCCAGCCUAUGGUUGGGGACAUGACGAAGGGGGUAAAUUAGUUCUUCCAGUAGCGGCGGCGGAUGUUUUUUGGCCAUGGCCGCUAUGAUGGCCAAUGAGCACGUUGAUCCAGUGGCGAAUCUAGCCCCCCCCCCCCUCCCACACACACACAUUAAAAAAUAGAAUUUUUUUUACUGGUAUACAGCUCAGCCUCGUAUCAAAAGUUCUACCUUAUUUGAUCUAAACAACUGAGAGUUAGUGGUUUUUUCUUCACACUAUUAACUUUGAGCCACCCUCCCCUUCAUUUUCUUUCAAGGUUCGCCACUGGUCGUGUCUAGGCUGAGCGGCCGGAGAGACGACGCGGCAACAUGAUUAGGGUCUAUGAGAAAAAGACCAACCGAAUCUUGAUAUUGAAUUUUGUGCAUCCAAGUAGAACUGUAGCAUUCUUGUAGUGAUGCUGCGUCUCAAUUCUCAUUUACUCCAUCUUAAAGAAAUAUAAAGCUAGGAUUUCUGCCUCUCGCCGGCGUCGCCGCAGGUCUACCUCGUCUCCGGUGGCCCUAGGGCCAUGGAGGCGCGGUGGAUCCUGCCAAGGGCCGGCGGGAGGGCUUUGUUUUCAGUCGUUUUUUUCCUGUCUUGUUAGGGUUUGUGUCCUACUCAGAAAGGCCAGACGGCGGCGGCUCCCUGGAAAUGGAAUAAAGGUCUCCCCGCCUAGCCCCCGUUCCGGCGGUGCAUCUAGCAUCAUUGGUGAGCGUGUGGAGGUGUGUCUUCAGCGGAUCUAUCUUUAGUGGAUUUGCUCGGAUCUCGUCGUUGUUCGUCUACGUUCGUGUGUCUUCGGGUUGAAUCCUUCCAACCUACGUUAUUCUUCGUCGGCGGCGGUUGCUGUUCUGGUGCGCUGGUCCUAUGGGGCCUUAGCACGACGACUUACCGACUGCCUACUACAACAAGUUGUGCCCGACUUCGGCGAUGGAGGGGUGAUGUGACGGCGGCGCGCCUUCGGCUCGCUUCAAUGCUUGUAGUCGUCGCUAGGUGGUCUACGGAUCUGGAUCUAAUUUUUAUUUCUGGUGUUCAUUGUACUGCCAUGAUUGAAAAUGAAUAGAUUAAAAGUUUUUCCGAAAAAAAUAAAUAAAUAUAAAAGCGCUUAGAUUACUACUAAAUACUCUUUACUGACGAAGUACUUGUCAUUCACUUCAAUCUUCCGAUCUUGCUAUUGAGUUCCGCAAAGACUUGAGUGAAAAAACGUCUUUUCUAUGGACCUGAUCCAUAAAAAAGAGAUGCUAAUCCAUCCUUUUUUUUAUGGACCUUGCUUGACUAAAUGAUCUAUCACUUUUGUAAUUUUAGUUUUGCUAAAGCACAUUUAGAUGUGUCAUAAUUAUUGCGCAUCUAAGUUUCAUGUCAUUGAUCUUACGCGAAGAUUCGUGUGUAUUUUUUUGGUUUUUUUUUAUAUUUGAUUGAGCCAGUUAGAUGUGCAAUAACUAAGUGACGUGCAAAUUUCAAAAUGCAGCACGUGCGUGAGAUGUGAGGAGACGGUUUUGUGUGAUAACCGGGAUUUGUUAGGAUGGUAUACUAACCAUAAAUUAGCAACUGGAAAUGACCAAUUACCCUAUAAAAUUGACGACCACAUUUGGUUAUUUUUUUAGGGGUAAAGACCUGAUUUAUUCAUCAAAGUCUACCUGAAGUGGGAUACAUCUUUGGUCGUGGGGAACGCCAAACUAAACAUGGCGUCCCAGACCUUUAGAAAGAGAAAACUUAGCUAAAUGAUGUGCUUCAUAAUUAACAGCACGACUUUCAAAUCAAAAAGUACAGGAGAAGGUAGAUGAUUUGAUAUUGAUCUCGCUAAUGGUUGCACCAUAGACACCUCGUGCCCGCCUGUUGAUGUCUAGGACGACCUGCUAGCAAUCCUAUGCCACAAUGAACUGCUGAAUGCCCAGAUCUUCCGCAAGGGAAAGGGCUUCCCGGCAUGCUAUAGCUUCGAGUGUAGGGGGCUCACAAACUCCUUUUACUACAAGAGCCGAGCUUCCCAAGUAAUUUCCCUCUUCAUCCCUGCAAACGGCCACCGCAGAACCUCCUCUUCAUGCACGCACACCUGCAUCAACAUGGAUCUUAUAAUAACCCGACGGUGGCUUCUUCGGUCUCGGCUGGCCCGACUGGGGUACUGAAACGCUAUUGUUCUGGUUUUGCUCUUUACUGCUGAUGAUAGCAAGAUCUUGUAAAUAUCUCUGGCCAUGGGAUACCCGACUCGACCCGACCCGAUCCGGCCCGGUCUUGCCUGUGGCACGGGCCUGGGCCUAAGUUUUGAGCCCGAAGGCCGGGCUGGCCAGGCCCGAGCCUGCCAUAUUUAUGAUUUAGGGAAGAGGCCUGAGGCCCUGUGGGCUUUUUCACUGACAGACCGGGCCUAGGCCUGCCAUAUUUGGGCUUUAAGGAAGAGGCCUAGCCCAAGACCCAAGGCCCAACGGGUUUUUUCACUUUUUCACUGGCAGGCCAGGCUUGGGCCUGAAUUCUAGGACCGACAGCCGGGCCGGGCCCGGGCCUAGAUUUUCUGCUUUGGGCUUUGUUAGGCCUAGCCCAACGGAUGUCCAGGUAUACUCCCACAUUACUCUCGAGGAGAGUACCGCUCUAUUUAUGGAUGCCAAUAUCUGGAGAACAUCCCUAGUACUAGCGAACAUGGGUUUUUGUUUUUUUUACCGCACACACUAUUUUAAUAAAUAAAACAAUGUACAACUACACAUACAUACAGAAGCUAUCAGAAAGACCAAGACAUGACAGAUGUCUAGAAAACAUUGCAGAACGAACCCCAUAUAAAAGAUUAUAAAAUAAGUCCCUUGGGAUCCCUGCAAACAAUCAAAUCUCAAGUAGCCAUCGACCCAUCAACGCCGCUGAGAUGCACACUGGGAGAAAGUACAAAGCACCAACAAGCCAAAAUCCUGACCAGCUCCAUAGCCUUGUAGGCGUUGUGAGUAGAAAACUAAACUACAGAAUAGGCACUUCACGAUAUGGCGUGUUGGCCGAGGAUGCUCCUCACGCUGACCGGGAUUAAGAUCUGAUGCAUCCUGCUGCUAUUGCCGGGGGAAAAUGCUAAAUCCGCCGAUGUGGGACCAUCAACCUUGUACUAGCACACAUCUGUCCCACUUGUUAGCGCCGCCAUGAAAGGCGACAACCGCCAACCAAGGAAGCAUAAGGCUUACCGCUCCAAACGAACGAUAAGCAGGCGAGGGCAUCGGCUCAGCAGCGUCGCCGAGAAGAAGGUCACCGUGGUGAGGAAGAGACCAAGGCCACCUUAUUCGACACAGCAUCAAUGUCACCAAAUUGGUGCUACUAGACAAAGACGAAGCACUAAACCUAUGGAACAAUAGGAAGAGAAACAGGAGCCCACCCCCUCCACCAGCUGCGGGAGCAGCGGACAGAGAGGGAUAGAGAUCACUGCUCCCGGCGUCCCAGAGCGGCAGAAAAUGUCGCCUCUACGAAGCGGUUUGCUUUCGUGAGAGCAGUGAAUAUGGGUUAAAAAAACUAGGGCGUGUUUUACGUGAAAAGAAAUCGGGGUGUGUUUUGCUGCCUCAACUUUUUUUAUAUGUAGUCCCGUUGACUACAAAGAUAUCUCAGGCGACUUCGUCAAUCUUAAAAUGAUGUGCCGACUCAGCCUCUCAUAGGUGUUCAUAGGGGUGUGUGUGUAUGUGCGUAUAUAUAUGAGCGUAUGUAUCUGUAUUUUGUUAAAGAAAAAAAAAACUUCUUCCAUGUUUUUUUUUUCGAAUAGGGGGAGCUCAUGGAGAUGCUCUUUAGCUAAAAACAAAUCAAGAAAAGACUCGCCGGUUAGCCAACCCACGGCGGCCGGCCGGCCAAUCUCCCGACCCGACGGCGACCGUGAUGCUUACACAGAUUUUUUUUUAGCUUAAGCAAAUGGAAUGAUUCCUCCGGCGCGGCAUAAUCCGGCCACCUUUCCUUCUCCUCCUCCUCGGUGAGGUCGCGCCGGCUGCCUCCCCAUUCCCAUCACCUCCCUCCCACCACCCCGCGCCAAUGCCUCCCCGUCCCACGCGCCAUGGCCACCGAGACCCCGACCGCCUCCCCCACCGCCCGCACCCUCUCCGCAGCCUUCGCCGACGACCGCCGACGCGAGGCCAGGCGCCGGGCCGUGCCCGCCGGGCUCGUCAAGUUCAUGCUCCACCGCUGGGGCGCCGCCUGCCUCCCCAAGAGCAGGGCCGCCCUCAGCGGCGCCGCCACCCCGCCCCCGCCCCCGCAGACGCAGACCCGGCCGUCGUCCGCGUCGGCGCAGGCGUCGGCACGCCAGCGCCACGCGGACGCGGCGAAUGUCGCUGCGAGGAGGCCUUUGAGGGAGAAAGGGGAAGCCGCCGCCGCCUUCGCGGUCGCCCGAGCGCCGACGCCGACGGGAUCCCAAGACAAACCCGUGACGCCUACCGGCGACGGGAGCGGCUGGAGCGGCGAUACGGCCACCACCGUUGGGAGAGGAGCAAACAUCUGGGUGAGGGUCCCUCGCAAGCGGACGUCGUCGCCGCAGGUGGACUCUCCGCAGCAGCUGUCCGUGGAAUCGACGGCGUCGGCGGCGGAGGACGAGUACGCGUGGGCGGACAGGUACCGGCCCAAUGUGCUCGCGGAAUUCAUCUGCAACAAGGCCGUCGCCGACGAGCUCCACCGGCUGGUACACAUCACAAAUUCCUCUGUCACCUCUAGCAUUACACCUAUUGAGUAUUGAAGCCAAGCAUUGGAACAGAGUGAUGAAUCUUGUCUACAGAAUUCGAGGAAAUGCUUAACUGGGACUAAAUUUUGUGAUGGUUCCUGCAUCCAGGUGACCGAGCAAGAGUGCAACCAUUUCAUAUUCGAAGGCGGACAGGCAGUCGGGAAGAGAAGCAUGGUGCUGGCACUCCUAAGGGAUGCUUUUGGUCCUGAUAAUCUCCAGGUACGAAUUUAUCCUAACCAAACCUUGGUGCUUCAAAUUCAGAAUGCUGUAUGUAUUUACCAUUUCUGUUAUUAUUAUUAACAGGUACAGGAACACUCAAAGAGGAUCGAACUCAAGGGAGAAAUUGCCAGACACGUCGAUGUGAAAGUCAAGAUUUCAGGUCAUCAUGUGGAGGUUAACCUGGCUGAUUUACAUGGCUAUGAAAAUCAUGUCAUAACUACUUUGCUGAAUGAAUCAAUCCUGCCACCAGACUCGAUCUGCGAUCAUACUAACUGCAAAGGUACUACAUGCUCAUACAGUUUGCUUCUCGUUUGAUUGACACUUGUGUUAGCCAAUACAGGAGUUUUUGACAGCUCUUCCUGUUCUUGGUUGAUGUGAAACCCUAUGUAAAAGUGUUACUGGUUUCUUAUAUGCAGUGAUUGUGGUCCACGACGCUGACAGGCUUUCCUCCGAUUUUCAACAUUAUAUCGGUUGGUUUCUGGGAAGGUAUGCAGGUUGCAACAAAAUCAUCUUCUGCUGCUCUGAUUCUUCAAACCUUGAGGCUGUGAAACAUCUAUGCAAGGUUGUCACACUUCAGCCACCUUCAUUUGAGGAGGUACAUUCAACUUCGGUCUGUUUAUUACUUUUAUGGAUGGUUAUUUUCUCAUUAGAGUGCUGGACAAUUUGAUGAAAGAUUAUCUUCUCUUAGAUGAUCAAGGUUCUGGAGUUCAUUGCUAUGAAAGAAGGCAUAGAUUUGCCUCGUGGAAUUGCCAGCAGAAUCACAGUGAGCGCGAGUAACAAUCUCCGACAGGCAAUACGUUCUUUUGAAGCUACAUGGAAAGCAAAGUAAGCACACGGAUCCUUUCUCCUUUUCAUAUUCUGAUGGUAUAUCGCCAUAAUAAUGUUGUCCAUUCUGGAGUGCCAGCAGGCCAGCAUAGCACUGGUCUGUUUACUGUGCAAAUGCUGCUGCCAUGUUAUGACUAAAAAGGAUGCUGCACUACUAAAGAAAUGGUUUCACACCAUGAUUCCAUUCUCCUUUGUUUUAUAAGUGUUUGCAAGGUCCAAGUGGUAUGAUAUUAAUCUUGAGUGAUAGUACUGAAUUUACAUCUGAUCUUUAGAGGACUAGUGUACAACAACAACAAAGCCAGUGUCUGUUUAUUUUUUUAACUAUGGAUCCUACUUUGCUUGUGUCGAAGAAUUACUGUAAUUUUAGUUCUCCAUACUGAUAAACAGCUCCCUUAACAAACACAGCUAUCCGUUCGUAGAAGAUCAACCUAUUCUGACGGGAUGGGAGGAAGAAAUAUAUAAUGUGGCCAAGAAAAUCAUGGAGGAGCCAAGUCCAAAGCAGUAUGCUACCCUUCCACCGUGUUGUUCUGCAGUUCAGUAUGCGUGAGCUUCUUUCUUCAACUUCACUACAAAAAUAAAAUCUACAGAUUUGACUUGUGCACAGGCUGUAUCUCAUUCGGGGGAAGAUCAGAAAAAUGAUUGAGCAUAACGUGUCACCUUAUUUCAUCUUCCGCGUAAGCUCUGCUCUACCUAAUGCUCACAUGUUUUAUCUGAUUUGGGGAGCCCAGUUAAUGCUCGUAUUUGUCAUUGCUCAUUACUGUUCCUUUUUUUCCUUUUCCUUUUGAGAUGCAGCACCUGGUUACUGGACUGAAAAGGGACAGGGAUAAAGAUUUUCAGAAUAGUGUUGAUGAACUGGCAUCGGGGUUCAACCAUGUGAGCAUGACUACAAGCAUCUUCACUCACAAUUGAGAUUUGAGAGUGACAUUUCAUUUCCAUUUCUCAACUAGAUUACAUUGAUGUAUGUGUUCUUUGCCUGCUUGCUUGUGGGCAGUGUGCAGGCCGCAAGUUUCAGAAAGAACAAGUCAAAGAAUACAGAUCUCGGGACACAACUUUGGACAUCAGUAUAGAACAUUUUGCCGUGGAAGGCCGUGACCAAGGGGAAGCCAUCCAAUACUUCAUAAAGAUUGAAGGUAUAUGCUGAUUGUUUUUUGCUUCGGUUCACUUGUGAACUGUAGUCUAACCCUUAGAAAAUCCUGGCAGAAUUCACGGUGAGGUUCAUGAGCUUCUACAGAUCCUGGCAGAAUUCACCGCAAGGUUCAUGAGCUUCAACAUAUGUUUCAUAGAGAAUAACUCGAGUAAAGGGUGUGUUCCAUGAAGGGGGUGAUCCACUCUCUCCAUCGAAAUCAUCUCCAAGUAUUGUCGCACUUCCGAUAAAUAAGCAGUGGCCUCUGCCUGCCUCUGAAUCAGAGCAUUUUAUAUGUUGCUUCGCCUUUGCAUGUAAGAUGAAGACAUACCCGUGUUAUCUGUGUUGUCUGUGCGAAUGUAUGACCACGCACAGAACUUAGCAUAUGUAUGGAGUGGAUUGUGAUGGGCUCCAAAUUGUAAAAAUAUCAACUUCAUAUUUGAUAGUAUAUCAAUAUUAUCAUAUUAGUCGUAUGGAGUUACGUAUAUCAUAUUCAUAUCACUUGCCUUGUGUACUUUGUAUUCUAUUACUCACAACGCCGCAUUCCAAAGCAAGAUAGAGGUUGUAAGUAUGGAGUACUGUGUUUAUUUCAUCACACAAGAAACCACAAUGGUGUGAGGAACAGAUGAACGCGGAUUUUUUGAUGAACAGUAAAAUCAAAAUAAAUAGUAAAUAAAAUUUAAAUUUUCUGUUUCUUUUGUAGAUGUUCAUAUUACUGUGGCAAGUGUACUUGAUAAUUUUCAUGCCAUAUGGGAUAGCAGUGCUUCGUCGAUGAAAAAAACAAAAUUAAGUUUAACAUUUGGAGUUCGACUUUCUUUUUUGCACAAGUCAAAAUGCUCAAAUUUUUCACCUGCAAAUUUGCAUGUACCAUUUGGGUCUAACAAUGAACACAUAUAUUUUUUUUCCAAAUUUUUUUACGUUUGUAAAAUCCAUUUUUAUCACGCAAGAGCAUGUGCUCCCUAGAUCCAAAUUGAAUAUCCAGGAAAAAAAACUGAUUUUAUAGCCACAUUUGGUUGCUUACUUUUCGUGAUAUUAUGCCCCCCUAACAUUUAACAUGUGAAUACCCUUCUGGUUUGAUUUUUAUCAUGACCUUUUCCUGAUAUAAAAAAAAUACCAGGAUGGCUAGUUAUUCUUACUCUUUUGCCAUGAAAAGUAGUUACAAAUUUGAGCAAAAUGAAAUUUCAAACAUACAUAUGUGCUUCUGACAAAAAAAAUCCCAAAGUACUCUACAUAUUAGUGUGUGUGUGUUUUUUUUAUAGAGCAUAUUAGUGGGUAUUUGUUGCCAUGAUCUGUGAAUUGUUGAUAGGUAUUUUCUGUUUUCUGUUUUUUUACUACACAAUAUAUUCAAUAUUUUUCAGACGCCUUACUUUCUAACAUGCACAGCUAAUAACAUAAAAUUUUGCUUGUAAGUGCUCAACCAGUAUUUGGGAUACAUUCUAUAUACCUAAGAGAUUGAUCCCCACUAUAGGUAUUUAUCUCAACAUGCAGCAUGUCCAACUCAGCAACCUGCCACAUCAGCAACUCCUAACGUGACUUUCAAAAAAAAAAGCAACUCCUAACGUGCAUGUAACAUUGAACCUUUUAUUACUGGCAUACAAAACGGACUGAAACGAUGUUUUGUUACCAUCCCUCAUCAGUUUCCAGCCAUAAAUCUUGGGAGGAGCCUUAAACCACGGACUCAUUGCUUUCCCCUGUUUAUUGUGCAGGACGGGAGUGCCGAUCUCCGAGUCAGAGCGCUCCUCCGGCAGGACCGCCGGUAUGGCUAGCCUCCGCAGCUCUCCGUUAAUCUAUCGGACUACGUUCCCGUUGCUGGUGUGUCAGUAUGUGCCCUGCAUCGUCGAGACUCGAGACAGCGACCGCGGUGCCCUGGUCGUCCCCUCCAUCUUUGUCUCUGUUCUGGCUAAGGUAGCUCCGUCGCCGAUGGGCAAGUUGGUUCCGCUCAGUGCCCUCCAAACGGACCGGUUGCUGGGUAGAUUGGAGUCCGGAGCUUGCUUUAUUUUCCUCCCCUCUAAUCUUCACCACGGCAAGUCCCAAUCUUGUCUGUAGCAACGCCUCAAAUCAUCUCUCUCUUCAUCCGCUCCAGCAAAUCCCAUUCCUCUACUUCCCUGCAUAAGUAAAUGACGCGGUUGGUUUUCCCUUUAAGCAGCCAGUUCCCAUGUAGAUGCAGCCUCCCCCAUGGCAUGGUGUAUGGCCGCUAGACAAGACACAUCUAUAGCCAUCGUCGGGUACCAGUUUCAAUCCCCUCUCUGCACCCCAUAGUGCUCGUCGCGAUGGCGGGCGAGCAUGGUGGGUUUCCUGGCAGUGCUUUGAACUCGCUACCUCCUUUCCCUCCUCUCUAACUUCCUGGAACUGAUAUAUUUCCGUUUAAUGCAAAUGGAAAGGGGUACACCCGGUUCAAAAAAAAAAAAGCCCCUCUCUGCAGUAGUACAGUUGCAUAUCAUCUCCUCAUGUAGUCAAGGUGGCCCUGACCCUUGGAUGGAUAUGGCUUACUUUCUUUCGUGUAACUUUGCAGGCAUAUACUGAAUCGGUAGAACUCUCACUAAGCACAUCGCCAUGUUGAUAGCUCAGGUACACUCAUCUCAAAGUAUGUGUAUGUAUUAUUUUCUUCAGAGAAAAACCUUUCAUUAGUUUCCCAAGUACUAGAUUUUUGUCCGUAAAUUUGUAUUUCGUCAAUCUUAAUAUGAAUCAUGCCUUUCUCACCACACUCAUUCAUGGAAUCAUUUUACCAGCCACAUGAUUUACCAAUAGAUGUCUUUAACAAUAUGAUAUUUCAGGCCUCUUGAUUCUUACAAAGUAGGACAUUUGGACACACUAUGUCAGUUUUUAUCUCUUAAUAUUAAUAUAAAAUUAUCUAUAAUAAAGUCCUGCUACAACGUGUAACAGGUUUUCCUGGUCCCUUGAUUCCCAAACUUCCUCUGCUAUGUUUGCUUCUAUACUAUAUCAUGUGCUUGGUAUGCAGAUUAUUUUUGCAGUACCAUCCUUGAGUAUAUUCAGAAACGAGUCAGUGUUGUAUUAUGAGACACACCUACUACUCCUACGUGUUAUUGGUUUUUCCCAAACAUACUAUAUAUGAACACAAUAUUAGCUAGAUUGACUGCCUAAGCCACUUCACUACAACGGUAUUAAGGUUCUUUGGCAUGCAAAACACAACAGAAGGUACAAUUAUUCCAUUGGUUGAUCAUAGGUUUGAAAUAAAUAUUUUUAUCGAACCCUUCUGUUUAUAAGACUGAACAAAAUAGAUGUCCCAGAAAUUUAUUCACAGGGUCAUGCUGUUCGACAGGGUUGUACACGUCUACAUGGACCACGCCAGAAAUCACCACCAUGUAUUCUAAUCCCUUGACCAACCGUAGUUACUUCUGCUGAGAAGUGAGAACCGUCGCAGGUAUAUAUGCAACUUAACUGAGGUUAGUUAGUUUCAUGAGGCUACUUAAAAUCUUCAGUCCCGCUGUAUGAUAGCUAUCGAUUUUCUACAACCUCAUUUGAUCAUCGUGUUCUUGGUAUCAAUCAGACAACAUCCUCUCAAUGUUGACGUCAGACAAAGAUUCCUCAUCCAAAUUUGACCUUUAUCCAUAACUGUCAAGUAAUUUUUGUUCCCUUCUUGGUACCUUUGCAGGUUUAGGUACUAUUUUGGAACAAAUGGCAUUUAGAGAUCCUUCUUUUAGGGACUAUCUUUGAACCCUUAAACCCCAGGGCACUCAACAUUCUUGAAGACAUUUCGGAGUUUAUUUUGGUAUGAAGAGCGUGUUCACAGAGAUCACUUAGGAUACAAGUUAGAAUUUGUGUUGUAGAGGAGGAAGAAUAUUGCUGCCACCAUUUAGAUUUGAGGAUAUGUUCUUGAAAGAUGUUGGCAACCAUUCAUUUUUUUACUACUACCUAUGUACACUAAUAUAAGACAUUUUUUAGUUCAAUUUGUACAGCAAAAACAUCUUACAUUAGUGUACAAAGGGAGUACUAUUUUCUUUGUUUCAUGUAUAAAACCGAGUAAUAGUUUACCAGGGUUUGAAAGAAGAAAUCAUAUUUUAUGUUCCCUUAAGAAAUCGUCUUAUUUUGUUGUACUUUAUUAUGCCUUCUGCUGCUGAUAGUCGUGGUUUCUUUGCACAUACCUGUACUUUUGCAACACACCUACAAUCUCCGUUUCUUUGUCGCAAUCAUGGCGACACAUGUGGGCUCUUUAGAAAAUUCCGACUACAUUCCGACUUCACAAGUGGUACACUUAUCUGUACAUAAUUCUGCAGCAUUGUUGUGGAAUUGUAAUAUUAAUGUUGUCUUCUGUAUGAAAAUAUACUAUGUCGAUCUAUCAUCUAAUAUCUUUUAUUUUGCGAUGGAUUACUACAAGUUCUUCCUAUACUAAGGGCUACUAUAUUGAAUGGUUUACAUCCAGAUGUCAUUCCUUUUAUAUGGCAUUUUGACUAUUUCAGAAGCAGUUGGUGCUAGAACUGUUCUAGCUAUUGGGGCAUAUUGCUAUGUUCACUCAUAUUGCAGGUUGUUUUUCCGAACAUAUUAUAUUUUUCAGCAACUGUAAUUAACAUUUUUAAAUCAUCAUGGUCAUGUGUUGAUGACCCGCUAAUGGUAAUGUAGUUCAUGAUGUUGGGAAUACUUAAAGAGUGCCUUCUUUCAACAGAUAAUGAAUGCACUACAUUGUAGUUUAGUAUCGCUAAGAACAUUGUUCAUGCUACAACUACUAUGGUUCUAUAUUACAUUUUAUAUUUAUAUACCACCAAUGACUACACAUUUCAUUGCAUGUAAGUCAAAUCCAUCAUUAACUGAUUCCCAUUGUUAUAUCUGCGACGUGGGUGUUACUCAGAAAUUUUGCUACAAAGUCCCGCAGCAACGCGCGGGGUGUCAUCUAGUUUGUCAUAACUUUCGUGGUGGCUUAAGUGAGUUGUGAUUUCAGCUCAAAAUGCUACUAACAUGUAGUUGGUGCCCUGGUCAGAGUAAAUGCUAUGCUAUGUAUCCUUGUUUCUCAGCCCCCGUGAUCACUGCAAGAGGCCUGUCUAGUUAUGUUCUCUUGGUUUUUGGGAAGAGAAUGAGAAUGCAGUUAGUUGAAUUUGACUUGUUUUUUGUUGUUGAUAAAAGUUGAAUUUGACUUGUUGGAAUGUGUUUAGAAUUGCGACUAGUGCAGUACCACCCGAGCACAAUCUGUUUGUCAUCUGAGGUAAUCCUUGGUUAUGGAAUGAAAUUUGAGGUCAGUCAACAUUACUCAAUCAUGGCGGAGAAGCAUUCCUGGCCUAAUAAAGGUUCAUAUACAGUUGCCUUUAAAGCUGUGAACCGUCGAAUCAGAGAAGUAGAAGCAGUGAAAUCUUUUGGCGUUCGACCAAAGAGCUAGCCACGGCGGAGCACAUAUUGACAAUACUGUUCCGGCAUUUCAUAUCAUUGGCAUAUUUCACAUUCUGAAAUGUUUGCAGCUCAGUCAGCAAGCCGCACGGAGACGGGUCAUUUUUGAAAGCAGCUUCAGACUGUAUGCACGCUCUGGGUCAGCAGCAAAAUCCACAUCCUGAAGCAUUCGUUGCAUCAAAAGAGUAGAAUUUACACCAGAGCCUUGCCGGUUAAGGCGCUCUAGCGACCUGUGCUCUGUCUAUCAUCUAGGGAGGGACUGGUUGCAAGGACCUAGCAAAAGCAAACAACGUACGUCCUGGCGAGUUGAAGCUGGGGACACGUACUGGGACUGGAGCGUUAGCAUCGAUCGCGCAUUGCAAAAGGAUAUACUAUGAGCAAGGGCCUGAUCUUGGUGGACUUUACCGGUGGGAGAACCUCGACGUUGCCCCUGAUCGAUGAAGGGCCAAACAAUGCCACAAAAUCAAAACGUACUGAAAAUCUGCGAGUGAGAGCCAUCUGUACCCAACUACCCAUCCUUAGUUCUUUGCCACAAAAUGCUGUAUCUGAAUAUAUAGAGACAGCAUAUUGAAGGCUGAACACGGUUAAAUAAUCGAAAAGGAGAGAAACGGUUAGUUGUUCAAUCUUCAGACAUGACAGUAGAUUACACAGUUCAUGGUGGUAAUUGGCAAAGUAGCGGACUCACUACAUCAUUCUGAGCAUUGACCACUACCCGAGGCAAUACAUACAUCCUUUCUACAAAUCCAUCGUCAAAUGAAUCUGAUUCCCUACUUUACAUGAUCAGUGAACAUAAAUGCAUUCGACGCCAAGCACGGCGAUUUUGCAGUUACAAGCACGCCUGGGUUUCCCUCCUCUUUGCCAAAAACGCAAAUCUCCCUUGCUACUGUUGCAUCACAAAAGCAGCGUGUUAGUCUCCAUCAAAUCAGAGUGUUGAUAUUUUGUAAAUUCUACCCUUUGGUGCAAUGCUUCGGGAUGUAAUUUAUGCAAUUCUAAUCUUCUAAAAUAAGAAUAAAAAUAAAGCUUUCUUGCAAUAAGGUGAUCUUGUACUCUCAAGAAACUGAACAUAGUUGAUGCUCGCCUGUCUUUUUUAAACUGAACAUAAAUUGCAGUUCGCGGGUGCAAAACAGUUGCGCCCAAAACAGCAGAUGUAGAAAUAAUGCAACAAACAAUAUCCACUUUCAAAACUCUCCGAUAUCUAGUCAAGAACGGGGCCGUCUGUCAAACAUCGUGAACUGAAACACAAGUAUAACAAGUCGCAACUAAGCCACCACAAAAGUUAGUCGGGAAACACAUUCAGAAGAAGAAAAACAAUAUAUAAGCACUUAAAAAGCCGAUUUAUAUUAUUAGUGGUUCACACAAUAAGGAACAACCAAGAUUGAAAAAAAAAGAUCCUCAAAAAUUAAACAAAUUGUGCAGUCAAAAAAAUGAAAACAAGAGAAUUAGCAUCCUCUGGGAUGAAGAGAUUGUGCACUACAUAAAAUGGAAAACAAGAAAAUUGCUAUCAGAACAAAUAAUUUGUAUAAAGGGACUCUUAUUAGAAUCACAUGUGCAUAUCAAAGAAUUCAUUUUUCAAACUUUAUGCACAUCCGAAAGUUCAUAAUAUUAUAAUUACUUUCCAGAACUAGGAGUACUGUAUUUUUCUCUAUAUAAAUGAUGAACACAAACACAAACUGUAGAUACAAAUUAGCCAGUGUGGCCUGGCUGCAAAUGCAAGAUAGCAAUAUUCCAUAGAGAAAGUUUCCAUAAUAUGAAAAAUCAAUCUUCCGUAACUUUAUUAGCUCCAGAAUUGUACUGAUAUUUUGAGAAGCAUCUAGAGGUUUCUAUGGGAAUAAUCAUUAUAAGACACCAAGGAAUGAUUUUUUAGUUUUCAACAAAGUAAAUAAUGAUGGUUAGCUCAUACCCACAUAUUUCCAUUCAUUUCAUCGUACCACAAACAACUGCAGGAUUCGGUGA
rnacentral:lncRNA from 1 species